GAUUGACAGAGGGAAAAAUGCCCCAGGGAUGUCGAGAGAAGGCGAAAUAAUUGUGUGAAAAUUUGUUCUUUCGGUUGUUAAGUGUUAAAUGAAGACUUAACAGGAUUGAGGCUCGGUGUGUUGGAUCGGGGCGGGGGUGUGUGGUUGUUUCGAGACGUGCGGGUGAGUGUUGUUGGUAGAUUCGGCUAGGUUCGUAAAUGUGCUAUAUGCUAAAUUGUUAGCUGACUAGCAUUGACUGUGCAGGAGCAGAGGAAGACUGGAGUCAGGAUUCACGUGCGAGGUCGGGUGUUAAUUUCAAGUUCCUGAGUGAGUAUCAGACUGAUUAUUGUUACCUCAGGCAUGUUGUGAGUGAGUACGUGUAUGUGAAGUUUUGUUUUUUUGUGCUGUCAGUGUACUUCGGAUACUGGCCACUCGUGCUGCGACAUUAGAGGUGCUCCGGACUUGCCGCGCCAAUGACUUCGGCAUGCGGACCGACUUUCGCUUUCUUCCAUUCUGUGCUUCGGUGAUGGUUGUAACAACACACAAAAUUUGCAAGGAACCGUGAGUACAAACGACUUGGAAAUCACACCCACACAAGAGCUCCAUCAGCGCGCCAACGUACGUGGUACCACAGACUGAUUUAUAAAAUCCCGGGUAUUAAGAACUAUUUUGUUUCUUUUUUUUUUAUUUCUUUAUCCUGUGAAUAAAUGUAAAGAUUUGUGAAUUUAAACGUGAAGUUCCUGUUGAUUGAUGUUGUGCACAUUUGGGGGGCUAUCUUAAGACAUGCAUGGGAGUUAACACUCACACAGACACAUCACACAAUUCCCUGGUUCAUAUUUUGUAGCAUCACCAAUUCCUCUCCCAUGCAAAAUACUGUGUGUAUGAUCCGGUAGGUAAUAGUAUUUAAAAAAAAAUAGGAAUUGAGUGAGGGGGCUACAGUUAUUUAUUGUUACUUGACAGUCAUUAUAACUCUGAGUAAGGUGAGCAUUCACCUGUUAAUGGAGGCUGGUGAGCAACAAUAACCUAUAAGGCUGGUUACCUGAAAAUGGUUUAUUACGGUUCACAGUAUGUCGACCAGCACUAAGUGAAGGCUUUUGUCUCAGUGUUACUUACAGUUGAAUUUAGAUAAACUAAAAAACAAUGUGAAGUUCUUUGUGAAUGUAGAAAAACAUUGAUAAAAAUUUACUGUUUUUUGUUUUGUUUGAUUUCAAGAGAAUCUUAAAAAAAUCACUGAAUUAAAUACUAAUGGGACAAGUUUUUAAUUGUUAUUUUGGUUAAAUUCAUCGUUAUAUUAAUCAGUUAAUGAAAAAAAUGGUUGGAAUAAUCGAUAAAUUAGUCGAUAGAUUACUCAAGUAAUCGAAAAAAUAAUUGUUAAAUUAAUCAAUUUAAAAAAUAAUCGUUAGGUGCAGCCUUUCUCAUAAGACUCUCUCUUGAAUUUGGAUUUCCUUCAACUGUGUUUGACGUAUUUUGCACAGUUGCCCCUACCCUCUGGAACUCCCUUCCACCCUCCAUCAGACACUGCCCUGACCCCACUACUUUCAAAUCCUGUUCGAAACUCACUUAUUUAAAAUUACUUUUAAUAUUUAACAGUUUUAUUCAUUUUAUUUCUACUGUUUUUAUGUCCUUGUUUUAUUACCUUGGGUUUUAUGUUUUAUGUACUAUGUAAAGCGUGUUUAAGUGUUUUUAAAAGCGCUGAACAAAUAAAACAAAUUAUUAUUAUUAUUAUUUAUUAUUUUGCAGAUGAACUGAGGACAGAUUUGAACCAAUCAUAAACCGUCUUCUCUUAAACUCCGCCAUGACAGGUCUCUACAAAUCCCUCACAGACACGGCAAAAAAGAAAAGCGAACUUAACCCCCUGUAGCUCUUCAGCACCAGGCCCUGCAAGUGGUCAUGGGUAAAAUACUAUCUUUUAAUUUUGGUCCUGUAACUAAUUGGCUUUAAUGAAGUAGAUUCAUUAUUAAAGCACACAUGGGAAAUUCCACCAGGAUUACUACUGUACUGGGCUAAUAAAGCCAAACUACAGUCCAUGAGAGGUAAUAAUUCUCAUUGUCCUUCUGAGAAUCACGGCGAGAUUGCCGUGUUGUUGCCGACAUGUAACAUUUCCUUCUUCCCGCUGUUGUUGCAUUGCUCUUGUGUAUCCAACACGAUUUCCACAGAGCUGAAUGGAUUGAAGGGUGCAUGAAGGGAGAUAAAACACCAGGAACCCUGCUGCACAGGCUUAGUGGAAGUCUGGUGUUUACAUGACCAAACAACCUUAAAAUAAUGAGGCUCGGGGCACGCUGCUUUAUUGUAUUAAUACCCUGUUUAUGACCUCUAUUAAAAAUACACUAAGAUCCAUGUUUUUCUCACAUUAUGCUCAUAAUUGCUGGGGCAUUAAAGUGUUGCAUCGUAAACAUGGGAAGUGUAAACAUCACCAACUUCAGAUUUAUAAUGAAGCUUAUUGUGUGCACUGUAAAAGUAACCCCGUUUGGUUAUAGACAGUCUAAUUCACCAUGAUAUUUUUGCAGUGCACUUUUAAAUCUUUAUGUAUUUUCAUGUUUUUUUAACGACACCAGCGGAUCAUCCUUGGCAUGAUCUGGAUUUCCCGAGAACACACUCGUUCGUUUCCCUCGAACACGUGAGGAGUUGUAGCGCUCCUGCUCCAGGCGAUCCAACAUCAAGAAAGCUGCCAGCUGGUUGAUCAUAAUUACAACCUCUGUGUGUUUUUCUGGUCCAGCUUGGAUCAACCGAGUGAAAAUAUGGAAGCUGGCAGGUUUUCUCGUUGCAUCAAAACCGUCAGUGACUGCCAAAUCCAAUGAGCGAUGAGCCUGUCAGUCAUUGUGUCCUUUUUCAGGAGAAUUUCCCUCUCUGGAAAUGAAUUUUCCUCAGAUGUAAAAACAUUAAAUGUAUAUUUACUCACAGUUAGAUAACCUGUGGUUAGGAUAUUAUCAAACCAAACAAGGUGCACAGAUGUUUCUCCAGCCAGAUGUUUAUUACCGGCUGCUGCUGCUGCUGCUGCUGCUGUGUUUGGACGUGAGUCAUUGUUUAUGCAUUGAACUGGUUGGCUCGUUUGUUGGUUAUGGCGCAUUAUGAUCCAAUCUUUGUCCGGGGUGUUUGUUCACGUCAAUCAGCAGCUUGAGAAAGUCGAUGAAGUUAAUAAACAGAGCUGGAGUUAUGCAGAUCUUGGGAAUUCUGAUUCCUUUCAACUUGUAUGUGACGCGCAACAUCUCUGAAUAGUUGAGGACAUUUAUUACAAUGAAUUAGUAAAGACAGAUUUCCAAUUAGAGUUAAUUAAAAGAAAUAAAAAUGACAAGAAAGGUGGAUUGAUUAUCCUGUAUUGAGUGUUUAAGUGUGAAGUCUUAAAGCUGUGGACGUGGUGUCCAUGAUUUCUAGAAAUAAUUACUUCUUUUCACUUCUGAGCGCGCUGACCUUAGUCUAAUUUGCUUUAUUUUAAUCCUGUGAAAAGAAAGUGUGAAUUUUUCUUUUUGAUAUUCCAACUGAGAUGUUUGGAAAUAAUAAGAAAUCUGCUUUUUAAAUUCACAGUAGAGUCCUCACUUUAAUCAUAGGAGCAAAAAGAAGCAGGAAGACGCCGCAGCAGCUUAACUACGGCAUGCCAAAAGGAGCAAAAAGCAAACAUAACUCGACCCACAUUGCGCUUUUAUUGGCACAUUCCCGCUGACAGCCUUCAACUCAAACUAAAUAAACUUCAGCUUGUAAAAAAAUGGUUAUUUUUUUAUCUCCUGUUGACAAAAUAUCAACCUAAGACGGCUAAAUCCUUCCAGUUUGUUCGACAAAGGGACAAUUUCUCUUGGCAUUUGCUGAGUAUUUCUUUAUGUUAUAUGUCUUUUCAUUUUUUUCCCCAAGUAAUAAAACUAAUUAUUAAAAUAUUAUUGAAAAAACUGACUAUAAUUAGAUAUUUGCACAUUUUUGGACCUAUUCUGGCUUGGGAUAAAACACUGACGACACUUUCAUCACUAUACUUUAUUUUAUUUCUGUUUGCUGCAUGUAAACAAAUGACUGAAUAAAUUAGUCAGAUAAAAAACCCAAACAGGCAGGAUGAAGCCGUUUUCCAUAUGCUGUUCGGGAUGAGGUUUGUGCAGCUUUCAAGCUGGGUUACAAGCCCAGAAAUAGCUCUCAGCACUUUGCCAUGGAAGAGGAAGGUGUAAAGACAGGUUUUAUAUUUCCAAAUAUAUCACCUGAGAACGUCUGCAGAUGGCAGGUCGCUCUUUUAUUCAGAGGUGUGGUAUUCUUUGAAAAAGCGCAGCUAAGAGCCUCGGCAACACGCUCUAAAUGGAAGCUGAAUAAAAACUCGUAGGGCCUCCGAGGUUGGUUAUGCGGUCGGGUUCAGUGUGUGCCGGUGCUGCUCUGCCAAAACAGGUGAAGUCUACAUCGAAGAAAGCAAGUUCUCUACUUUCUCCUCCGGAAAAAUCUGACUGUUCCCCAGCUCUGCUUUGUUGAAAAGAAUCCAAGCACUCGGGAAGAAGGAACUGCCACCUGCAGACUUUUUGGAGAUGUUAUAUUUGGUGAUGUAAAAUGUGUUAACGUCACUUUCAGCCAGGACCAAGUUGUACAUCUCAACAGGAUGUCUGGAGGAAAGUAUCUGCUACAAUCUGUCAAACGGAGCUGCAGUGGUCUACCAAUUACAGCUUUCGAGAAGCGAGCAGCUGUCUGGGCUGCACAGACUUCUGAGCCGCCAUGUCUCAUCCCGCAUUACAUACGUACUCCAAUGUAAAAAUGUGAUGUAGUACAGAGAGACAUGGGUGAAAUACAGAAGGAGAUUGAAGACUAGCAGGGACAGAAAGAGGAUUUCACAUCCAGUGAUCAGAGAGAUUCAUUAUAGCAGCUAUUAAAAUGAUCCCUGGGAUACCGUCUCAGAUCAGGGGACAGUGCGCUGACAGUAUGGGGACUCGGUGCUGAUCAGACACCAGAAUCCAGAAACCAAGGCUCUGCUGUAGUGAGGGCUGAGUGCAUUUCUAGGUAACUGGUGUCCAAGCGCCGGCUCCUGUGUGAAAGCAGAAUAAAGUGAGAGAGAGGGGGAAAUCGAGAGGGUAAUGAGAUUCCACUGUAAAUUGCAGCAGAGAAUAAGGGCUUCUUGACUUGUCUGAGGUUUUUUCUACAGUAUGUUGGAGGAGCCGCGAGGAAGUCUUUGCAAUUUCUUCAAUGGACCCUUCUAGGAGUUUCACAGCAAUUUUCAACUCAGAGGCAGCUCGGGUCAUUAGUAUGGAAAUCAUAAACACAUCAGGUCCUUUUGCAGCAAUGGGCUCAAAUUACUACACCACCUCCAUUCAACAUGGCGGCCUCAAGUCAAUCCUGAGUGGAUGAAACAGGCAGAAAAAACUCUGAUUUAUAAAAGUGGUAAUUAUUAACAGAGUAGGAUGGUUUAAGAGCCCUGAAUUUGAAACCCUGAAUUUAUCUGUUAAUGAAAACUAGAGAAAAUUUGUUUUGAUAAGAUCAUUGGACAUAAAUUACGUUAUAUUUACACACCAAGUGCCUACUCCAUCACUAAUGCUGCAAUAGCUAUUGUCAGUGGGUGCCAGUGGUUGUCAGCAGUUGUUAGCUAUUGUCAGCGGUUAUCAGCAGUUGUUUGCUAUUGUUAGCGGUUGUCAGUGGUUGUUAGCGGUUGUCUGAAUGUUAGUGGUUGUCAGCGGUUUCUAGCUGUUGUUAGCCGUUGUCAGCUGUCCUUAGCUGUUGUCAGAGGUUGUCAGUGAAUGUUAGUGGUUGUCAGCGGUUUCUGGCUGUUGUGAACCAUUGUCAGCUGUUGUUAGCCGUUGUCAGCUGUUGCAUCUGUUGUUAGUUGUUGCUAGCUAUACCAGUUGUAAACAACACAUUAUACAGUAUUUUACUCUUACAAACAUCGUAGCACCAUGUUCACGGUUGGACGUCGGGCAGUACAACAUAAACCACUUAUUUAAUUUCACAAAUAAAACAGGAGUGCUAAUAAAUUCAACUUUAUUGUCAUUACACUGUUCAGAACAAUGAAAUGAAAUGCAGUUUAGCAUCUAACCAGAAGUGCAAUAGUGCAAGUAUCAGAUAAUAUUAACAACAUAGAUUAAUAUAUUUGCAUACCUAUAUAUAUUCACAUAAAUAAGAGAUGGUAUGAAGUUACUAUUGUCAAUAUUACUAUUGUUAUUCAGGCGAGUUUUUUAUUUGAGUUUCCCCGUAACCCUUUUUUUUUCUCUUUCUAAUCAAAGGAAAUUAAUCUGUAACCGUGUCUUCAAAGCGUUCAUGAUCUUGAUGAAUUCUUCAGAUUUCAUACCUCUGUGUCUCCUCUUCAGCAGAGAUUGUCCUUUAAUAAUGUUUACACCAAAUCGAACCCGGCCGUGUGUUUGUUUUUGUUCAGGGUGUGAAUGGCUUCAUAUUAGCGUGUCGUUUUCUCAUAUAGCACAAUCUGCCCCUGCGUGUGAGUGUAAUUGGGUUGAUCAGGGGAAGUUACUGGAUCACUUAUGUCUCUACUGUCCAUGAUUACCAGCAAAUCAACAUGCUGUGGUUACCUUCAGUCAAUGAUGAAUCUUAAUUAGUCUCCUAAUUGCACUCCAUUUGCUCGCCAAGACAGAAACUAUACAGAGUAAAUUGUCACUCGUGAAAGCCAUAAAUCAGCAGUAAUGUCUCAAUCUACAUGGGAUUACGCUUCUCAAACAGCGGGUUCUUUUUUUUUAAAGCUUUGUUUGCUCUGAAAACACAUCUGUUUAUUCUCCUGUUUCCCCUCUUAAUGCAGCAAACACAGACGACGGUAUCAAAGGUGAGCUGGAUCUGAGGGGUCGCUCACUGAUGGAGAUGGUUGAAAUGAUAUUUCUGUGAAUCAUGUAAGCUAAACAUGAUCGACCCGUGUGUUGCAGACAUGCUGACUGAGAAAUUGAAAUUGAUUUCUGAAGGAUGUUAUUAAGAUCCAGGAUAUGACUCGUCUACUCUGGUCUGGAAUGUGAUUAUAGGUUAUAAUGUUUCAUAGAUGAGGACUGAGGUAAAUAUUUCAGAACUCAACCUAUACAUUUAUUUUGGGCUGCACUUUCAAUAACAGGAUCUGUGAUUUGUGAGGAAUUUGUAAUAAUUGAUGCUAUAGUAGUAUGUAUAGAUAGGAACAGUAGAUACAACAUGCCCCUAUGUGGCAGCCAUCUUAGCGGGGGCAACUUUCCCAUCAAAGGAAUUAGAUAUACAUGUGAAAUAAAAUCAUAUCUUUUUUUUAAUCAAAUGUUCUGUAUAAAUAGCACAUGUUUUGGCAUUCAAAAUAACAAACUGCAUGAAAAUCAGUUGAGAAAUGAGCAAGUUAUGAUUUAUUUCAUGUGUACAUCUCAUGUCUUUAACGGGAAAGUUGCCCCCGCUAAGAUGGCUGCCACGUAGGCGCGUCAUACCACUUAGCUGGCUGCUACAGCACACUGGCUUAUCUAGUCUUCUAUAUAUAUAUACAUUUAUGUAUGUGGUACAAUGCUACUGUUAAGGCAGAUCAAUGUAUGCAACGCUGUAGUUCAGAACAAGAUCAUUAUUCUAUUUAUUAUUACAUAUUGUAACGUAUCCUUUCAAAAUAAAAGAAGAGAAUAUGGAGGAGAGCUGAUGUGGACUUAAAGUAGAGUCCAGUUACUUUCAGUUAGAGGUCAGUCCUUUUUUUUGUUGUAUUUUCAGUCAUUUAACAGUAUUAGGUACAGGGGGCUAAUAAGUGCAAUUCCAUUGCAAUGACCUGUAUGUUUGCAAUGAGCGAGAAUCAGGCGGCAAAACCCAAAGCUACGGAAGCCGAGAACGACCACUGAUUUUAUUUGAUUUGAUUUUUUUAAUGCACUGUCAUCUCAUGAUAACAACUUAUUAUCUUGUUAUCUCGACAUAACAAACAUUGUUUUCGCAUGAUAAUGGAAAUGGCAUUUUAGCCAACCUCAACGGUAACUUUUAAAAAAACACCCUCCAGAUUAGGAUAUUUCUGAAACGCCACAGCCACCGACAUCAAAUCCGGGUUUUUAAUGAAAACACUGACGGCACGCUCCCUUUUGCGCCGGUGCAUUACACUUUCAACGAUUCUCACACUGCAGUAAAUGUUCCUACACCUUAAGUGUAAUGCGCUGUUGACAACGGUGGCCGCGGUGUUUAGAAAUAUCCUCAUCUGGAGGGCGUUUUUAAAAGUUAUCAUAGAGGUCAGAUAAAACAACAUUUCUGUUAUCGUGAGAGAUCUUUGUUUCAUCGACAUAACGGAAAAAUGUUGUAUCGAGGUAAUGAGAUAAUAAAGCAUUAUCAUGACAAAAAAAGAUACACCAAACACACAUAACUGAAACUCUUCAAACAUAUUUACACUCACUGCCUUUUAUUUUUUUUUUCACGUUUAUUAAUGAAUUCUUAAUCAUGUUGGUUUACUGUCUUAGUCCAAUCAUAAACAGGCCUUCAGGAACCCCUAUGCAGCUUAGAUUUGACUAACUGAAGCUGUCAGAGUUUUUUAGACUCUUUUUUUUUGUUUCCCUCUAAAGUUUAGAUCUCCUCCUCAGCUUCACCCCCCAACUCCUGACUCCACAGGGUGUCAGACUCCUGUCAGAGAAAAAGAAAGAACACCUUCUUUCAGAGACCUUCUGGGUUAAAUAAGAAAAAUGUACAUCAGUAUAUCAGACACAAAUGUCCUAACCUCGCUCCCUCCAUUUCUGUAUGCUAACAAGCAUUUUUCAGAUUGUUUACCACCGUGAGGUUCACACUUUGUUUCAUCACUCAACCUCUUUCAAAUUCUCGGUUUUGCUGAGUGUCAGAAACGCAAUGUUUCCAUGAAUAAUGAAUGUCAGUUUAGCCGGCCAAGAAUAGUGUCAGCUUUACAUAUGCAUUAUAUAUACUGUAGGUUUGUUAGGGUAGCAGGCUGCUGCUGUUUCUAACGCGCGGCUGCAGAGUUUCUGUUGAUGUGUUUUUCUUCCUGACAGCGAGGAAAACAUCUCCCAACCUGCUGCAGGUUGUUUGGACUCAUGUGCAGAAUGGCUUCAUGCUGGGUCAUCCUUUGAAUCAGCCAUGCCUGGAUCAGUCCACCAAUUAUCUGCCAGUCUAUAAUACUCAACAGUACAAGUCUGCUCUUCCAAUACCCAACAGGUAUAAUUUUGCAGAACUUAAUUGGCCAGAUCAACUUUUGCUUUGGGCGAAGCACCGUCUUGGCAUACAAAUGACGGAGCUGUUUUCAUGUUUGGUGGAUGGUAUGAAACUUAAAUCAGCGUCUGAGAGACGAACAAAGUCAAAGAAACACCUUUUUUUGUUUUAUCAAAGAACUUUGUGUUGGAUCUGGUUUAUCUGGGUCAGUGAGCGGGGUUGUUACUUUCUCAGACACUGUUUUGACAGAUUGUUAAGUCUGGGUUAUACAUGGUCUCUAUCUCAAUUACAGGAGGUAGAUAAGCCUGCACGCUUUAGUUUGUGGCUGCUGGGUUAUUAUAUCCUCUAUAUGCUAUCAAAAAAAAAAUAGAAAAACUCCUGUGAUUUGGGUGUUAAAGUCUUUUUGAAAACCUCAAUUUAACGCAAAGGUAAACUAUCAAGAUUUCAUUAUAGAGCAUGUGCAGUUACAUCUUUACAUCCUGAAAACCUAAAACCUGAAUUAAUGCAUAAUUUUAAAGCUAUAAAUGCAAGUUUUGAGUAUUAAAAAGCAAUAAAUAAAGUCAUGUUCAGAUUGGAAACACUUUCCCACCUUUCUAAAACAUUGUUAGACCUGAACAUGUUAAUGAAGACUUAAAAGGGAUAUUCCGCAAAAAAAUCAAGCCAGGGUCAAACCAUAGACUGUAUAUACUAUAGAUAACUUGGUCCCGCCUCCCGUUCGUAUACUGAUUUGAAACCAGUCUGACAAUAACUACAUGUCAACAAGCGGGGGGAGAAAAGCUUAUAUUCUGUGAAAUAAAUCUCUAAAGUUUGUCCACAGCUCCAUAAGCUGAGGCGGGAUUUAUGACCUAUACUGCAGCCCAUCAACAGAGGGUGCUGUUCUCGGAGUGGCUUCACCCAGCGAGGAGGCAGACGGCGUCCAUUCUAUAUACAGUCUUUGGGUCAAACACACCGUAACACCACGUUAGACACCCCCUCGGAAGAUGAACAUUGCCGACCGCUUGCUUCUCUAGUUACACCAACUUAAGUAACGACCGCAGAAUAGCAAUACAGAGAGCCACGCGCUCAACCAAAACACCACUCUAUAGCCACAAAUAAUGAUCAGAACAGCACCUAACUUCAUCAACAGGACAUAUAGGGUCACAGACAUAGUACUAGACACCAAACAUCUUUUUAGCUUUGACUCAUUUCUUUCGCAAAGAGACUAAACACAACUCAACCACUCUCGCUUGUUUGUAGCAAGACCUCAGGCUAGUCCAUUAAGGACUACAGCGGGGUGUCGCAACUCAAGGAAGAACAUUUAUGAUCAUUUCUUCAUGGAAAUGCAAUCAGACCGAGACGCUGAGGCAGAAGAACUACCGCGUCUGAAGUGCAAAAUGAUUAAUAUGGUGAUUAUUACUUCAAGAAAAUGAUAAAGUAAUAAUGAUAAUUGUGCAGUUACAUAUUAAUCUACAUCCUGAAAACCUAAAUCCUGCAUUAAUGCGCAAUUUUAAAUCUGUAAAUGCAAGUUCUGAGUAUCAAAAUGUGAAAAAUAAAGUCAAGUUCAGAUUGGAAACACUUUCCCACCUUUCUAAAACAUGGUUAGACCUGAACAUGGUUCUGCAGACUCAAAGCUUCGGUGAAAACUCAUUUUUAUCUCCUGUCAGUCUUCCUUAAACUGCCAUUUCAUGCUAGUUCAUACACUGACAAUGACAAAAAUCUGUUUGUGUUACUAUAUAGUGAUUUUGUCGUACCAGGGGACUGACUUGGUUCUUUUCCCGGUCUUUUUGUUGCACUGAUAGGCGAGGAAAUAUUGAACUGUCACCUGUAGGAGGGAAGAAACAAAUAGAAAGAUUUCCCAAGAAAUAAGCCCUCCAUUGGUUUUCAAAUCCAGGGCCACAUUAGUAAGUUUCCGCUGUAUUUGGCAAAAGACAAUCAAUUGCCGCCACGAGUGCCCCAGCUCCAUCCACCACUCAUCUGCAUACAGAAGCAGCCAUAUUGCACAUGAUCUAAAAGGGUAAAAAAUGGGCUGAGAAAACAGAGGGAAAGGGUCAUUAAGCACCAGGUUGGGAGACAGAGAGAGACAGCUAGGGAGACAUAGAGUCCCAACUUCAUCAAGAUUAAUCACUGACAUCUGGUGCCUUGGAGGACCUAGUUAGUAACCCUCUGUUUUCCCCCUGGUUGGGUGUGAAUCAUCGAUGGCAGGCGGCGACGCAGGAUGCGCAGCCCCGGUUUGCCUGUUGUAGCUUUUGUCACACUGGGUGACAAAAGUGUGUAAUGAAUGACAGUGAGGGGGUAAAGUGUGAACAAAAACACUUGUAAUGCUGCCAUAUAUUUUCAUCUGUAAUUCAGCCGUGGUGUGAAUACAGCAGUUAUGGCACAGCAGAGAUUAUUGUGUACACCGCGGCUGUCUGUGCUGACAGACGAACCAAGAUAGAUGUUCAGACGGAGAGAUGGAUGAAGGAGCUGAGAGAGGGCUGCAGAAAAAGAUAGAUAGAUAGAUAGAUAGAUAGAUAGAUAGAUAGAUAGAUAGAUAGAUAGAUAGAUAGAUAGAUAGAUAGAGGAAAGGUGAUGAGUGAUGAUAAACAAAUUCACAAUAUAGAGAUAGAUGGAAGGGAUAGAUGAUAGGUUAAUGGAUGGAUGGACGGAUGAAUAAAAGGUUAAUGGACAGAUGGAUGGAUGGACGGAUGGAUAAUACUUAAUGGAUGGAUGGAUGGAUGGAUGGAUAAAAGGUUAAUGGAUGGAUGGAUGGAUAAAAGGUUAAUGGAUGGAUGGAUGGAUAAAAGGUUAAUGGAUGGAUGGAUGGAUGGAUGUAAAGGGUUAUUGGAUUAGUGGAUAGGUGAUGGACGGAUGGAUAACAGGUGAAUGGAUGGAUGGAUGUAAAGGGUUAUUGGAUGAAUGGAUAGAUGGAUGAAUAGAUAGAAGGAUGGAUUGAUGUAUGUAUUGAUGCAUGAAAGGUUAAUGGAUGGAUGCAUUAUUGGAUGGAUGGAUGGAUGUUAGGUUAAUGGAUGAAUGAAUGGAUUGAUAAAUGGAUAAAAUGGAUGAAUAAAUAGAAGGAUGGAUGGAUGGAUGUUAGGUUAUUAGAUGGAUGGGUAGAUAGAUGAUAUGUUAAUGGAAGGAAGGAUGGAUGGAUGAACAAGUCUAGAAGUUAUGGGAUAGAUGGAUGGAUGCAUGAUAGAUGGAUGGAUGAUAGGUUAAUGGAUGGAUGAUAGAUGGAUGAUAGGUUGAUAGAUGAUAGAUAAAUGAAUGGAUAGCUAAAUGGGUGGAUAGAUAGAAGGAAUUAUUGAUCGAUGGCAGGUUAAUGGAUGGAUGGAUGGAUGGAUCAAUGAAUAAGUUAAUAGAUGGGUGGAUGGAUAAAUCAAUGGAUUGAUUGAUUCAUGGUUAGAUUGACAUAUUGAUAAACUAAAUGAUAGAUGGACUAAUAGAAAGAUGGAGGGAUGGAUAGAUGAAAAGAAAAAAGUUAAAAGUGAGAAUUAGUGUAACAAUAAGAGGAUAUGAAAUGAUGGAUGGAAUUAUAAAAAAGAUGGAUAAACAAUUAAAAAAUGAAUGAAGGAUGAAUAAAUUGUAAAACAGAAUGAAAGGAUGAAUUAAUUAACAGAAGAUGAUUAAAUGAUGGAAGAAAAGAAAGAACAGAUUAAUGUGGAAAAUAAAGGAUGAAUGAGCCGAUGCAACAAAGGAAAAAGAUAGAUAGAUAGAUAGAUAGAUUCUCUCUAUAUUUCAGAUCUAAGGUGGUGAAAGCUGUAAAACUACGUCAUCUCAGUGAAGUGAAGUUAAGAAAGUGAGGAUCUUAAACGUAUAUAUUUAAAAGAUCAUGAUGGAGAUGCUGUGAAGACAGAAGUUAUGGCUCAUCUGAUUAAAAUUUCCAUACAUGCCAAAUGACUCCAAGGACAUCCAUAAAUCCUGCUUUUACAGCAUGUAUGUAUGUAUAUGUGAGUGUAUUCAUGCAUCAGUUUAAUUAGAUAUACGUUAUGGUUUCAUUUAUGUAGGGUUGGUCCAUAUAAUCAAUUAUGAUCACGGCUAUAAAGCUCAUAAUUUGGUGAAACUCUGAUCCAUGCGAGGCGCCGUAUAACUGAUUUAAAAAUAAAAAAAUAAAUGGAGAGAGAGGGGGGGAGAAUCCUUGACACCUAUUGGUUGAUUUAACAGAGUCCUGCUCGCAGAUUUCAUGGAGGGAGAUGAAUUGAUGGCGAGGAGGGGAAAGACAGAGAAGGUCGUGCGAGAGUGGGAGCUUGAGGGGGAGAAAGACGGGGUGGGGGGAGGGGGCAGGGAGUCAGAGUCCUCUCUAUUAACAGUGGGCCUGAAGGGGGCUCUUCUUACUCGCGCCCCAUUCUGGCUACGCUACAUUAUUCUGUUCGGUUUGGGCCCUGGGCUCCGGCUUAUGAGGAGAGACUGUGACCCACAUCUACACACUGUUAUUUAGACACAGUUACUUCUUGUUGUCGCUGCAACAGCUAAGGCUCGGGCUGAUGCUGGAUGCAGCGGUGGAUCAGGUGAGACACUUGAUGCUGAGCCGGAUGAUGGAGCCUGAAAAGAGUGUGAUAAUUAGAGGAGCUGCAGAGGGACACUGGAAACCGAACAAACACUUUCCUCUUACAAGGAGUGCAAAUUAACGUGUGUGAAAAAUUGAGAUACUAUCCUUUUUUAUCACAGAACCAAAGAGUCGUUGGUUUUGCCCAACCACACCGACGUGGUCUUCUUGUUUGAGAGGUUACCGAACACGACAUUCAUGCUUUGAUAUCUCUCUCUCUCUCUGUCUGUGGUUUAUUUUCCAAACCGAGCGCUGAUUCUUGACCUCCUUUUACAACACGAGCUCUUACAUUAAAGUCUCCAAGAACUUGUAAAGAUCAGGAGUCAAUAAAGAUAGCAGUGUUAGCGGUGUGAACUCUUCACUGAGGAAUUGUAGCAAAGUCAAAACGAGGAGAAAAGGCGAUGAGAUCAUCUGCUGCUGAAUCAAACAACUGUUUUUCAUACUUGAAGGACUGAAGAUCGUGUUUUAUCGAGAUCAGAAGACAAAACAUGAUGAAAUCGGGUUUUAGUGAUUGCCUUCUUUAUUUAACUUACACAUAAAAAAAAUGAAACUGCUUUCCAGUCCGGCCAAAGUCUAAAAGACAUAUUUCCAUUGAGUCACUUCUCAGAUAUAAGACUGAAUUGGUGUAUCAUCAUUGUGGAUUUUUCAAGUCUGGCUUUGUCCUCAGAUUUGGCUUCAGUCUAAAAGGAUUACCGUAAACUUCUUAAAGUGUCAAUCAAAAGUGGGGUAUUUAUGUAUGGAAAAAUGUGGUAUUAUUUAAGUUGAAACCAUCUUCAAAAGUUCUCAUAAACUUCUCAAUGAAAUCACUCAAAGUAAUUAAUGAGUAGGUUGUAGUUCUGUUAAAGUUUUCUCUUUAUGCUGAUGAUAUCAUUGUAUUUUAGAAUUGGUGAAAAAUUUCCAAACCUUUGCACAAGUGUUAAUCUGUUAGUCUUUUAACGCUGGUUUGAUAGACAAAAGUGUAGCCAUCUAGAAGUUAUCAUGUUUUAUCUGGAUCAGAAGAAAAAACAAGAUGAAACCAGGUUUUAGUGAUUCUCUUCUUCAUUUAACUUAAACAUUAAAAAGUGACACUGCUUUCCAGUCCUGCUCAGAGGUAAAAGAAGUAACUUUAAAAACUCUAAAAGACAUAUUUCCAUUGAGUCACUUCUCAGAAAUAAGAUUGAAUUGGUUCUCAUAAACUUCUCCAUGAAAUCCCUUAAAGUCAUAAAUGAGAAGGUUGUAUUUCUGUUGAAGCUUUCUCUUUCUGCCGAUGAUACCAUUGUAUUUUAGAUUUGGUGAAGAUUUUCCAAAGCUGGGCACACGUGUUAAUUUGUCACUCCCUAAGUAUUAGCGUCACUUUUUUAACAUUGAAGUGGAGCCAUGUUGAAGUUACCAAAGCAGAACAAAUUUAAGCAUAUAAGUGUUUAACUUGAGUCCGACUCUGGAGUUUGAUCGUUGCUGCCAUAAGUUUAACGCUGCAGUCUGGGGGAAAACGUGACAGACUUUAAAGUAAUUUCAACUUUAACCCAACAUUUCAAACUUCAGGAACAUUUAAUUCUGACAUUGAUUUUUUUGGAUCAACAGUUAAAAAAGUUGAAUUUUUGAUCAACUUUUCAACUCUUGGAUUUCACAGCUUUUUCAGUCUGAGCUCAACCUUGUAGGAAACAUCAGGAGAUGAUUUUGUUUUACGAUUUAACUUUGCUUUUGUUUCUCUUUUGUGUGAAAUGAGUCUCAUAACCAUAAGGUAAUAAAAGAAGAAAAAAACAAACAAACAUGUUAAUCUGGCUCAGACAGGCUCUGUUUUGUUCAGUCCCAACAAAUAUAAUACCCCAUUUGAGCCAUCUAUCCUGCAUUUCCAAGGGCGUCAUCUCAUUAUUGAUUGGAGGAAAGUGAAGAGAUAUGGAUAUUACUACGCUGAAGGCCACCGAGGUACUGAAGGUGAUUCAUGGGAGGGUCUUCCUCAUAAUUCAGGCCCUGGACAAAUAGUUCAUUUCCAACAGUGUUGGCAUUUGAAGAAAUCAAAUCCUUGAGGUGAAUUUAAAGCAGGCCCAGAGGCGGAUCUGUACCUCGCGCUUACCUGCAGACUCCUGUGAGGUCUCGCAGUUAUCUUUCAAUUACCUGCACAAUAUACCUCCCCCCCACGCACAAACACCUGCCCUCCCUAAUCCACUAUAAGCACUAACCUCCAACAUCUCUCACUGUUUCUGCCGCAGACAAAACUAUUACUCUUGCUAUUUUUAUCUCUUUGCAGUGUUUUUCAUCGUAGCAGCAUCCAUUGUUGCACGAAAUCGCUUUGAGAUUAUCGUUAUGCAGAUGCAGAUGAAAUACUAGUUCUGGCCGUGCAAUUUUUCACUGCAGGGACCAACUAUUAUCAUUUUCCUGACCAUGCCCUUUCUGGUAAUUCUCCUCUAUAUAGCCUCAACCUUUCUUAUGGCUGUCAGUUGAAGGGAACCAAUUAACAUAUUGUGUCCGAGGGAGUCAUUUUCUCGCCUUCCCUCCCUGUGUUUUUGUCACACUGCUCGCUCGCUCGUGGGCAGAGUCGCACAAAUUAGCGGUGUGGGCUGGAAGGCUCAAUUACCUUUUAAGGACUUUAGAGGUAGUCUGUGUCCGUGUCUGCCUGUCUCUGAGCUUCUUCCAACCUGCCUCGAUAAGGGCAUAAAACAAGAGGGGGGGGUUCAGGGGAGAGAGGAAGAAGAAGAAGAUGAAGAAGAAGAGGAGCAAUUGGUGCACUGGGGCUGGGUUGAAUUUCUAAAUGAUCUGAUUCCUGUGUCUGCACUGCGACUCACUGUUGGCAUGCCUGUUUCCCCUAGAGACAACGGCAACUCUCCUCCUCUCAUCAGCCCACCACGCUCUCACCCCACCGCCUUCCCCCUCCACCACAUAUCUCCCUCCUAUCUUCCAUUGUGUGCGAGGGGACAGCCAGCAGAAAGUCCAUUUGAAUAGGAUGGCAGGGGUGUAUUCUCAGAGGAGCAGCACCACUCUGCGAGCCGUGCCAGGCCUGGCCUUGUUAUCCAUCUGUGACCAUGUAAUGGAGAUGGAUACUGUAGCUCUGGCAGGCUGAAAUGGGAGAGAGAUACAUGGGCCAGUAGAUAUCAAGCAUCUGAAAGUGUGAAAAUGCUGCAAGCGUUGGAAAUGUAAAGCGUUCGGCAAGUAGGGCUGUGAUGGGGGAGAUAUCAGUGGUGCUGAUACUGGGAAGUACUCGCAGCGCUCCCACUGUAUGGAUGAUGAAAAUAAGUCAUGACCCCUGGGAGUGAAACUCGAUUAUACGACAGCCGGAGCCUGAAUCUCAUGGUUUUGGUUUGUUUUGAUCAGAGAGGAUGGAUUCAUUGAACGACAAAGUCCACGAUAUGAGCAGGUAAUGAGUCAAACGGGUUUAAAACCCCAAAAAUCUGGAUUAAGGCUGCAGGAUAUUGGAAAAAACUAACAUUGCAAUGUUUUUCAACCCUGCGAUAUAUAUUGCAAUAAUAAAAAAUACAGGAAUUUUCACCAGAUGACCUGAAUAGUGCUUGGACAGUUAACCUGCACCGAUCUUACCUCUUUUGUGAAUGUUAGUAGAAUGGUUUCUGUCUGUCUCAGAGAUAUUUUUAGCUUUGUGGUGUGUCGUGGAAAAUCAAGUGUAAACUUAGUAAAACAAUUUACAGGAGACAGGAUGAGAUCUGAAGAACAGCCUGGGCGUCUUUUAUCGUACGGAUGUAGAAAUCAGAACAGAUGACAAACAGAGUCUUGACCAAACCCAAGGAAAGCCUCCUAAGCUUUUCUUCUUCUCCCUUUUAUACUGUCCGGUGUUUAUCCGAAUACAGUCAUUGUGUACUGCUUAUUUAAGUCAUAAGGGUGAUCUUUCGUCAUCAUGGGUACAUCGAAUCUUCCCAUGAUGACGUGUUGUCCUGUUCUGGAACUCAACACUUUGUUUAGAUUAGUUUUACCUCUCCCAGAGAUUAGCUCUAAAUGUUCUGGCAGACAGACAGUUUUGGUCCCUUCAAAACAGCCUUGCUUACAACCUCUCAGUUAUGAGACUGCAUAAAUAGGCCAACCCAGAUUAUUUGUAACCCCUCAAUAAAAGAUAAUCACUCUAUAUUUCUUAACCUAAAUGUAUGAAAAGAUUCUACUACAGGUGGGACGUUAUUGUGGCGACAGAUGAACACUGAACACGUGUUUUGGUCGACAUCAUCCUUCUUGUAACUGAAAUAAUUCCAGUUUACUGACUUUCCUUUUCUUUUUACCAACAAGUCUUCAUUUUCGCUGGUUUUCUCUUGUUUGUCUCUUGUUGUUGUUACCGAUGUUGUGCCGAGAAAUGCAUGCCCACUGAGAAUUGCAUGCACCUCGCAUAGUAGAGCGGUCCAUGGAAACGAACGAUUUAAAACCCAUACAAUUCUUAUUUGUUGGGCUAAACAGUGAUGAGGAAUGUUCCAAAAGUAAUUCUCAACAGGUAUGCAUUUCUCGGCACAACAUCGGCAGCGCCAGCGACUCACUCCAUGUGCAGGGGUGUGGUUUCCUCCUCUCUGAUUUUGAUUGACAACUGGCAGGGUAGUCUGAUUGGCAACUGAGUAAAGAACGACAGUGAUUGGUGGAUUGCUGAAGUCACAUGAAGUGUAUCUCAGUCAGCUUCCCUUGAAAUUAGAUGAGAUCAUUCCCCUCCAACAUUGCAGGCUCUGAAUGUGACUAUCGCCCACACGUACAUCGCCAUGACGAUGCUCCAAUGAUAUAUCGUGCAGCCCUAUGUUGGAUGAUGUUGGAUGAUCUGCUAUCAAGCUGAGGUCCAGAAACACAGGAACCUUUAUUUUCUUUGGUUAGUCCAUAGCUUUGAUGUUUCUUUCUUCAAUCCUCCAGGCUUUUAUUCUGAAAAGUUUUCUUUUCCAAAGCUUUAUUUUUGAGAUAAAACACAAGGACGGCGAACCUGCAGCCUCCUUUGAGCAAAAACAGCUCGUUCUUCUCUGACCAUAUUUCAGCCGCCGCCCGUUCCUGCCUCUGCUGAAUUUAUGAUAUAUGAUAUUUUUGUUAGACUCAAGCUGACCAAGAAGUCCCAGUCAGCAGUUAAAUUCACACAUUACAGAGGAAGGCAGGUUACCCUUUAUUUAUUGAUAUUGUUUGAUAUAUUUAUAAGUCCGAGCCCAUGCAUUAUACAUGCGGUCAUAAGGCCUGCGCACAACAGGGAGAUCAAUGUGAUGAAAAGAAAGAGGAGAAAUGCAAGCCUUAGGAGCGCUGCCAUCAGAGGCGUCUGUUUAAUAUAAAUGAAAAACCAAACAGGAAACAUAUGACAUGUUCAUUUGCUUAUGAUGAGGCGGAGAUUGAGGCGGCAAAUGGAGUCUGAUUUAUUAUGUCAAGACUCACAAAUAGCUGUCCGAGUUCCUACUUUAAAGUCUGUCCCUUUAGUUUGAUCGACAGAAACAAACUUUGUGCAAAAUCUCUUUUUUAAGGAAAUUUAACUUGACUUUAGAGGACAGCUGAUGAAGGACAGAUUAUAGAGUCACUGUUAUGUCCAUGCAUGCAUCUCCACCAACAUCCAGUUUGUUUGACCUCCUUGGCCCGCCCACGGUUGGCUGUACAUGGUAUAUGCUCAUAUCUGCUCAUGCAGGUGAAAUGCACAGGUAGGUGAUGUAGAAAUGAGGCAUAAGUGGUCCUACUGCAAACUUCAAAUCCAAGAGUGCUAAAGGAACCAAAACAGCUCAUAAACAGAAUCAAAUAAGGCUUUUGUAACAAACAUAUAAUAUAAAAAUAUGAUUUAAUAAUACGGUAGUGCUGUAUGAGUAAUUGGUUUCCAGUUUUCAUUAAAUAGAAACAAACUGAAGAAGAAUCAGGAGCCACAUUCAUUUUUAAUCCAAACAACAAUAAGAGCUCUGUGGUCUUUAAAAAACGUUCAAACUAUUCUGUUUGCUGUUUUUAUUUAACUCCUAAAUUUAGGAUUCACUGGAAAUGGAGUAUCCCUCCUUUCAAAAUAAAAGCAUGCUUGUUCAAAAGGAGAAAUAAAGCAACUAAACACAAGAUCGUUAAAAAAUAAAAGCAUCACAUACAAAAGCUUCAUGAGUCAGUCUAUAGAAACGGGGCUAGUCAUGUAGAUAAUGACAUGUAUGUAAGUCCGUCACAUUAUUGAAAUAGUUUAAGAAGUAAUUCUACUUUUAUCUCGCCUUAGUUUUGCUGGUUUAAUUCUUUUUUUAAAUUUGGUUUUGCAUAAACCAAACUAAUGUUUUUGCUUUUUUGUUUUGCCAAAAUAAAACCAUGAGGUCAAAAUUUAGUCAUGCAACAGUCCAGAUUACUCAAUACAUUUUUACGGGUAAUCAUUAUUUUCAAACUGUAUGUUUAAAUUCCAUUAUUUUAGCUGACAUCAGUCUGGUUAGCUUGUAGAUUUUAGCUUUAAUUGAAAGUACUACAGUGAUAUUUAAAGUUUAAACUACUUGCACAAUUUGCAUGUUGAUUUUCUAUCAUGGUGGCAGCUUAACUACAGUGUUCUGUAUGGGACAAAAAGCAUGUGAAUAAAAACAUGUUAAUUUGAGAUGUUACUACCACUUCACUGCGACACAUGCGACCGAAGCUUUCGGUGUGACUUUUCUUUUUUACUCUUCAGCUUAUGGACUUUACGGAGGGUUAUCUAGACAUAGUCUCUCCUGCACAAGUCUGAGCUUUCUGAGUAUUUUUCCUGUGGAUUGUAUCUCUGAGAAGAGCAAUAUUGCACUAUUAGACAUGUUUCUUACAAGCACGGCGAUCAAUAUCAAUAGACUUAAAAAAAGAAAAGAAAAGAAAAGUGUAAAAAAUAGAGAAUCUAUCCUCGUGUGUUGCUUUGGAAAUGUUACAGGGAGAAAUGUGGAAGUUUUUUCAGAAUGACUGGAGGGGCUUUGUGGAGGUUUUGAAAAAUCCCAUUAUGAUCAAUAAUAGAAGGGUCCAUGUGAGGGAGGAGUGCAAAAGGAAAAUGCAAAUAUCUAUAACUGCAGCACGUGUUUCCACCUUUGCCUCUUUGACUGACGACUUUUGUUCAAAUUAAAUCUAAAUAUCGUCAGAAAAAGGUUCCUGCGUCUGGUCCUGGUGCAUGACUGAAGGAGUCGAGGAGUUCUUUGUCUAAAGUAGGGUAUACGAGGGAAAAGGUGUGGGAGGUGCAUGGAGGGAGAAACAGGAUUUUCACACUCAAUAUUGCAUGGCUUGACAGCAGCUUUUCGCCUCACUCUGCCCAGUUCAGUCAUGCAGGAUUGGUCUGCUUUAUGUGGCUGUGCACACUCUUUAAGUAGGAGUAUUUCCAGAAAAUAUGCCACCCUGAGUCCUGCAUGCUAAUGAAGUAAUUAUGAUCUUAUUUCAUAUUUUGCUGUUUUUAACGGCUUCAUUUCUUUUAAAAAGUUUAAAGAUGAAGAUUUGCUUCAUUUGAAUCCGAUGUUAAAGCUCCGAGUUGCCUGACAGUCACUAGAUGUGUGUUAUCAAAAGGGGAAAUGCUGUGAAGUCUUUGUUGUUGGGGGACUUUGAUCCUCCACCAGGGGUCACUGUUGUGAAAGGAGAUUGAUCUCCACUAACCCCCCCUCCUGAGAAGAUCAAUGAGUCCAAGUCUCUACGGUACAGCUCCCCCCAACAGCUCCUUUCUGUGUAUAUCAGUGUCUCAGUGUGUGUGUGUGUGUGUGUGCUUCAUGUAAGAAAAAGGGAGUCAGAGGAGAUGUGUGUGUCUGUGUGUGUGCCUGCAUACACAGUUGUCAUUCCAGCGCGCUGUCAUUACUCAGGCUGUGUUGAGAAUAUGUAGUGCUAAGUAGUCAGAGAAGAAGCAAACUAACUGAAUGUGAAAGUGGUCCUGGCUCAGGUGCCAGGCUGGACCUGCUUACGGCUCCUGAAUGUGAAAUGUUUCUGUGCGCCGCGCUGGCAGCAAGGUGAGUCAGGAGCUCUGCACAAGUCACAGAGUGUUAGCUCGAUGACUGCUCGCUUGUGGACUUCUUCUGGUCUCCUCCUGUACGCGUCUAUCCGAGGGUGUCUGUCCUUUUCUCUCACUGGGCUGUAAUGAGGCGUGGGCACAUACAGUAGUCGCAGGAAACUAAUAGAAACAAAGGCUCAGCUGACAAGUUGUACAUAUUUAUUGUUGGUUUCCUGCGUUUCUUAUAUUCAAGAUUAUACUUUUGCUACUUUUGGGUUUGAUUAGUGAAUAAAAAUGUGAAAAUUAGCACCCCUGGUUCUAUUUUUCUCUAUGCUAACAUUUAAUAACUCAAACUUGUCAGGUAUAAAUUCAAAAUAAAGGAGCAAAAAGAAAACUUGAUGCUCUGUGAUGAAUAUUACAGCAGGUUAAAGUUAAUUAACCUUAAUUAAGAGUCUGAUUCCCAUAUCUAUGCUUUUGUCAUGUGUCACGUCUGUUUUAUUUCACAUUUUUAUUGCUCUGUCAAUCAUUCGCUGCUUCAAACUUUAUAUUUCAAGGACUUAAAUAUGCCACUAAAAUAAGCUAUCCUGGCAUGUUUAUGUUUUCACUUCAGCUGACAUUAUUUACAGUCUGACUUUAUUGUUGAUUUUAAUGCUUAAUUCUUAGCUGUCAAACAUUUAAUUUGUUGGUGAAAAAUCACGAAAUUUUAACAGUUAAUCCUGAUUUAUUUGAUUUUUAAUGUUUAAAACUCAAUGAUAUUAAUAAGUACUGGAGUUUUUAAAGCAUUUUUUAAAUGUGAAGCAAAUCUAACAGAUCUAUACAGGCAGUAAAUGAACUUUAUAUUCCUGGAUUUGAGGUGUAUUAGUCAAAUAAUGGCUCCACCACUGUGAUUUAAAGUAGGCGGCAUCUUCAGAGUCAUCUGUCUGUAAAGUAAGGUUUAUAUUCAUAAAUGUAGAAGUGUAUUCUCCAGUCUGUGUCAGUACAGUGUGCAGUCAUUCUGAGGUCAUUUUUAUUUCUUACUAACAUCCAGUGAUUCCUUGUUAAUGCAGCAGGAUCUGGACUCUUCAGGAGUUCAGUUAAUCAGCUUCCUCUGUUUCGUACACAUCCUAUCAACGUGAAAUUUGUUCCCUAUGUUGGUAUGGCAACCAUUUAUCGUUUAACAUGUCAAGUGAACUUUGUUUUUUUUUUAUUGGAAUUGCACUUUUCAGGAGUUCCAGUUAGGUUGUUUACCAUGAUGGUGCCCAAGGUGUAACUGGUCUCAAUUCGGCAACUUGGACCUUCCUUAAAGGGAUAUUGCGGUGUACAAUUAAUAUAGGGUCAAACACACCGUAACACCGAGAUAGACACCCCCUCGAGAGAUGAAUGUUGCCGACCGCUUGCUUCUUUAAUUGUACCAACUUUAGUAACGACCGCACGAUAGCAAUACACAGCGGUCUGAGGAGCCAUAAACAAACCUCAACCAAAACACGACUCUACAGCCACAAAUAAUGCUCAGAACAGCACCUCACUUCACCAACAGUACAUAUAGGGUCACAGACAUAGUACUAGCCACCAAACAUCUUUCACCUACUCUCUUCCAGCAGCCGCUUGUUUGUAGCGAGACCUCGACCAGUCCAUUACGGACUACAGUGGGGUGACGCAGCUCAAGGAAGAACAUUUAUGAUCAUUUCUUUAUCAUUUUCUUGAAGUAAUAAUCACCAUAUUAAUCAUUUUGCACUGCAGACGCUGUAGUUCUUCUGCCUUAGCAUCUCGGUCUGAUUGCAACUCCAUGAGGAAACUAGCCUGAUGAAUCACUUCAAUUAAGAUCACUGCAUUUGCACUUUUCAGUCAGAAUCCCCUUUUGUAGUGUGUUACCUUCAAAUAUAAUUAGGAACAAGCAUUUCCAGUUUUGUUUUCAGUUCAUUAUCAGCUGUUCUAACAGGGUUGUUGGUUUGUAUUCAGCAGUAAAUCCAAUAAGCAUCAUUGCAGCUGUAACUAUUUCCAAACUUGGUCAAAUAAAUCACAGCAAACCUCAAAGAAAGUGAGGAAACAUCCAUAAAGAACAUUUUUAAUUACACUCCUCAGAUAAAAUAUUCAGUAUUAGAGGGGAGCAGCUACCAAAAUAAAGUGUAAAAGUACAAAAACGCUGAGCUGGGCUUUAACCAUACAUAUGUCUGUAGUUUCCUUAAAUGGGCGAACCAUCUGUUCGCGGCAGCCUGAAGCCUCCCAGUUCUAAUUGUCCCGUCUGUGGUGUUUGAUAUGCAUAAUUAGACUUUUAAUAAUCUUUGCUGUGCAGGUGAUGUUUGCCAUGAGUUCACAGAGAUUUGUAUUUCCUCUUCAGUUGGAAAGGGGGGGUUACAUUUCCAGUAGUCUGGAUUCUGCUGUCGCUGCGAAGCUGCCUCAAAAAAAGGCAAUUUUCAGCUCUGUGUCGCUUUGUUUUUAAUCAGAUUUUUCUUCAGUAAAAUCCAAAAUAAGGCAACCAUAUGUUGAAGAUACAGGCCUGUCAGAUCAGCUUUUAAAUAUGAGAAAUACUUUAAAUGACAGUUUGGUACAUAAGAGGUCAUUCGAGUGAAAUUUAAAAUGCUAUUUUAACAUCCUUGAGUACUCUAAUGCACAUUAAACAUUAAAAAUGAGAUCUUUAGGGGUAUUAGACUGAACUCACAAACCUUGAUAGUCAACUUUGACAUAUGGUGGAGGAGUUUAAAUUACUAAAAGGUAAUUUUUUCACCUUUUUUUGGACUGAAAUGUUUUCUUCUGUCCUGAGAGUGUGUCCAGAGGGCAUGUGUGUAGUUUUUAUAUCCUGAAAGUUUAUCCCAAGGCGCCAACUUCACAUUUUGUCCACUGGAAGGGCAUCCAAAGGAGACUUUUGUAUCGUCUAUAUACUAAAUUCCUCUCGAGGGCCCAGUCUUACAUUAUAUUCAAUGGAAGCGCAUCCAAAAUACACAUUUAAAGGGUACUUUUUUAUAUAUUAUCACACGGAAAGGCAUCCAGAGUUGUUAUAUACUGGAUAUUUACUCAGGGGGCACUAUACCAUGUCUCAUCACUUAGAAUAGCAGCUACCAAAGACACUUUUCAUGCAGUCCCACGUAAAGGGCAGCAGAGAGGGCAUUUCCAAAUGUUUUAUUUACCACGGCAGCAUCCGACAGGACACUUUUGCAGAGUUUUCUCAAACAUGAGGGCGCCGGGCCGGGGCGGCGGGUGUAAACCCCGGCCCCCUCGCCCUCCUUGAGUACACCACUGAUUGGCGACACGAACAGAGGUUUCUUUGUUUGUUUGUUUGUCCAUUUGUGGCGCGCAGGAGGUGUUGCUGAAAUCACAGUUUUUCCUUGAUGAUCCAUCGGUGAAUCAGAUAACGCAUCUGUCAGUCCAGUCUGCUCUUGACGGUCACAUUCAGCAGUUUAAAAGCAUUUACUAAUUUGACCUUUAUAUAGAAGCGAAAUCCAGGUUUUGAAUUAUUAAAAAAUGCAAAAUGCAGUACUAAGAAGCAUUUGGAUGUCAGAGUAACUAAGGCUGACUGCAGCCUCCUUCCCAGAUUUCACUGCUGUGCCGUUUUCACAGGUACAAGGGCUUUCAGCGACGAUGUAGGCAGUCAGAUCAACAUCUCUGCGUAGUGAAAAUGUUGACGUGUAUUGAAAGCUACAGUGCGUCCUUUGGGGGAGCCAUCUAUGAAAAAUGCAAGUGCAAGGAACAGUCUAGAAAGGCAUUACAAAUACCAAACUGCAGCACUUCAAGACGAGAUGUCGGGGAUGUCGGACAAGAAGGGAUUCAUCACAUGUCCGACAUUAUUUAAGAUGAUUUUAGCACAGCCGGGCAUUAGAGGGGUGCAAUUUGAUCACAUGGCUUCGUGUUUUUGUGCGCUCAGGGUGAGUUUUAUCGGACGAGCAGCUCCAGCACAAUGGUAGUGUUUGUGGCAGCGGUGCUGCUGAUGCCCCCUGAAUGCCCACAGUGGCAGAGGAGGUUUAAAGAGCGCACUCAAAGGACUCGCUGAUCAAAGGAGCGUUUCAUCUGUGAAUUCUGCUGCUGCUGCGUCGAAUGCCAGAGACGUGUUAUGACAGAGAUCUGAUGCUAAGAGACUGACAGCAAAGUCUCUGAUGACCCCUUUGCACAACGCAGGAGAAAAUAAACAGGAAAAUAAAGAGGGGGAGCAAAUACAGUGCAGAGUACAGUACUUUCAUAGCAGGGAAGGUAGUAAUUAUACUGCAGUUUAACAUGUACAGGCUUUGAAAAUAUGUUAAUGUACUGUACAUGUAGAUCUGAGCUGCUAGAGACACUGAUCCCCUCUGUGCAAAAACUUCAUGUUCAGAAAUACCCACACCUUUUUUACCUUUCACCUCCUCACCUUGUAAACUGGUUAUAUUUUGCACUGCUGCAUAUUUAUAAGACAAGAUUGUGCAUUUAUGUGGCAUAAUUACUGUUACAGUGCAUGUUUUACUCAUGCAUGGCAAAUAAAACAAUGUUAAUAAGGUUACAGUGUCAGUAGUUUGAUUCAAACAUGCAAAGGUUCUAGAAAUAAGAAUUAAACAAGAUAUCAAAUAUGUUUCCUUUGUCUUAAAGGGAGAUAACAGCAUAAAAUUAGGGUCAAACACACCAUAACACAGAGUUAGAUACCUUGCCCAAAGAUGAAUGUUGCCGAUCGCUUGCUUCUCUAGUUAUUCCAACUUUAGUAACAACCGCACGAUAGCAAUACAGAGAGCCACACACUCAACCAAAACACCACUCUAUAGCCACAAAUAAUGCUCAGAACAGCACCUAACUUCAUCAACAGGACAUAUAGGGUCACAGACAUAGUACUAGACACCAAACAUCUUUGUAACUUUGACUCAUUUCUUUAACAAAGAGACUAAACACAACUCACCCACUCUCUUCCAGCAGCCACUUGUUUGUAGAAGACCUCAGGCCAGUCCAUUACAGACUACAGCGGGGUGACGCAGCUCAAGGAAGAACAUUUAAGAUCAUUACUUCAUGGAAAUACAAUCAGACUGAGACGCUAAGGCAGAAGAACUACCGCGUCUGCAGUACAAAAUGAUUAAUAUGGUGAUUAUUACUUCAAGGAAAUGAUAAAGAAAUGAUCAUCAAUGUUCUUCCUUGAGCUGCGUCACCCCGUUGUAGUUCAUAAUGGACUGGCCUGAGGUCUUGCUACAAACAAGCGGCUGCUGGAAGAGAGUAGGUGAGUUGUGUUUAGUCUCUUUGCUAAAGAAAUUAGUCAAAGUUAAAAAGAUGUUUGGUGUCUAGUACUAUGUCUGGGACCCUAUAUGUCCUGUUGAUGAAGUUAGGUGCUGUUCUGAGCAUUAUUUGUGGCUAUAGAGUGGCGUUUUGGUCGGCAACAUUCAUCUCUCGACGGGGUGUCUAACUCUGUGUUACGAUGAUUGACCCUAAAUUAAUUUUGUACCAGAAUAUCCCUUUAAAUGACCGUUUAGUUUAGUUUAGUUUGCACAUUAUGAAACUAAAUGUCAUACAGUGACAGGUGUUUAGAGGGGAAACAUUUAUAACUGUAGAUGUGAAAUAAUAAUGGUCCUAGAAUUGAACCCUGUGGUACCCCGAACUGCAUCGUAGCUCUUUCACCAGAAUGUUGACAUACUGAUGACAAUUACAUACAUAAAUAUUGAGAUACUUUAAGACAUGAUCAUGAAAUCCAUUUCUAGAUUUCUAUCAUGCGCAUAAACUGUCCGAGAGAGAGCGAGAAAACACAAAUCCCAUGAUACGAACUCAUCUCUUUCUCUAAGCUGCUGCUUUACUGUAAGUUCAUCGUGUUACAGUGUAUAAAAGCAGGAAAACAAAGUGAGUCCAAAGAUGCACAACAGUCAUCCAUCACAGACCCGAGCGGAGGAGGUAACAGGUCACCAGCACUUAACCUCAUUGACUCUAAUUGUUCCCAGGUGCAAUCAACGCCGGCCAGACUCCCCCGAGGGCGAACACAAACACAUUGUCCAGGUCACAAUACGCUUACUUCACUUCCUGCCCCGCUGCGUUAUGGAGGAGAUCUUGUCACGGCUGAGACGCAAAGUCGAUGGUGAGAGUUGGAGGAAGGUGGGAAUUUCUCAGAUGUAGUAUUUGUUCUAAUCAGCCGACACGUUCGGAGGGAAAGUUUGAGUCGUCCAUCAGAUUUUAGACGCGACCUACAGACGGAGUUUAACCUGAACCUGUUUGAGAAACGUUCGGUUCUCUCCUGCUUCAUUCAUUCAUUUGUAAAAGGGGACAUUUUUCUUCUGGUUGUUCAUCUAUUUUGUUUUUUUUUCAGAGGGUUAUCAUGGUCCAGUUUAAAAAGCCCUGGACUCAGAGGGCUCUACAGUUUUCUUUUCCUCCCACUGGUCAUCGAUUUGUCCUUCAGCCGGCCCUCACAGCGAGUGAAAAUGAAGUGGAGUGGUUUUUAUCUUUGUUAAUUGACUAUUGGGGAAAGAAGCUCAGCUGCUCAUUACCACCGCUGGCUUUUUUGGACCAGCAGAAAUUAAAGCUUUGGCUAAAGUUUGAUUUUGUCCAAAUCUGAUGCACUAUAAUCACCGACGCACUUGAUUGUUGUUAAAUGAAUCCAGCUCGGCUUGAGUGGGUUGCAUGAAUUAUUUUGUUGAUUUUAAAUGAAUCGGUUUGGAUGUGUUUUAGUUGCUGAUUCCCAAACCUUUCCAUUACUCUAAAGGUAGCUGUCAGCUCCUGUUAUCUCCACCACUUUUAAGAGGCCUUUAAAGGAUAAAGUUAUAAUACAUAAUAAAUAAAGUUGGCAAACUUCCAUUAAGGGAUUUUCGAUUUUUUGGCAGACUCGGUAAAUUAACAAAUACCUCCUGCACAUGAGAAAUUAUAAAAUACAACCUGAACCUUCACGAUGAUAAAAGGAUUUAUUUUUUAUAUUAUGUUGAAUAAAUACAGAAACAUCUAAAGUCUUAUAUUUGACAACGGAGCGGAAUUAAAAUGGUCCUAAAACGGGACCUUGUGGCACCCCACACUCUAUCGCAGCUCUCUAAAUCCACGUCCUAACCAGGUUUAAUGAAGCCCAUUCAGGAGCAGUACCUUGAGUAUCCACUAGAGGCAGCCCUAAAACCAAUAAAACCCCAUUAACAAUUAUAUAACAAUGCCCAUUUAUACAGCAAUUUUCAACACAUGUCAGUCAGGAUCGCUUAAUGCCAGGAUUCCACCGCAUGCAGAUCCGCAAUCAUACAGCGCCCACCAGAUCUGAUCCGCUGCCACAAAUGGAGGAGAAGCGCUUGAGUAUUACCAAUAUUUCUUCCAAGACUAGGCGAGUUUCACUGUGAGACAUUGAAUGAGAUCCUUGGCCCCUCCCAUUAUCACGUGAAGAAAAGUUCAACGUAUUAACUUUAUUUUAUUUUGAAAUUGAACAGGAUAUUUUACUCUGUAGCCGCAUACAACUUCCGCUGCCGCUUGUUGCUGCGCUGAAUUGAUGCGUUGUGCUGCGCCGUCCGACAAAAAUAGAAGCCUUGCGUAUCUGAUCCGAACGCCAGAGUGGAUCCGGAUGGCGGACACAUUGUGUGGAAUCGCGCUCAUUGAUUAUAAUGCUUGCGUAUUUGAUCUGGCUGCGGUUCCGGAGGGGAGCGCAUUGGACGCAUUGGCGGAGCGUGUUGGACUUUGUUUGCUGAGAUUGAGUGUAGCCUGCCUGAAGUAGCACCAUGUUGAAUUUAUGGCCUGGUUCAAAAACAGUUUCUAUUUAAAUAGAUGAUUGUUGUGUUUUUAAUGAUGAUCCUAAAAUCUCAUGUUGGAAAUACAAUGUAGGUAGAAGCGAAAAAAAUGAAGGUGCCGAUAUCACCGCCCGUGGAUAUCCUACACAAAUCUGCACAGGUAUCCUAAAAAUAACACGUCUGGAUCAGUUAAGGGGUCAACAUUUGAAAAUAUGUCUCAUAAAAGGAGAUCAUGUGCAAUCUUAAACAGUCCAGACUCCAUAAAAACAUAAAGAAGUCGACUUUUUAUUCCAGUGCAUUAAGAGUAGAGCUGCAGCUCCGGCAGCAGCAGCAGCAGCCCAGCAGGCAGCUUUAAGUUGUUGUGUUUAGAAAAGAAAAAACCACCUUUGGUCACUUAAACACAGUUGGAGGCCAUCAAUCAAUCUGUGAUGUCCAGUGCAUUACAGGCCUAAGUGUUGUAAUUUACUGUUUCAGUAUUUCUACCCGCUCUGCUUUUCUUUUCUUUGUGAUUUUCCGGCGCCGCAGACGGGGGGUGAUCUGUGCAGUUUAUGUGUAGGAAAAGGAGAGCUGAAAUGCAAUAGAAAAAUGAAAUAGAAAACAGCAAAGAGGAGAGAGAAAGUGGUGCUUAUGAGUUUAGUGAAUUAAAGGGAAAAGCUUUUGAAGAUGAUAUACGUACAUGUUCACAGGCGGAAACUGACGGGAGAGGAAUUGUUUUUAUGUUUGAUUUUAUUUCAUCAGAGGAAAAAAGAAAUGACCAUAAAAUCUACUUUUGUUUUACACUUUGUUUGGUUAGACUCAUGACCGGGAUUAUAACAGCUUUGCAGUUACUCUCACCUAUAAAGAGUCCAGAUGGUCAAGUGAUACUGAUCCAAACAGCAAAAUGUGUUUUCAGCUGAGGAGGUCGAACACCUCAGUCAGUGUGUUUACAUGCACAGUUAAGUCAAGUUAAAGCUUAAUUAUGCGAUUUAAGUGGACGACUGACUUUGUCUGGAAACUAGGCAAGAAUCAAACUAUUAAGAGGAGCGUGUUUCCAAGUGGUAGCAGAGUCCAGUUUAUCUGAAUUUUCUGCAAUUUUUAGAUUUUUAUCAUAUUUUGUCAACUACUGAUGAUAGAGGGUUUAUUCAAGACAAGAGCUUCUUUCAUUGAGGCAAAGCAAAUCUGGAAGACAACAUCCAGAUCCAGCGGACAUCUGGAGAUAUUUUUUGUGCUGGUGCAAAGGUGAUAAACAUGUUGGGGAGAGGGGCUAAAACCUCCAUUACACACCGAGGAUCCUUACCCGGGAUUUCCACCACACCCGGAAUGGCUCUGAUCUGGAACAGUGGCGAUUUUUGCCUUACACCAAUUCCUAGCGAAGCGAAUUUCAUGGCGGAUUACGGAGAGCAUGAAUUGUGAGAACUCACAAGAACCUGCGGAUUCAUGUGCAAUAGCGCGAUAACGAGUUGUCUUUAACCACAUAACCAUAAAAGCAGUAGAUUGUGUCCUUCCAGAGGAAAAAAUCUACUUCUAGACUUGUAGAAUCAGCAUCUCCUCAUCCACAUCCUCACUGAACAGUCCAGCAGUCGCCGUGGUGACUGGCUCCUAGUGCUACGCUUUAGGACAGAGCUCCACAGGAGGUCCUUUCUUACAGCAGCCAUCAGACUGUUUAACAAAACCUGAGUCGAGGACCUGUGCACAUCAGCGCUAUAUACAUGUUGCACUGUUAGCACUACUGCAUUUAUUGCACUUUUAGACAGUUUUUUAUACUGGUUUUAUACUGAUUUUACUCUAUCUAUCCAUCCAUCCAUCCAUCAAUCCAUCCAUCCAUCCAUGGUGUCAUUGGGGUGAAAUACUGUCUAAAACCUUCCACUUGUUCGUCCCCGCCCGUUUGCAUGGUGUGAAACAGAACUCAUGUGAUCAGCUGCAGAGUCCCGUGAAAUGUAGCGGAACAGAAAGAAGCCGAUGGAAUUUGACAAAUUAACUUGAAUGGUUACGAUCGGCGGAUACAGCCUUUUUGUAGCUGUUCUGAAUGCGGUGGAAAUUGGGGGUUAGUCUCUGGACACUCCUGAUUUUUUUUUUACAUUUGAAAGAGAUGAACAUGUCAUGCGUUUUUUAUUCUUUUGUUUCAUGAGCAUCAAAAAUCCCUUACAGGAGCUUUAAGUUGAUCUUCAGUCCUGUUUCUCAUCAGUAUUUCCGCCCCUGAGGCGACUACACAGGGGCCAAAUAUUCUCCUCUGUCAGAUGAAACCAAUAAACCAAAAGUCAUGUUCAUUGGCCGACAAGCUGUUGCCUCGGAGUAAACAUAAGCAAUCCCGCUCAUGUCACGAGUUUCCACAUGACUGCUGUUGUUUCGUUCAGCUGUUCGUUCAGCUCAGAAGCGUUUUCAGAAUCAGUUCUGCUCUGCCAAUUAACGCUCUCCAGCAAAGUGCUCAUUCUUAUCCGCCCUCCAUGAUUGCGGGGCCUAAUUUAUGUGCCCUAGCAACAAUGGCUUAUCACACUUUAUGUUCAAAAUGCUGCUGAGCCACAGCGCUGACAUGGAAAAGAAGCCAUAGGCCACACUUCUUUUUUUUCUCCUCUGAGCUGAUUCCUAAUUAAACGUUGAGUCAAUUUCUUCUCAUGAAGAUUCCAGCACUUGGUUUCUGGUUUCCUAACCCUCUCCGAUUCAAUAGAGGAGAUAAGAAAAGCUCCUUUGACCUGUAUAUCAGUUUGGGAAUUGCAUCAAUUAAGUUUCUGUAAAAUAUAAACGAAGAUGAAUUUAUUAUAGCUUUAAUAAGAAAUCCAAAUGAGCGCAGGAAAACAGUCCUGAUCCUCCUGGAUGACUGACAUGUACAAGUGUGCAUGUUCCUCUAUUAUUCAUCAAAGUAUCCAAUUACCACACAGUGAAUUAAUGAAAGGACCGAGGACCACUGUUUAAAUUCAAUUGCAUGCAGCAAAUUGGCGUGGCCUACUUUCUCGCCGCACGUGCUUCAGUGCAGGUGUCGGAACGAGCCGAGCCGGGUGGGUCCACUUUACUGUCACGAUGAAGGAUGUCAGCUUAGUCUCCACUCUGAUGUGAUAGAUGUGCUCGCAGGACCAAAAUAAGGAAGCGUUCAGGAGUCCACUGAAAACAUUAAGAGGUCUGGCUCCGAGCUGGAUCACUGACUUAUUGAUGAUUUAUAUCCACCAACAAGUCCGAGCCCCUCGCCGGAGUCUUUCCCAUCCUGCUGCUGUAAAUGAAUAUUUUAAGAUGACCUGCUGACCAUCUUAUAUCUGGAUCUCCUUCAGGGAUAGAAACUGAUAAGGUUUAAUUGAUACAGAUCUCAUUAUUGAUCAUUUCUUUACCAAAUCCUGUGCUGAAAAAAAAAAGGGUUUCAGUGUCAACAACACAGAUUUUAUUAGGAGGUUUAUUGCCUUUGCUGCUGGGAGCCUGGCUUCAGCUGACUUUAGAUACAGCCUCUGAUCUGUUGCCAGAUCAUAACAAAGAUGGCAGCUUUCCAUUGGCACAGUCUGCCAUCAACAGAACUCACAUUAUAUCACUGAAAUUAAUACAUGAAUCAUCACAGUUUACCUUUGGUUUUUAGAGGCACUGGCUCCAGACGGUCUCUAAAAAUACGCUGCUAUUCUCUGUGGGAUAGAAAACCCUCGACAUAUCACAGAGGAGAGCCGCCGGCCUCACGAAGGAAGUGGAUUUUAAAGCUCAGUUUCAUAUUUAAAGAUGGUAUUAUAAUCUUUUGUUUGGAUACUACCUUGGCUGACAUUCUCACUGACUACCUUUAAGAACCUAAAAAUGGUUCUGAUCUGAAACUGGUUUUUGAUCCCCAUCCCUCGUCUUCUUUACGUCUCUGUUCAUAGGUUCUUCUGUAUCAGUGUGAUUAUUUUACACUGAUUAGACUGGUAGUUUGUGUUGAAAUUAGGUUACCAUCACGGACUGUACAAUAAUAGUUCAUCUCUGCAGAUCCAUCGCUCUGUUGAAUGUUCCUCUACUUAAGUCCAAACUCAGGUUUUCAAAGAGCUAUUUGAUGGAUUUGCGAUAAAUACAAACUAUAAAUUCAUUUUACCAAAAAGGAUAAAGCUCCCUGUCUUCAACAGCUCUUUGACUUUUGCCUUCAAGAACUGUUUCUACCACUUUUGGACUUCCAAGUAAUUCCUUGUUACUUUGGCGAACUCUAGACUUUAGUAGCUCCAAAAACUGGUUUGAAGGUGAUCCAUAUUUAUACAUAUUUAAUCUCUCAGUGAACAAAGUCAGAACACAAAUUCAAUCAGUGUUUGGCACAAUUUUGGCUAGCUUGCUCUGUUUUUGUUGUGCCUCUUGUCUUUUAGCUAGAAUGAAGACUUCUUGUUAUUGUAUGUGCAGAUCACACAAUUCAAUAUGGAUGAAAUGGGGCGUUCAGAAGCUCCAUUUCAUCGGGUGAACAUGAAAUAAACAUCGCAUCAUUGGACCAGAAUCUGGGGGGGGGCUUUCUCUCUGGGUGGGGAGUGCGUCUCUUAAAGUUCUAGUCUUGAGGUCUUGUUCAUGUUGGGGGAAUGGAUCAUGAGAUUGACAAAUUGACUUUGCUGGACCAUUAUGGUGAAAAAGGACGGAAACGUUUUCAAUGUGCCGGUCGAUCUACGUCCCAACCGUCAGCUCGGGUCAUGAGCUGCGGGUAGUGACCAAAAGACUUGGAUCCUGGACACUAAAAUGAGAACCAUCCAAAGGGAGGCCAGGCUCAGUCUCAGAGAUGAAGUCAGGAGCUUGAACAUCCAGAGGGAGCUCAGAGUCACUGGAAGGAGGCGUCUAGUUGGGCCCAGAGAUCACAGAUCCCUCGAGUGAGCAGGGACUGCCUUGGGAGAAGGGAUGUCUGGGUUGACUUGCCUGCCCAAUCGACCCAAUCCUGAGUAAGCAGGAGAAGAAAUGCAUAGAUGUUUCAUAGCUUCAAACCGGUGCUGUACUUGUUUUGUAGACUUGUUGUCAUUUGUCUAUCCAGUGCAAGUCGAGACAGGAUGAUGGUUAAAGUGGUCUGUUUAUCCACAUGUCAGAAAUUUUCAUGUCCAAAAACCGGAUCCUCAAACAUUCAGGAACUGUCAGUUCAAUCUGUGAUAUGGGACAUUUGCAGGAUUUGUCCGAAUAUGCAGAGCCAAAGCCGUUUGGUCGGACGAGGCGCUGAAUGAUUAAUAGUCCCGUGGAUGACAAGGGUAAACAGGAUGGACUUGUGUGUGUGAUGGCGGCUCACAGCCUCAGGACAGGCAGACACGGAUAGCCGGGCUGACAAAAUACCCUUAAUCCUCAUCCCUUUAGAUUAGGGAAACAAUGCUUACAACAGGAAAGGGCAAAAAGAUGAUGACUGCUGACCUGACACGGAGUCAGCCAGAAAAUUGCUUUAACAGUUAAAAUAUGCAUCCACAUACACUCUUUAAUUUGACCUCAAAUGCUCUGCUUUAAUUCUCUAGUUAAAUCCAGCGUUGGCAGAAAAAAAGGGGUCACAUUAAUGUAAAUGUGCGGUUUGUAUAUUCAGCUGACAUUUUCACCCAGUCUGUGAAAGUCCAGUUUGUUCCUCGGGGGCACAGAUAACAAGAGCUAGGGCUGUUUAACAAUGAAGCAGGCCCAUUAUGCCAUUAAGCUGGCUUUGAAACAUUGCUUUUCUGAGCACCCAUAAUGAGCGUGCAUUUCUGAGUUUUACCACUAAAGGGUUGAACUGGAGAGGAAAAGUUCCAGUGAGCCGUGGAGUAUUUCUCUUUUUUUUGUUACAUACAUUGACAUCAACAUUCUGAAAGUAAGGGCUUCCCAGCGGCGCAGAGGUCAGCGCUGUUGACUUACAACGAGGAGGUUUCUGGUUCUUGGUUCUCAACCUAAAACCAAGCUCAUUAGGUGGGCCGCCUGUCCGGGAUGAACCAUCGCCCAAUCAGCACCCUGAGAAUCCUGGAUGAGAAAAACAGUAUAGAAACCUGAUGAAUAGAUCCUUACCAACUGUUGUUAUUACAUAAUCCUGUUAGAAUCGAGUCAAGAGACAAUCUAUUAGAGCUAUAGUGUUUUUUUAUGUGCUGUAAAAUGUUGUGAAGACACUCAGGCAGUAGGGGGCAGUGAUGAUCUGAAAUUGUCGUGAACCACUUGAAAUGUUAAUAAGCAAAUACUUCAAGAAAUAACACCAGAAUAAUAAAAACAGAUAUCUGUAUUUGGUUAAAGAAACAAACGGUAAUAUCUGCAGACACUGCAGGCAGUCAUCCAGCAAUGUUGGGAAGAGUUGGUGAAAAGUUAGUUUUGAUCCUUCAUUGUAACUCCAGUUUACAUUUCUAUAAAGGUUGACCGUUAUUGUGUUGUAUAUUUGGGUUUUUAUUUCCUUGAAAAGAGCUGUUAGCUAGAAUCAAACACUCCAGAUGAAGGGUUUAUUUCUGAAUCUAUCUUAAAUAGGGUGACUAUAUGUCCUCUUUUACCCGGACUUGUCCUCUUUUUGGGGGGCUGUCCGGCCUUGUCUUGGGGAGUGUAUAAAAUCCUUUUAAUGUCCAGGUUAUGUAUGGACGUUUUAAGUUUGUGUCGCGUGGACUUACUGAGUUAGAAGGGCAUAAAAAAAAUUUAACCCGACCAAAAGACUCAAAAUUGACUAUGCGCGAUUCCAUGACUCUGCCAGCAUAGUCGUAUCCUCUUUUUUGGGGAUCCAGAAUAUGGUCACGCUAUCUUUAACAUGAAACCAGCCUGGGAUGACCAUGCAUUUUAGAUUGGCACAUUAAUAUAUAUAUAUAUAUGAAAAUAUGUAAUUUUGCAUAACUUUUUCCCCCUCUCUUUAUAGUUUUAGUGUAACUAUUUACUUGGAUGGUUGGAUGGAAAUCCAGAUGUCCCUUGUUAUGAUAUUUGAGGCCAAAAGUUCGGCAUUUCCGUUCAUAAUUUCAUUAUUGUGAUUAAAUUGUUGUAAUUAAUCAAAUCCACAAAACCAAUAACAACAUAUUACAAUUAUACAUUGGCCGUCAGCCAUCUUGCCCCCCAAUUACUGUCAAUGGAAUUGGCCGCUGAGAAACUUGGCGGACCAAAAUUAUUGGACAAAACCACCAAAUAAAAAAAGACUGGGUGUUGAUGAAUAUGUUCAUCGCGCCAUUUUUACAUUAUUGAAAUUGGUUUGGGUGUCGGAGUCUUUUUGUGUUACUGUCAAUCAUUUUACUGCAGCGUUCAUACUGCUGUUAAUCCUUUGAAAACACUCUUAAAGCUUAUAUCACCAGAAGUGUUUGCUCUGGUGAACUCAUCUCUAACACAGGGUUCAAUGGGUUAAAGGAGAUUAAAUCUAAAUCUUUGGAAAUAAGUCACUUUGUACUUGUUUAAAGGGCAAAAAGCUCAAGUAAUCUGCCUGCCAGACUGGGAUUAAGUCUUUGAUAUUAAACUUGACACUCUCUCUGGCGUCCCGCUGCACUUAUCCAUGUACAAUACGUUAAAUUCAUGCGUAUGCGGCGCCACAUAAGAGCAUAAAUCUGUCUGAUUGUUGGUAAGUCAAGAUAAGUGUGUGUUCUGAGGGGGGAAAAAAACGGCUUUCCUGUAUUUUUAUCAGCAUUUCAGUGUCUUUCAAGAGCGAGUGCUCAACAACAGAAUGGGAAACAUCUUCUGCUGUUGUGUUGAUGUGGGAAAAAAAACAGGACAGGGCCUCAUACAGAGUAAGGGCACAUAAAAGAACAUUGGCACCCAAGAGCGUAGUUCAUUGUAAUGCUAAAUAGGAAGCCGCAGUGAUUCCGCCUGUGUUUAUCUGCCAGGCAAAAGUUAUCACACCCGGUUACUUCAGCUCAGAGCCAUUCAUGGCGUGCAUUUUCAAGUGCCACUGAUCUCGCCCCACACCAAAGGUUACACAGAUCAGCAAAACCUACUUGUAAAAUGCAAAUGCUGAAUAAGAAAUUAGAAACGAGACUGUCGAGGAUAGAUAAGGCGCCACUUGUCAAAUUUUGCAUGUUGGGCUGAAAUUCUUGUCAGGGAUUUUGUAUUAUGACAUUAAGGCCUUUGUGUGUAAUGCCGGGUUUGAAGGACUCUUCAGUGAAUGCACAAACCUCCCACAACAAUAAGCAAUUUGAUACACUUGUUCCCGCUGAAUUUACCUGCAGCUGGGACAUGAAUGUAUUUUUCUGCUCUGUCAAGGACGGGCGGCAGUUUUUCUAACUUUCUGCUCCGGAGUUUGGACUUUUUCAGAUUUGACAGCGUGCUUUCUUUGUGGAAAUAAACCCGGUGUUAAUAGAGGACACUAAAGUGUAUUGUGCAUUUGAAUACGGCUUUUAUUGAAAUUACAGGACUCUCCAGGGUUAGGAUCAUUUCUACCUUGAACAGCCAUUUCAUUCAGACUGACCUCUUGUAUUAUGGACAAAAUACUAUUAUUGUUACCUUUUCUGCUCCUGGAAACACACAUUACAAACUCUUAAUGGAUCACCUUUUAAAAGCUAAAAUGUACCUUGAGCUUUGGGUUCAAACUAUGGAAGAAAAAACUAUUGAGAAUAACUCCUGUGCCGGACUCUUAGGUGUUGAGGUAUUCUACUCCUACUCCCAGAAAUUCAAUUUACUGUGAAUUUAAAGGGACAAUUCUGCUCAUGGGUAAUUUAUAAGUCAAAGUGAGGCAUUAAGACACUUUUACAAUCAUUAUUUUGUCAUUUUUGCACCAAUAUUUCCAUUAUUACCCAUUUUUAGACCAUAUAUCUGUUUACUUUUAGAUAUUAAUGUAGAUUUUAAACACUUACGAGCAAAUUAUGCACCAGUCCUCACAUAACUGCAGGAGGUGGAGGUGCUAGGAGUCUGCUCAACACUUAAUUUUUCAGUUUUUAUUUGCCAACCCUAAAGGCAUCUUUGACCACGCGAUGUUUCCAUCCAGUUGUGGUUUGAGGGACGUUAAGUCAGAUGAGAAAAAUAAGCACCGCUAAAGAGGACGGUGAUGACCGGUAGCCGGAUCCUUGUGUCAGGACAAGUAGACUUUUGUGUCCAAUGUAAAUUUCGCUAAAUUAAGUCAGAUUACUCUUUAUUUCCUUGUCAGUUUAUUCUGAAUACUGUAUAAAAAAGUCGGCGGCCUCAAGGUCUCAUGAUUAGUUCCCACCUGUCAUUUGUUUAAAGGGGACGUAUUAGCGUGACACAGCUGAGUUGGAGCUGCAGAUCUGACAUUGGGGUGGGGCGGUGAAUGACCACAAUACUGUAGCCACAAAUUCACAAGUGACUUUGUGUGACCAUCAUGCAACAGUGAGAUUGUUAUUUUGAUUAUGACGGAUGUGCGAUAAUUUUCCCAAAAAUACAAUAUUUUUAAGUCUCUAGUACGAUAAUUGGUCUGAGAAGUGUUCUGCAAGGUUUCAGCUGUUUGUUGACCAGUUUGAUAUACUGUAUGUGCGUGCAUGUGUCUAACAGUUAGUCAUAUGUGGAUAAGUGCAGUCCACUGUCUUCUGGAGCUGUUUCCUGCACAGUGGAGUCCGGUAGUUGCAUACUAAAUGUAUUUUUAUCAUAUAGUUAUGUGCAAAAAGAAGAGACUGCAGCAACCCUAACUCCAGCUCAGGGGACUCAGUAUGGAAGCAAUAGCCAUUAAAGUAAGUGUAGAAAUCCAGCUGUUUAACUAUAUAUAUAUAUAUUUUCCUCGAACACACAUACAGUUCACGUCUGGAGUGCAGAAGGACAAGACAAAGCCUGGGGGUGUUCAGGAUUAUUGACUCCUGCAAAGAUGUAAUUGAAAAUAGAAAGAUCAUGUUACCAUCAGGAUCUGUAUCAGGAAAAUGGACGAACUCUCUUUUAAUAAUUCAUUCCCGAUCUUCCCAACAAAAAUAAAACGCAUUUGUUUUUGCAUUUUCAAAGUGUUGUCUGUCACAUGCGGUGAGGACUUUGCACAUUUUCCUCUCUGUGUAUUUGAAGACGUGCGCCGGAGUUUGGAGAGAGAUUAUCAUGUGUGGUUGGUUGUCAUCUUUGCUGCCAUGUUUUUAUCUUUUAAUCCCAGAUCAAAUCAGUUCAUCUUAAUAGAUAUUUGCUGAGAUCAACCACCAUGUCUCUUUGCUUUUAUCUGUCCUUCUAGACAACAUUUAAAGAAAACAGGAAAAAAGAGGAGGAAAGCUCUUAAUAAUAGAUGAGCUCUUUUUGGGGCAUUUUCCAGUCCAGCCACAGGGGUUUGUGUCCUAAUAUUUUCAACAACACAGUGCAGUGUGUGCACAUGCUGCUCCACUGUCACAUAGUCUGAUUCCCCCUCUGUCUCUGUUUUUCUCUCCCGUGCAUGCACAAAAACACACCCACCAGCACAGCAGGUUAACUUAAUCAUUGCAGGAGGAAAAAAAAGGAAAGCGCAGACAUGAAACAAUGAAAAGUUUCUGGGUGUACAAACAAGUUUUGUGGAGGCUGGGAAGAGGAACAAAGGACUGCAAGGUGUUUAUAGACUCGGCUCUCGGAGGUUGAUUGAAUGCUUUGAAGAUAAGCCCGGCGACAUUAGAUAUCCCAGUGGGCGGAGGAUGGGAGGUUAAUCUCAUUCUCCACGAUGAUGUAUCCGAAGUGACUCUUUUUUUGCCGGUGGUAUCGUUUCUGAACACUCCUUGGGUUCCAAGGGCAAGGAAAGUGUCCAUCAGAGCGGCCGCAUUGAUUGCUUCCAGAUUUGAUUAAACCCUCGGCUGUACUCCAAAUGUAAGACAAUAGCAUCGAGAUAAUCUCACCUUCUCUCCUCGGGUCAGACGUAAUGCGGUUUAACAAUAUGGUGGUGCACUCUUUUUCCAGUGUAAUACCUCGCCGAGGACAAUUCUAGUUAACUGCAGCCCCGUUUAAAAUACUAGUGUACACACAAACAAGGACGCAAAAUGAGUGACUGUUUCUAUAUCCCUACAGAAAAGUACUCCCAUUUUAAAAGCAAUAAUUAAUGAUGUGAUUGACAACCAAAGCUCAGUGCAAAUCAGAAAAUUCCUGCCUCUUAAUACCUGAUAAUCAAAACUGAAUGUUGCAGCCACAUAGCUGCUCUAGUUGCUUUAUUUCUGCACCUGUCAAAUAAUGAAUCACUGAAUUGUAAUCGUACGUUUGGCAUCCUGUUUUUAUUUUGAUGAUUUAAAGCAGUUUCUACUAAUGUCGAGAGUUUGAAUGGAUGUAUUUCAGGAGUUUUCAGUCUGAUUGUUUUCUCUAUCCGUCCCAUAAAGCGUCCAGUACAACAGAUCCAAACAUGUCAACUUGUGGACGCCUAUUAGUCCCUCAGAGCCGAGUCUUUCUCACUUGCCAUGUUUACAUGUGCAAAAUGUCUUGAUCCGAGCAGAAAAAUACAUUCAUGUCCCAGCUGCAGGUAAAUUCAGCGGGAACAAGUGUAUCAAAUUGCUUAUUGUUGUGGGAGGUUUGUGCAUUCACUGAAGAGUCCUUCAAACCCGGCAAAAAUUUGAGGGAUCGGAAAAUCUGAAUCCACUGUUUAUAUGGGCAUAAAAUCAAAUAAUCUGAUCCUAGUUUUAUUCGGAUUAGAGGCAUUUGGAUAUACGCAGAGUUGUCUGAUUUUGCUAAAACAACCACAGAAGAAGAGUCGUAUUAACGCCUGUGCUGUCAACAAACCAACAAACGCGGUUGUGGCUCACUUCAUCCAAAUCAGGAUUCCCCCCCUGUUAAAUGUUGUCACUAGAUGGCGCUCUUGCUUACUUAUUUUACUGUUCUGUCAAAGGUUGCUCUGUGCGUAUAGAUGUGACAUCAUUACGCCGUAUGUACGUCUUGUUAUGUUACCGGAGGAGCAGACACGACACCUGUGGUUGUGUUUUAUGCCAGCUUGAUAACUAUGAUCGGCAUAAAUCACCCCAAAAGAUCGGAAUACCAUUUCUUUCCAAUUGAGCCGAGUUGGAUCAGAAUCUUCCACUCGACAUGUUUGCAUGUUAUUUUUUUCAAUUAGCUUUAUCUUUAUUCCGAUUAUUUGUUGCCAUGUAAAUGCAGCUACUGUUGCAGGUCUACGCUGCAGUUCCCCUCUGAUAUUUUAGUUCUAUUUGACACUAAGUGCGUUUUAGUUCAGACUUGUCAAUCAAGCUUUUUUUGAGUAUUGUGAAAUUAGAUUAAAAGUGCAAAGGCAUCAAUGUUUCCAGGACGAUGCUGCUGCCUGAUGGCCCAAAAAGGAGAGUAUAGUGUUUCAGUGCAUCUUCAUCGAAGCCUCAGUGUUAAUAUUAUUGAUAAAUUCCCACAUAACUUUACUGUAUUUAACCCAAAUAUCACACAGGUUAAAGGAAACUUAAAUCACAGCGUUUGAGUUUGAUUGAAAGUCGUUCCUCGCAUCAUUAAGUGUAUUUAAUCCUGAGUUUUCAAGGCCAAUUAAAGUCCUGUUGUGUAUUUAGGCCUCCUGUUGCUUUAAGGUAAACACUGCAGAAACCCCACCGAGCUGGAUGGGUCAUGUGUUCCCAAAGGGCAGCUCCUCUGACUCUUAAAUAGGACACCAGUCCUUCCACUGCAGCCCAUGGCUAACGUCUUUAUUAACUCUCAUUAACAGCCUUCCUAUACAAAUUUAUUCAUUGCAGAUUACAAAACCAGGCUCUGGGGUGGGAAACCACAGCCCGGUAAAUCAUUAAUUGAUGAUCCUGCGUUCUUGCUGGAGUAUUCCUGCAAGCAGAGUGAGAGCUGACUCCAACUAACAACCUCACACGUUUUAGCCUGAAACUCCACACUGGAAGAUCUUUCUUUUUUUUUUAAUGGGCGGCUAAAAAAGAGGCACAAAAAGCUUCUGUGAGGUUCUUUAAAUGACCUUGUCUCGGUCCAUUUCGCCCUGAAGCAGAGCAUAUUUAUUUUGCGGCGUAGUCAAAGAGUCAGAAAUUACAGCCAAAGAAAGGGGAACUGGUGUACAUUAAGGGCCUUUGUCUUGCAGGGCUGAACAAAGGGCGUGUGGAUUAGGCUGUCAUGAACCGCGUAUAGUAAGUCGGGUGGGGGGUCUGCAGACUCUGAAAUAAUACUUCCUCUCCCAAUAGGGAAGUAAUUUCCUUGGCAGGAUGGUUUUCUCCAAAAAGGCGUGGGUCUUCUAUUUCUGGGAAAGAGAUCUUAUUCUGACGCAGUUAAAUCAGAGAUCCUGCUGAGGUGAGAUGGUACUUCUUCUUUUCUCUUCUUCACAAUUUGAGAGUUUCCAGUCCAUCCCGUCUGUUCAGCUCACUCCAUUAAAUCUCUGCUGCUCUGCCGAAUCCUCCUGUAAUGAUGACGGUUAACCUGGAAUCACAGUGAUAUUAAAGAGUGGAAUCGGCGCACAUCAGCACAUCGGCUGCGGAUGCUAAUUGACUUGAUUGUUAUUAAUUUUGACAUUACGUUCCAAUUAAAGAUAGCAAAACACUGAUUUCAUUUUCUUUUCAUUUUAUGGUUGGAGAUUAAGAGGGCAUUGAUCACACCUGAAUGACUCGGUUUGUGCAUUGCUAAUUAAAGACUGAGAUUGCAAUUAAGAUAAUGAGUCUGUCUGGGUUUUCCGAUGAAGCACACAAACAAUUUUUUAACCCCGUCAUUGGGGGACACGUGGCGUCAGCCUCUUACUGUAUCCUGUUAGAGUGCACUAGCCUCUACGUUUGUAGGGCUAGCUAAAGUAAAAACAUUUCAAGGUCCUGCUCCUUUUAAGAGCAGAUGACCAUGAUUUCCAAAAAGAUUGUAAAAUUUUGGGAAUGAUUUAUUUCCUUUCAAGUGUGGAUGAUGCAGCUGUACUUAUGAUUUCCAAAGAGACUGUUUGACAUCAAUCAGUGUUUUCUCUCCUUUUAAGAGUCGAUGACACAGCCAUGUCCAUGAUUUCCAAAAAAAAAAAGAAAGCAAAAUUUGGCUUUUUCUUUCCUUUGAGAGUAGAUAAUGCAGCCAGGUUUGUAAUUUCCACAUAGAAUGUUUUUUUUUUUUUGGUCUUUUUUUUUCUUCUUUGAGGAAUAGAUUAUGCUGCCAUCACCAUGAUUUCCAAAAAGACCAGAUUUUGUCUUUUUUUUCCCAAUUGUUUUAAGAUUAGAUGAUGCAGCUGUAUCCAUGAUUUCCAAAAAACUGAAACAUUUUUGGAAUUAUUUAUGAUUAGAUGAUGAAGAGAUAGCCAUGAUUUCCAGAAAGACUAUUUAACAUAAGUCAGUGUUCUCUCUCUUUUUACGAGUAGAUGAUAAAGCCAUGUCCAUGAUUUCCAAAAAAGAUAGCAAUUUUUUUAUUCUUUGAGACCUAAUAAUGCAGCCAGGUUUGUAAUUUCCACUUGGAAUGUAAUUUUCUUUCUUUGUCUUUCUCUCUUUUUAGGAAUAGAUUAUGCAGUAAUAUCCAUGAUUUCCAAAAAGAGUGUAAAAUUUUGUCUUUGUUUCCUCUUUUAGGAGCAGAUAAUGCUGCCAUGAUAUUGAUUACCAAAAAGACUGUAAAAUUUUGUCUUUUUUCCCCAAUCUUUAAAGAUUAGAUGAUCCAGCUGUAUCCAUGAUUUCCAAAAAGACUGUAAAAUUUUCUACUUUUCCCUAUUCGUUUAAGAUAAGAAGUUGCAGCGGUAUCCAUGAUUCCCCAAAAAACUUUAAAAUUUUUGGCUUUUUUUUCCCUUUUCUAUCAAGAUGAGAUGAUGCAGGGAUAUCCAUGAUUCCCAAAAAGACUAAAAUUUUGUCUUUUUUUCUCUAUUCUUUAGAGAUAAGCUGAUGCAGCUACAUAUACAUGAUUUCCAAAAAAACCUGUAAAAUUUUGUCUUUUUUCGCGUUCUUUUAAGAUGAGAUGAUGCAGCAAUAUCCAUGAUUUCCAAAAAAACUGUAACAUUUUUGGCUUUUUUUCCUCUUUUCUUUUAAGACAAGUUCACAUAGCAAUCUCCAUGGUUUCCAAAAGGAUAGGUCUGUGUUUUUGUUUUUUCAUCGCUGUUAGUUUGACCUGCAUUCAACAAACUGUGCACUGACAUGGAUUUUUGGAGUGAUUUUGAGCACAUGCAGAGAUUUCCACUGCAGAGUCAUGUCUAAGAGCUCAACUAUCAAACACACCCAGUAUUUGCUUUUGACCUUGUCCGGUGUCAGCUUUAAACUCUGGUCUCAUGUCUUAAAAAAACCAUCUAACUUCUGAACUUCACACAGCCAUAGCUUUGUAAACAUAUCAGAUAAAUGUUCAAAUGUGAGAUUCUGCUCAGAUUUCGCUCUUUCUCACAUUUUCCUCCCAACCAUAAGAAGACAAAUUGCAGUAAACAGAGCCGACAGUCCUAUAAUGACCAUCUUAUGUAAUACGAAUUGAACUGACGGUCUCUUCUGGCUCUCCCAGCUGUCUUAUUCUCUCACUUCUUGCAAAGGCAGGCUGCCAAAACCCAGUCCAAUAAACACAGUCUCCGUGACUCUGAGUGGCUUUUGUUCAAUAACCCGGUCGCUUUUAAUUAGGCGAUGUAAACAUAUAUUAUUUGAUAAGAAAAAUUCAUCAGAGGAAGCCCUUUAACUCUUACAAAAAGACGGAUCACUGGUGCCAGAGAGCCAUUACAUUUUGGCUGGAUUGGAUGCUAACUCAGCACAGAAGAGAUCGCUUUUAAGGGGCUUCUUAGACUUUUUAUCGUAGAAUUUCCUACUUCAGGCUCCUGGGACGCAGUUUUCGUGAUUAUGAAUUUAAUUGCGAAUUAUUUACAAGAAAUAUAAGAGUGGUGACGCCAAGAUUCACCCUCUAUUUUCCAUCCAAAUAGUGACUUCUCAUAGUACACAUUUUAGGGUUAGAGGUGCGAAUUCUUCCAGGUCUUCAGGUCUCGCUCAUUAGGAACAAUGCUGCUAUGCAUGUGUGUAAUUACAUACUUCGCCAUGGAUUUCCUCCAGACGCUAAGCCUGACCUGAUUUCCUUAAUGACUAAAACCUCGAGUCCAUGCUGGUCCCAGAGACAUUUCUGCGCUGUGACGUCGCGGCGGAGUUGAAAGGGAUCUGGCCUAAUUAAAUCGAAUAUCCUGAUGCAAUGGGGCAUCCUGAGGAGUGUGCAGCAGGACGCUCGUUUGAUUAGAGCAGUAGUCUAUUUCUUAUUAGACGGAGCGAGGUCUACCUCUGAAAGCACUGGCCGCUGAUGCUCGCUUCCUCUACAUGCUACAGUAAAUAGGAUUUGUGAUUCAUUAUGCAAUCAUUUACUUUAGUUUGGCUGAAAACUGCAGUAAUGGGCGCGACUUGCAAGCAUGUGCCUCUAAUAAGGUCUUGACAUGGAAAUGCAGCUACAUAUAGUGUGUUUCAUUACGCCUGAACUCUGUAUGUUCUUGUAAUGCUAAUAUAUGUUAAUAUUAGCAUGCAUUAACCUCUAAAAUCAGCAGAUACUCUGAUGCAGAGUUUUAGAUCGAGACAAUCUGGUGACGAACAAGAAGUAGUAAGCUUUGAUCAGUUGGAGAAAUUCAACGUUUUAUCAGAAAUCACUGUCAAAAGUGCCAAAAAGGAGAGCUCUAACCACGCACACCACUUUCUUGAGUCCUUUUUUCCCUCUUCAAUUUUAUCUCACGACUUCUAGACGGGCAGCAAUCAUCAAAACAUGUCCACACUCAGGAGUUUCGUCUUCAGUGGUGGAGCUGAAGAGUUUCCAGCAGUAUCAAAUUCAGGAGAGUCGGUCCUCUUACAAAGCUGCCCUUUCGGUGAUGCCGGAGUAAGAAAAAGUGUUUGAGACACAGGAGCAUUUCGACAGGGAGUCCUGGAGUAACACGGGCCUCCACUGAAAUUGGAUUAGACAUCCCAGGGUGCCAGCCUACGAACCAUAAUUGGCCAUCACCCGGUUCAGUGGUAGUACUUAAGUUCAGAAAACUUUAAACCUUGGUUUUGCUGCAACUGGCAGCGAGCAGCUUUUGUAACAUUUCAACUCAAGACUUUUUCUUACUGUUGGAUAUUUGUUUCUUUUUCGGUCCUUAAAGCUCAUGUUAGGAGUUUUAGACAGACUCAAACUGAAGCUGAAGUCAAAGAAACAACAAGAUCAUCAGCGGUUGGUUUUUCUCAGUUUAGUGUACAAGGAUUUCCUGGUUUAAUGCAGAAUUAAUGUUUUUUUUUUUACCUCCAUAAGUAGCUCUGAAAACCUCUGACCUCUUGGCUCUUGGCCUGACUUUGCUUUCUAUGAAGUUUGUUGGCUCUGUUGAGUGUUUUCCAUCCAUCCAUCCGUCUUCCACUACUUAUCCAGAGUUUGGUUGUGGGGGCAGCCGCAAAGACUUACCCGGGACCACUUACCCGAGAUUUCCACCACAUCCGGAACAGCUCCAAUCCGGAACAGCUGCGAAUUUCGUUGUACACCAUUCCUACCAGAUCUGUUUGUGAGGCAAAUUUCAUGGUGGAUUACGGACAGCAGGAAUCGCGAGAACCCGUGGAGUCACAUGCGAUAACAAGUUGUCUUAAGCCACAUAGGCUAACCACAUAAGCAGUAUUGGGAUGGAAUGACGUCUAUAAACCUUUCACUUGUUCGUCUCCGCCUGUUUGCAUGGUAUGAAAUACAAUCCACCUAAAACACAGAGUGUUUUAUUUUAAAAAUAAGCCGGAUGUUUUAUUUUGUGGUGUGCCCAACUUCCUUUCAAGCAUGGGUUAAUCUGUGCUGAAUUUAUCCGGCAUGUUAAAGCGUUGUUAAAGCGGACUCCUGCCGGUGGGAUGUACCAUGAAUGCCUCACCCAGGAGGCGUCCAAGAGGCAUCCUGGUUAGAUGCCCAAGCGACCUCAUCUAAAUCCUCUCAACAUGGAGGAGCAGCAGCUCUACUCCGAGCUGCUCCUGGAUGACCAAGCUUCUCACAUUUGGCUGCUUGUACCCAAGAUCUUGUUCUUUUGGUCACUACCCACAAUUCAUGACCAUGGGUGAGGGUAGGAACGUUGAUCGACCGGUAUAUCCAGAGCUUUGCCUUUCGGCCCUGCUCCUUCUUCAACACAACAGAUCUGUUGCACCAGUCCAUUUGUCGAUCUCCUGCUUUAUUCCUGCCUCACUCGUGAACAAGACCCUGAGGUACUUGAACCCAUCCACCUUUUUUCCGGCUGAGAACCAUGGACUCAGAUUUGAUUUUCAUCUUUCAGCUGCUUCACACUUGAGUGUGAUCCAGUGAGAGCUAAAGGUCACGAUGAAGCUAACAGGACCACAUCAUCUGCAUAAAGUAGUGACCUGAGUGUUUUAUUUUGAAAAUACCUCGACAUUGUUUCAUUUCCUGACCUUAAAAGCUGUAGUCAGCACCAGGGUUGGGCCACCCCUGUCCAAAACAUCUGCACACGCCCCUGUCUGUUCAGUUUGUUCCAUAUGAGCUUCUGCAAACCUCUUUGUCAUCCUCGUCUACUAGCCUCCCUAACUAGCUGGAUCGCCCGCAGCUACACUGAUGAAUGCAGUUUGACUAAACAGAGGUGACAGUGGGUUGUAAUUAUGUUUCACUGUAGACUGAAUAAUGCCAUUAGCAAAAAUUCAUGCUCCAGCUCGUACAUUACAGCCCAGCACGUAACUGUGACCAACAUAUGCUGUAAAGUGAUUUCCCUGCCCUUUCAUGCACGAGGUUUUUCUCAUUUUGAGACUUUUUUUUUUUUAAUCAAUUAUGUUUCCACCCCAGGGCUCAUAUUCAUGAGAAUUCAUAUAUGUAUUUGAAGCACCGUGUUGUAAUUUAUGAACCAAUCUGUGGUGUUUUAUUCACAAUUAUUGCUCAGAUAAGUCUGAGAACAAAACGCCACACAAAGAGAAAAAGGUGGGAAUAAAAGAAGGAAGAGUAACAAGUGAUGAUGAUGCAGAGAAAUCAGGUUGGGUAAGGACAGUGGGGUAAAAAAAAAACACACAUAUCUGCCUUUGGAUUGAUUAAUAAUUUAUUUUUUUUUAUUCUUUUCAUAAAUUAGCAGGAAGAAGGAAGUGAUUUCCACAAUGGAGUGUCCCGUGGCCAUAUUAGAUAAUACAAAACAGAAAAGAGUCGUUUCAUUUUUUUGUAGUCUUUAGAAAAAGGAGAAAAUAACACGAUCCCAUCAUCCCCUUCGGUGAGAAAUUGGAGUGAUUUCAAUGUUGAGAAGUUGUGGUUGCAAACUAGAUUAUUGCUUUAACAGAAAAAUACACAAACAAAAAAUUAAGAUGCUGCUUAAAGCCGUAAUAAUAAAAAUAAAAACAGCAUUUGAUAGUUUGCAAAUUAUUAAAAAGAAAAACUGAAAAUAGAGCAAAGAUGAAAUGCCAAAUGCUGAAACUUGAAAAUUGAAUGUUUUAUGAGAAUUGCUUUAAAUUUGGUGGCAACCAGGCAUUUGAAAAAAGGUUGGGACAGGGGUCUGUUUUUCAUCGUGUUACAUCACUUCUUCUUUUAACGAGACUCCAAACUUUGCAGAUCCAGUUUCUGAAGUUUUAAAAGUUAAAAAAAAGUAAAAGUUCUGUUCUUGCCUGAUGUAGGCGAGUUUAAGCAGCUGAACUGGGGGCCCCCUUGGUCCUAAUUUUUGUUUCAUGAUGUUUAACUGGGCGACAAGUUGACGGGGUUCCAGGAAGUGGACUCCUCUACUACAGAGCCAUCAUGAUGAGAUCUGCUUAAACUGAAAUAUUUAGAGGGAAAAUCCGGCGUAAGAUUAAAAAUGAAAAGUCUCUCACAAAGUUAAGGAUUUUUCUUUAUCUUAACUUUUGAGGGAUGUUGCCUCUCUGAAAGCCUUUUUUUAACCCUGUCAUAUCUGAUUGCAACUUAACUCAUAAUUUGGAGUUCUGGAAUAAUUUUAGUGGAAUAACAAAUUUUCAGAUCAUUUGAUUUGUUGUCUUUGCACUAUUUUCAAUUAGAUUAAAACUGGAAUUAAUUUGCAAAAUAGCCCAGUUUUGAUUUUUUAAACAUUUUACAUUAUCCUAACAUUUAGAUUUAGGCUUUAGGAGGACAUUCACUCUCAUCAUUAUAAAGUUAACUUGUUUUAUCCACGAGGUUUGAUGUUGUUGUAUCAGCAUAUAUUAAAACCGCAGUGGAAAAACACUGCUUAUGCUCCUCGAAGUUAAAAGUCUCAUUGUAAGAACACAAUAAUUGCUCUUAGGCGUUACAGCUUCAUAUAUCUCGUAAGCAGGCCCCCUAUGGUUUCUCUUUCUUUAUUCUCUUAUUAAAAUAUCAAGCCCGGUUUCAGCAGCUUGCAAAAUGCCUCCUCAAAAAGAGUAAAAAUAAUUAUCAGAGCUCCACAGUGAAAAAAAAGAGAGGGUAAUUAGCACCACUGAAUUAAUCUGAGAUAGGGAAAUUGCAAUUAUACUUGUUCUUAUUAAGUUACAUUAUUUCCUCGACCACCAUGAAAUUAUUUUUUAUGGUAUUGCGUCGCCUUGUAGGACUCAUUAAUAACAAUGGCGUAUUCUUGUGUUUAAGACGGAGUAGAAGGUUCCCACCCAGGUGUUUGGACAGAGUGACAGGGCCUUUAAAAGAAGGUAUAAUUCACCUCUUAAAACAGAUAAACCGAGUGCCGUAAAGGUGUGACUUUGAUAGUAUAGAGUGUGGUUGUUUUGUCCAGCGUUAACCAGUGUAAGCCACCUUUGACCGAUGCAGCAAUGGAAAGAAAUCUACUUUUUGUGUACAUAACGAGGCGUUUGUCAUGUGUCUAUCGACGGCAAUCGACUGUGUGAAAGGAAAAUAACCAGUUUAAGCCGACAAAGCGGAGCUCACAGCAGCCUGACCCUUUAUAACACAUCUGAAUAGUGUUUCUAAUGUAAAAUUCAAUGAACAGCUUUCAAAAACUACUCAUAUUUGUACUUUUUUUUUCCUCCUUCCAGAACUUUUUAGACGUUUAUAAAGUACUGACACUCACUCGAUGCCUUUUUAUGAUGUACAAAAGCAAACAGGUUCUUCAACGAGGCUUUAAUUCCUCGUAUUCAUCAAAUUUGGCCUCUCUCGGAGUGUUUGCCUUGAAAGUUGAUUUCUGUUUGUCCGUAUUAUGUUUCAUGUUCUUGUUUCUUUUUUGAGGGGCGUCCUGUUCGCCUUGUAAUUUUUAAUCUUACAUCAGAGGUAAAACCAGUUGCAGCUGUUUGUCGGCCUACUUUAUUAUUUGUAAUGUUCAAAAUCAAAGUCCAGUUUACACCCCGAGAGAUAAUUUAUCCACAAGCCUUUACAAGUAGAAAAGACUUUGAGCAGAGCAACAUAACGGUGCAGUGGUUUAUUUCAGUCCCAGAGAGGUAACUGCAACAUAAAGUGAAAGAAACCAAAGUCAGGAAGAUCCAUGAUGUAAAAACUGUAAUACCAAAAGUAAAGGAAAGGACUGGAGUCACUUGUAGAUCUCGGCCAAGUCAAGAGACCUCAACUGAGACAAGUGGGUGCAGUGCAGGUUGUAGGGCUUAGACGAUACGCUUUUCUCCUGAUUCGAUUCCUCUUCCAUUUUUUGGAUGCCAAUUCAAUUUAAAUUGCUAUUCUUCGAUAUUGUCAAUUUUCUUGAUUUUUAGUCUGCAUUUUUAAAACCAAUGAAACAGUUGAAUGAUGAUUAUUGUCUACUUACUCUUCCAGGAGCCAUAAUUCCCCCUAAAAAAAACACAUCAUGUAAGUCAGGUUUUAAGAUUUAUUCUUAAAUUCGAAAAAAAAAAAAAAAAUAGAUUUUUCAACAUAAAAAUUACGACGGAGUAUUAGGGCCACAUUAUGAAAAAAAAAAAAAAGAAGACUUCAAGAUUAAAGUCAUUACUAACGAGAAUAAAAUCAUAGGAAAAUCAUUUCUUAUGAGAAUAAAGUCGUAGAGUAAAUGAAGUCUUUGUGGAGGAGGAAACGUCUGAACUGGUCAAAUGCAGAGUUAUCAGUGGGUGCAUCAGUGGACCAUUCAGAGAGCAUUCAGAGAGGGAGGCGAGUUCUGACGAGCACCGCGUCUGUCUCUGAUGUCGGCACAACACCGACAGCAACCUACACCUGCAGAGGCACCAACACCUUAUGGCAAAUAGAUUCAUACAACAAACUAAAGACAUAUGCUAUUGCUAUAAACGGCUGCAUUGAGGGAUUUAACCUCUGCACAGACAUUUCCCCCUCCUCAAAAACAGUGAUUCCCUACGAGUCCGUCUGGUUCUUUCUUACAAUAGCUAUUAGCUACGACUUUAUUCUCGUAAGUAAUUACGAAGUCUUAUUUUUUUUUCUUAAUGUGGCCCUAAUUUUCUAAAAGAAAAUCGCGAUCCUUCAGUGAAUCGAUUUUUUCUCCCACCCUAGCAGGUUGUAUUGAAACAGACUCCACGGUUCAGCCGAAGAAUCACAUCUUCAGGCAUCAUGGUGGUUCUGGAAUAUCUGGCAGCUAGGUAGCAGCCUUGAGACCUCCUCCCUGACCGUUCCUGCAGAAGUUAGCUGGUGAUUACUUUUGGCGUGCGUUAUGUGCAUUCAGUCUUCAUCUUUUCAGGUUCUGUUUCAAGCUGCACCGUUUCACCUUUUGCUUCUCAGCGUGGAUGUAAAAUGAUUAGUUUGUUCAUGCGCAGGUGUAAAACCUCUGGAGAUUCUAAGUUCGAGGAGCUUCGGUGGGUUAUUACGUAGCUCUACAUGUUCCCGCAGUAAUAAUCGAACCUUCACUUAUGGAUAAAAGUCAUGUGCUCUUUGUUACACCAAUUACUCCAACUUCCACCGAAGAUAGACCAUCUCUCCACUUCAUCAUCCAUGUUCCCGCUGACUGAACAGCAGGCAGGAGAAGUUACUUUUUACAAAGUUUGAACUCAUUUCAGAAAACCACGUUAUUCCCACUGUGUAGUAUGAAACUGAUGACUAACUCGGCCCAUGUGUCGAAUUAAAAUGAGGAAAGUUGCAAAUCCAAGUUACAACUUUGAACCGUGAACCGGGAUGACCCACCUCUGGUACGUGUGUCAGUUAUGUACACAUGGCUCAGCGUGGGUCCAAACCGAACCACCGCUCUCCCACUCAGCUCUUAUGUCUAUAAUUAGUUUCAUAGUGAGAGCAAAUUCAUUUUCACAUGCCGAACAGCCUCCAACUGUCAGGCACUGCCAGAGGAUAUGGAUGGACCUUAUUCCACUAAUUACCCCAGAGCAAAUUUGACUCUGACUGACUAAACUCCUACCUUUGAACGGAAAUCUAGAGAAGCCGUUUUUAUUCGCCGUAUUGGUGCUUUUUUUUCUUUUUUUCUUUUUACAUAAUACAUGAUAAAAAAGACAAAGUCAGAAACGCUCUGUAAGUGAGGUUAGAAUGAUGCUAAUUUAAUAGAGAGUAGCCACUCAAAUGUCUGCGAGUCGAAAUGAUUUUGACAGCUCCUCAGAAGCCCUCAGAGCCGUUUGGGAGAGCUGCUCAUGUUAUGUAGAUUAAUCUAGUGCUAUCAAGCUGUGCCGACCACAUGCCAGGUCGCUGCCCGUCUCUCCCUCUGAACCACACUUUCAGCUGGAGUUCAGCUAAAAAAUCAUAUUAAGUGAACUCUAAGCCACCCGAGGGUUUCAUUUUUGACAAUUACUCCGCCGAUUUUAGGAGCUUGUGGGAGAUGAGUCAAAUGUUCAGGUCGCAAAAUGGCAAAAUGGGGAUAAUACUCGCCAUUUUGCCUUUUUUAAGCUUCUUUCAACUGUAAUCUUGAGUCUUAAUCUCAUGAAUUGGCACCUUCAAGAAGGAAAUGUAUUAUUUCCAUCUAUCAUUGGUGCCAAAUCGCCCCAUGAGAAUGACUAGGAAGCACACAGGCUAAGGCACAUGGCAACAAAAGAAUCAGAGUGAGUUUGACUGUGUUUUUGCUAGUUAAGCGGCGCACAAUCCCGGCGCUUUAUGAGGUUUAGGACCUAAAGAGUUUGGGUGAUUGUUCAUGGGAGGUUUGUAGAGGUGGCACCCAACCAAUAAGUGUGAAGUUUUGAUUGUGGGCGUGUCCUCGUCUUCUGGUAAUAUCACAGCGAUGUAAAAAGACCAAUAAAAAUACUAAGAACCCUUACAAAACUUCAUGAUACCCCUUCGCUAGAUUAACCCAUUCAUAGAAGUCCAAUUACUAUUUACACUCAGUGAACGCUGGGCUAAAAAAAAUGUCUGCAUUGAUUAGGAAUAACCAUGUUAUCGGCGAGUCAAUCUCGAGACAUCGUCACCUGAAUUGGCAACUUAAAGAAGGAAAUGUAUUAUUUCCAUCCAUCAUUGGUGACAAAUCGCCCUAUUAGAACAACUAUGAAGUAUAUGGGCCAAAGCACACAGCAUCAAAAGAAUCAGGGUGAGUUUGACCGUGUUUUUGCUAGUUAAGCGGCGCACAAUCCCAGUGCUUUAUGAGGUUCAGGACCUAAAGAGUUUGGGUGAUUGUUGAAGAGAGGUUUGGAGAUGUGGCAACCAACAAAUAAGUGUGUGGUUUUGAUAGUGGACAUGUCCUCGACUUUUGGUAAUAUCACAGCGAUGUAAAAAGACAAAUUAAAAAAGUACUCUGUUACUGUAAAAAUCCUUAACAAAACUUUAACAUAGCCACUUUUUCGAGGAUAACCCAUUCAUAGAAGUCCAAUUACUUCCUACACACAAUGAAGGUUGGGCUAAAAAAACGUCUGCAUUGGGUUAGAAUCACCAUGGUAUCGGCAUGUCAAUCACAGGUAGCCACACCCUGAAAUAUACCAUUUAUACUUGGAUCAAAAUUUAAACCCGAUAAAGUUAACUUCAUCUAGACAUUAAGAUCAUAAACUCAUUGAAAAAAUGUGAAAUAAUGUCAUUAAUGAGGUGAAAAGUGGAAUAAUUCCCUCAUUUGAUUGUACACCGAUAAAGUCGCCCUCUAGUGGCUCUUGGAAAUAAUGCAUCUUUGAGAAACCAAUGUCUGCUAAGACCAUAAACUUCUCUUCUAUAGAGCUACACCAGAUUUAUCCUUACAGACUGUCAUUCACUCUUCCAUGAUGUGAGUUACUUGAAUCCAAAGACAUGCAGAAGGCCUCUAUAUAUUUACUCAUCCGUAUGUAGCUGUGUGUCGCAUGUUUCCCCGCUGACUAAAUCCCAUCAAUAAGUCAGAGUUGUUCCAUACUCCGCCAUGGCACAUCUCGAUCUGUCAUUAAACAUCAAAAUGAAAAAGCCUUUAUGUUCGAAACCCUCCGGCAUGAAAUACACUCCCUGUCAUGUCCCUGUAUCCAUAUGUGUUUGCAGUGUUUUAUCAGCGGCGUGUGUGUGUGUGUGUGUGUGUGUGUGUGUGUGUGUGAGCACAACCUGCUAUCAGCUUUUGUCGAGCAUACGCUUUCUCGCUUCCUUGUGAAGUCCUUGCAGAUUGUGAUUUAGAGCUACACUGUACAAAUGAAUCUGAAGUUGACUUUGAUCUAUAAUGCAGUGUCAUUUCUUACAGGGCCUGCUGAUGAGAUCUUCAGCUUCAUUUGGCUGAGGCCUGGAAAUUAUUUUUUGUCUGGAGGGAGAAAGCUAAUAAAGCCUGGGAGUGAGUUAUCACUGAAGUUCUCUGUAGUGCAUGAUAAUGCAAUGUAACCGCUAAAGUGUCACUGGGUUCAUUUUGUGCAAAUGUGCAUUCAGCAGCGGGGAAUAUGCCGAUGCAUGAUUACGAUCCUACAAGAGAGCCAUUUAAAGUUCCAUGCAGAUAUAUCUGCAGUUAUUUGGAUGCAAACUAUGUGGGGAAACUUUGAGGAUAGCAGAGCGACCUGGGAGCGGGGUUAGUAAUUAUGACCAGCAGUUUGAAACCUGAAACCCUCAUUAUGUAGAAAAUCUGAAAGGUCAGGACUCUGGAAAUGCUUUGAGCUUCACUGCCUGUUGUCUCUCCCCUAAUAAAGUUAAAAUAUCUUAAAUAGAAGCUAAACCUGUAAAGUUAAGGAGGGUAGUAAAUGUUGGCCGAUAAACAUCCAUCAAUUACAAGUACUUAGUGCUGAAGCGCUGUCUUUCAUCCGCAUGAAUUCUUACUAGUGAUUUACAGAGAGUUUAUCUAAGGGCGUUUCAACCAUUGACUGUAUUUACUAUGGACAACUUGACUCCGCCUUCCGCCAUUAUACGAAUUUGAUGCUGAAUUGCUCUGGUAUUUUCAGGAUUUUCUCCACUUCCUGGACCAACCAUUAGCGUUGUACGCAUUCGGCGGGAGAGUCGCUCUGAUGACCCUCGGCUAAAACAGCGUAUCCCCCGAGUGAGCUACACAAUCCUCAUACGUCCAUAGGCUGUAUCAGGUGUCAAUCAUAGAAAACAUGAACCCUCAUUCUUAAAUACAGUCUUUGGUUUCAACCCUCCCUCAGUACGUUUACAUGACACUCGAGAAAACUGGAUUAUUGCCUUACUCUGAUUAAGACAACCGAAGUGCACGUAAACAUCUAAGUCUGAUUAAGACCCCAGAUAAUGCGAAUUCGAUUUUCUCUACCAUGUAACCAGCGUAGUUGGAGUGUGAUUGGACAAUACAUGUGCGCGUGCAACACACCCACGUAACUCCAGAACAAAAACACCGGAGAAGAGGAGUAGCGUGCGUCUCAUCUGAUCUCAUCUCAUCUGCAGAAAAAGUAGCGUGUACAUCAUGUACGACAAAAACAACGCUGUACGAUUCUCCAUCUUCUUGCUCGAAAAUGCUCAGCAGCAGUUGUAGACACUUCUGACGUCUGGCACGGACCUGCUGUUGAUUUUCUCAGCUGCAUGUAUACACGGACAAAGAGAGAAGUCUGAUUCGGUGAAUAAAAACGAAUUAUGAGCCGAGUCCGAUUAAGAUGUGCAUGUAAACACACUGACUGUGGCAGCCAUCUAGUCUAGUUCAGUUAUCAAAAAAAUCCCAACAUCUCAGUCUAGUUUGGAUGUUACAUUGGAGUCUAAACUGGUUAAAAGGUUUCCUCUCUAACUUUUUCAUUCAACCAACUAGAAACUAGCGUGGAGUUUGUACCAAUUAUCUGAGUAAGUGAUGGAGAAGGCUUGGUGAAUGGAUGAACGUGAACAGGUCCUCUGCAGGAAUAUAAAUGCCGACUUUUGCCCAGGGAAUCAAGUAUUCAACAGAGACGCUAAAGUCUCCUGCUGAUUCAGAUUCAAAGAUGAACGUAGAAGUACAGAGGAUAGAUCUCUACUCCAAGUCAAGUGUAGCUGGUUGUGGCGCAACUAAUCCAACUCAGCGUUUAGCAGGAAAGAGGAAAGAUCGGUCGCACAUUGAGGGAUAUAUUGUAGACAUUAUGACUGAAACAUACCUGUGCUUCAAGGUUUUAUCUUAACAUGUUUUACAGACAACAAAGUGAGUCUUUGCUUCAGUUGUAAUCCUCUGUAAAACAGCAGAGACCGUCCAUGAAGAAGAGGAGCUGCGUGCUUUAACAGAGUUGAUACCCUCUCUGGCCUUGUAGCAGCUCAUCGCAUGAAUAAACCCACGCUUUUGUUGUGUUUUUACGAAUCUGCUCGAUGUUAAUAUUAAAAAACAAAUACUGUGUGCAGCCAGCAGUGGACUGCUCCUCUGCAAAGGUCACCCAAAGACCAUCUUAUCAAGUUUUCAAGCACACUGGGCCAUCAUAGAGGGCACUUUAUCAUGUUUGUUCUAUCACCGGGGCAUCCGAGAGUGCACUUUUGCUUAACACGAGGGCAUCUGGUCCAGUAGUGUGCUCAGCUCUGCACAGUAAUAGUCCCAAAGAUGGUUAUUUCCCUCUGAAAACCAAGGACAGACAUCACACCUGCUGCUGUGUGCCGGUGAACACUUUUAUUGCCGUUUCUGCAGUGUCCUUUAUUUGUCUUCAGCGGGAAACGUGUGAUGAUGGUCCUUGGGUGUAUAGAUGACCUCUUGGCAUGUAGCAUGUUUUGUAUUACUCUGAAAGUUCGGCCUAUGCAGCAAACUUAGUCCUUCAGGAGGUGCUGGGUGAAGAAACGAAGGAUAGAAAGACUUGAAUGUUGGAGAGUAAUGGGAUCAUCGUUCAUCUUUGGAAAUCUGAAUUCUCCAUUUUCAUCCGAUUAUCCGAAGUGAUAAUAUGAAGAACAUGCAGCAACUUGUGAGGACCAUCCUCUGAACCUCUAUCCUCAUGUACCAUUAGUAAUUGAAAAAGAAAAGCGAAUCUAUUUGGUGACUUUGGCCUCGCUAAGACACCACAAACAUAACCGCUACCUGCACCUAAAAGCUCUGUAAAUCCAAGAACCCAUUCACCACUUAUGCAAAGGAGAAAAACUAGUGCCAGUCCAAUCUUCUUCUUUUAUAAAGACUUGUAAGAAAAAGAAAAAAAAAAACACUUUUUCUCAAAUAAAUAGACUUUGGCCGACCAAGGUCAGAUAAACAGAGUAAGCUCUUAAAAGAGAUUGGACUCCUCCGUACAGCCUCCAUUCAGAGCGGAGGAUAGUGUACCGUCCAAGGACAGAUACUGAACACAGAAGACGGUGACACCCAACCUUUUAACUGGAAUAACCAAGUCAACCAAAUGAAUGUACAGCCAUAGGUUAUAAUGGAUUGAAUAAAAGGGAUGUCAGUGUGUGUGCUCCUGUAGAUAAAUGCUUUGUAUUUUACAUCGCAUUAUGGUAAUGACUCUAGAUGUCCCAUUUGGCAAAUACAUGUGAUUAUUCCUCCAUCCUUGCAUCUCCCCAUCAUACCUUAAUAGGGAGGAGUGAAAGAGUGAAGAGGAGAUACAGACAAGCCAAGCAAAUAUGCAUAAUUUAGUCGCCGAGACGUUAAGUGAAUGAGUUUUCCACAGCGCUGCAGAAGAGAGUCACCUAGAAGCCUCCUAUAAGACUGUGGCAGCUGUGGCUGUCGCUCUAUGGAUGGAUUAAUGUCGAGUAAUCAUUCCUAAUUAUUAUCCCCACCUGCUUGUGGACUAAAACGCAGAGCCCAAAGCCAAGCGAGCACCUUUGAAUGUCAGGAGGAAAGCCUCGUAAGCCAAGGUGCUUUCAAGGCCGGCGGGUUGGCCCGGCGCUUCUGGAGACCACGUAAGAAAAAGAGAGAGAGAAAGGUCAAUGGUUUAGCGCCAAUAUGCUCAUCGUCACUGCGGUCCAAGAAGUCAAAUCUGAGUUAUUCCCAGGGAAAGUAUAUUAAGGGUGAACAGAUUUUUUCCAGUCUUGUUUCUCUUCACUUUGUGGAGAUCGCACUUUGGGACCAUGAUCGCCAUAAACGAGGUUCAUAAUAACUACCAAUCUCUCCAAUUGUCCACCAUGCCAUUGAUUCGCGCGAACUUAGAGAUGUGAAUGUAUAGUACUUACUUGCUUCAUUUGCAAGGCAAAUUAUAGCACUUUAUGCUAAUUUUAAAGGUAAUCCCUGCCAAUUAAACCGUCAAGAUCAAGUGAAAAGGUAUCAUAUAAUUCAGGGCACCCACACACUAACACGAUCAGUUUGUCCUCCAUUUUAGAUAAAAGUGAGCAACCGUCCGUUUUCAUACGUCACCCGGCAACCUUUGUGCUGAUUGGCUAUCGCAACGUGAAUAUCCGCUCAAGUUGAGACAUUUUCAGAUCCUGUCCAAUUCGCAUCAUUUGUGCCGCCAGAGUAGUAGGAGCGUCUAAUCACGUCUUUGCAUUGACUCUUACAUAUAAUUGAAUGAUUUUACUCGUGUUUGAUGUGUAGACACAGUAACAGCUGUGUGCCUCUUGUUUUGGGUGAUCAUACAUCCUCCUCUACUCGGACAUGUCCUCUUUUUUAUGGGUCUGUCCUGCUUUGUCCCGGGAGGUUAAUAAAGUCCCUCAAAUGUCCGCUGUUUUGAACUUAAGUUUCGAGUUUGUAUCACUAGGACUUACUGAGUUAGAUGUGUGUGAAAGACGCACGAUCCGACCCGAAAACCUCAAAAUUAACUUUGUGCUGACUCUGUGGUCGUGCCGUCUUUUUGGGGAGUCAGAAUACGAUCGCCCUACUCUUGUUUAAUUGUACAAUGGUUGAAAUCUGCAGCUUUUAAUCCAUAGGUUGUUUAAUGAAUUGAACAAACUGUUAGAAAAAUAGUUCAUGAUCAGAAAUUUUUGAAGAGAUUUCUGAAAUCUGUCAGAUUUUUGAGACUACUUUCAUCUAAAGUGAGCAGUGACUGUUGAGAGAUAAUAAGCUUCACAGCGCAGGAUGGAUGAGCAGUAAAGCUUUUUUUUUUUUUUCCCGUCAUCAAAAGGAACAAGUUUCUGUCUGUACCUUAAUAUAACUUUUUUUUUUUGUUUACCUUCUGCACUAAUUUAAUCGCUGCCGGUGGAAACAGAUGUCUGGACACCUCUCGUUAUAAAAGGGCAGGUGGAGGGAUCCAAGAACACCGCUCUGCGUGAAUCUCAAUCCACACAAGAUGCAGACAGAGUUCACCACUUUCACUCCGUUUCUGAACCUCGAUUGAAUAUUUGCGGCGUCGGAGCUUAAUAAGAAGUUUUUUUUGCUUUCAGCGUGUCUCAUUUUCCAUAAGCACAUUUCACCGAGUCCAUUUUAAAUACUCAUGCUGCGCUUGAUGUAAAACGGAGCAGGGUAAUUAUGUUGCCGAGCAAAUAUAUGAAAAGGGAAAAAACAUUUCUGGUUCAGUGCUUUUCUGGUGUUGUGGAGAUUCAUAUAGACAGAGUGUGUAAUUCAAGGAUUCAGGGCAACAUGACAAGGAUCAUUUCUAACACCAUUUAGAGGAGAGUAAUGAAGUGUGACCGGGGUUACACAUUUCCCUAUAUGACUGAUUUCCUGUUUGAGAUCUGGUGUAGGACCACAAAAAUCCUCAGCAGAGGAUGUUUUCACCCAACACUAAGACUCAUAAUGAACCAAACCCAGAGUUUCUGCUUGUUCUGCCUUUAUUUACUCCUAAUUAGCAUUUGUUUGCAAGCUCUGACAAUUCAUUAAAACAAUGCAACGACUGAAUCAAAAUACAAAAUGAAAACAAAAGUGUGGAGAUACAGUUUGUGAUUUCAGACGACCAGAAAAAAAGCAAAUAAAAAACAAAAUAUUACAUUAAUAUUCUGGGAUAAACAUUUGGCAUUUUAAUAUGCUUAUAUGUUUAAAGAUAACAUCGGCAUGAACUAGUUUACAACCCUUUGUAUGUAAAUACAAAUGCAACUCACAACUACAUUAAAGGCAUGGUUGACGAUUGGAGAGAUUGGUAAAUGUUAUGAACCUCGUUUCUAUGGCGAUCAUGGUCCAAUAGUGCGAUCUCCACAAAGUGAGGAGAAAAAGAAUGGAAAAAUACGUUCACCCUAGCAGGUGCAGGGCUGCAAAAACAUUGACCAAUGGUAGGAUGGUAGGGAAAGUCCCGCACUCCUUCGCCUCUGAUUGGCGAGAAGUAUUGGGCUCCAAUUGGUUAUUCCUAAUGGCUGUGAAACGUCAUCGUCUGUUGGGUUAGGGUUAGGGUUAGGUGAUUCAGAAGAGCGAUAAUUUUCUGUAAUGUUCUGUUUGAUGUACAGAGCCGACAGCCCAUGUUUGGCUUGAGCAUGUGAUGACGUUUCCAGCUCUUCUAGCCAAUCAGAGUCGAAGGAGGCGGGACUUUUCCCCUGUUGUCCCACAAAAAAAAUCAAGCGUAACAUUAUCGCUCUUAUGAAUCUCCUAACCCUAACCUGAUAGACGAUGAUGUUUCACAGCCAUUAGGAAUAACCAAUCGAAACCCAGCACUUCUAGCUAAUCGGAGGCGAUGGAGGGUGGGACUUUCCCUUUACAGCCUACAAAAAAAAAUUGCGUCCAGGCAGCUGCAGACGCUGCUCGCUAGCAGAGCUGGCAUUUACUGCCGCUAGUCACUAGUCCUAUUUGAAACCAGCGUAGGAUCUUCUGCUGGCCGGCUUCUUGCUCUGCCAGAGGGGGUGUGUCGUGGGGAGGGCGAUACAGGUUCUGGGAGGAGUUAUCGUGGAGCACAGAGGGGAGAGGUUUGUGUGUGGAGGGUGGGACGCUUUUUUCAAAUCUGCCCCAAAGGAAGCAGUUUUUUUUCAACUGCUACUCAGAUCAUCAACCACAACUUAAAAUCAACAUCCUUUACUCGCUUCAGCUUCCCCUGUGAGUUCUCCACUUCCUGGUUUUGGCUUCACUUUAUCUGUACUUCCCCUGAAAUGAGCAGUGCAUCAUUUUUAAACAACAGCACAUAAAGGUCGAUAAAUCUACCUCUGGACCUCUUUAACUGUAGGAUAGUCGGUGUGGAAACUCUCUGACUCAUCCCCAGGUUUGUGCCUGGCUUUACAAGAACCAAUUAGCAAAUGACCGUGUGCAGCUAGUACUCAUGGGAAUUGUAGUGUCACAGUUUUCACAGUGCCAUUAGAUUAGGCCUGGUGUGCCUCAUAAGGGUCUCUCUCUGGGUCUUCUUCCAUGUUUUAAACAGUUUUUUUUUACUAGUUUAGGAAAACUUCUCCGUGAAACUUUUGAGUAUUAACUCAGUGGAAAUAAUUGGACAUGUGGGUCAAAACCUCGAUUACUCACAGCAGCAUGCUGGAUGGAUUAUUGUUAACACUCUUUAUUAAUGAUUUUUUCUUCUUUCUCUUAUUUAAAUGUGCAGAGUUGAUGGAUGAUCAACCUUCGUGUUACAUUUAUUACAGAGCCAUAAGACCGGCCAGAAGCCUCAGGGAUCUAUUUUACCUCCAACUCUGAUCACAUUUCUUAUUGGGUUUGUGUUUCUCACUAAUAGGACCAUUAACAUCAGUUAUGAACCUUUCGUUAAGACUCUUUUCCAAUGAGCGGCGCUUCCCUCCACAUCUCCACAGCAGGAACGGAUGAAACAUUUAAAUCUCUCUGUAAAAAAAAAAUCAGUCUAUUACAAGCUGUUUUUUUGCGUCUGUUCUUCUCUGUGGGUAGAAACUCCAUUAUUUACUCACUACAGACAGAUCUUUAUUGUGAUGGGACGCAUUUUGAUGCUGCAGGCAUUUCCAAUUCCAGUGUGUACACUGAGAAUAAAACACUAUCGAGUGGUGGCGGGGUUAUUCUCGUCCCUCGUCGACUGAACUGUUCCUACACUUAUCUAAAAAUAUACACAAAGCUUUGUUAUCCUUUUCUGUAUUCUAUUAACUUAACAUAUACAGCACUUUCUCUGCAUAAUACAUUUAGUGGGUCAUCGCUGCCGAUUCCUGAUUAAAAAAGUCGCUCUGUUUUGCAUAACGCUGGUGAGACAUUUCCUCUUCCUUUGCUGGUUUACUGUCAAAACAAGUCAUCUGGGUUACCCCUUUAUCAGCUGUGCACUCAGCACUGCUGCAGAUAAAUCCCUCUGACUCUUUUACCAUGCUGCUUAUCACUUACUGUGCCAUGAUGUGGUCACAGCACAUGCAGCAAAAAAAGAAGAUGAAUCUGCUUGUCUGUGCAAGUCACUUCAGCAGAUAUGCCUGAAUUUUUAAACUCACCUCAGAAGUAAGUUUAUUCAGGCCUGGUGGCAAUUAAAGUUGACAAAGUAGGUAGUUGGCACUCCUGCUCGGAAAACAGGGUUUGAGGUUUGCAUCAUCGUGGAAAAUGUGGAAGAAGAAAAAAAGACAGAAGGGAAAUUAAUGGAGACAUUUAGUUGGCAAGUUGGUUGAGGAUGAACAUGCAUUUUUGUAUAAAUAUGAUAAACUAAGCUUGUGGUAAUUUGCACUUUUUAUAUUCUUAUAAAAUAUAUCAUUACUUUUUUUGAGGCAUCCCUUUAUUUUGCGCUCCCCCCCUCCCACUUUUCCAUUAUUUAAGUCUUGAUAGAUGCAUUUUUACCAACUAUGGAAAAAAUGUAAAAACUCGUGUAAAAAACUCAAUGUAAAUAAUUUAUUUAUGACUGAAAAUGUGAACUUUACACCAUUAUAACAAACAGGUCUAGCAGUCUUUAAAAGGCAUUUGGAGGAUCGUUAUUGCGUUACCGUAUUUUACCCAGAAGAUGGCGCUUGAAGCUGCAUGUGAUGGCAUCAGUGUGCAAAGCAAUUAAACUGUUUUCUCCAUUUUCAGGUCAGAAUUAAAGAAGUCAUUGAGUAAAUGAACUUUGUGGAGAGCUGGUUUGAUUGAAAAGACUCCCAAACCGCGAAAACAAGUGACCAGCAGAGGGCAGUAGAGCAAGUCAUUGCACACAGUAAAUUGUCAGUUCCUUUAAACUGUAAAAGUAACAUGUGUUGAACUGCUUUUGUCAGUGACAGAUUGUGUUAGAGAGAGCUACACAUCUGCAUAUAAACUGCACAUUGCUGACCUUAACUGACCGUUUUGUCGCCAACUGACAUACCUUUGCAGUUAUUCUCUUGGUUUUGCAGUAUCUAUGGUCUCCAGAGGUUGAGGGAGUGUUUGGUUAACAGGUAUUCAUGGUGCCAAGAGGAUGCAUCAUCAAAAUGUAAACGAUAUUCUGACAUUUAAUAAUGCCGUUUGAUUUUCGACUCAAAGUCAAAGUCAACUUCAUUGUCAAAUAUGCUAUACAUGUUAAACAUACAGCACAGAUGAAAUUUCAGUCCUCUCAGACCCACGGUGCAUAUGAAUAAACUAUAAGAAUAAAACUAUAAAUGUAUAAAUAUUGAAUAAACAAAAUACUACCUUAAAUACUCUCAAUUUACAAAAUAAAGAUAACAGUAUAAACAGCAUAACAAUAAUAAACAGUGUAACAGUAUAAAGAUAAGGAAGAAGGUGAAUGGAAGAAAGACAAAAAUCACCUAUUUAUAUUUCCCUUGGACUCUCGUCAGAUUCUUUUACUCUUACCAAGCAGUUACUUGUAGCUUUAAUUUCAAACUAAUAUAUCUUUUGUAUAAUAAGUGAGAACAGUGAGUGCAUUUAUCAAAAUGUUAAAAAUAAAACACAUCAACCCUUAUCUGGGCCACUAAUAAAGGAAUCCAGGUCCAAUCACUCAAACAGCACAGGUUUAAAUAUACAUAGAUAUAUAAAACAUGGUUAUAUUUGAUCAGUUUAUUUGGUUUAGUUCCUGGGACCUUGAACACGUCGCCUCCAUUCCAAUCCGCCCCUCCCAGAUCAACUUUCCCUCCGUCUCUGCAUCUCUGCGGCACCAAUUUGAAUUGAAAUUGCCCGUUCGUUCGCCUGAAAACAGCAUCUCCCAUGCUUCAGAGACUUUAUUUUUCAUUUGUAUGAGCUAUCUAACCUUGUGACAAUCACACUGCCGCUCAUGUGUAUAAUAGUUGUUUGGACAUCAUUUCAGAAUGUGGAAGUUAACGUCCCAACAUGCCUCGGUUUUGCUGAUACAAGGUCAAACUUGCCGAUAAUGCAUUAGCGCAGAUUUCUGACUUCUCAACCUGUUUGUGUUCUUAUUUAUACCUCCACAUUUAAAGGAGGUCGUUUUAUUGAGUUUUAUGACACAAACUGAUUCAACUUUAACAAAUAGGACAAGUACAAACCCUUUUGGAGGCGUCUUUUUUGUUUUAUAAUGCUGAAUUUUGUGUGUGCGUGUCCUUAACGCGGCACUACAAUAUGUUUGGAUGAUUUGAGGGCAGCAGGCAUAAACGCGUGUUAUAAAUUUAGCCAGAGUCUUGGCCUUCCUUCUCCUCCGCGUCCCCCUGACGACCAAGGCCAGGUCCCCGCUGAUGGAGAGAGAGGGGUCAACUCUGGCAGCAGGAACAAAGUGGACUUGACAAGUGUGAAAGAUUUAGUGCCGGGCAUUUAGAGUGAUCAUCUUUUCCCCUUUGUCAGCAGGUAGAGAAAUUUCUCUGCCCUUACUGUGUCCUUGAUUCAGGUUUGAUGGCACAGGGGGGGAAAUCCUGUCUCUGUGCACGUCUCCCCUCUGCUGUGAUGCAGAGGCCGGUCGGUCGGUCAGUCGGUACAUUGUCCUGUUAAUGACUGUUAUUGCUCGGAGUGGAAUGAAUAUUAUUACCUUGAAAUUUAAAGCUUAUGGAAAUUUAUGUUGAAAUGGCAAAAAUGCACAUAUAACAUCAACGUUCGCUGUCUCAGAAAGCGUACAUAAAAAAUCUGCAAGUUAAAUGUUAAAACAACCACCAGCCAAAUAAGCUUUCAGGCCACUGUUUCAGACUGAUUCAGCUUUACGGGUCAUAUUUUCUUAAGAAUCUCCAUUUAUAAGAGUAGUAGAGCCAGUGAACAGUAUAUCUGAGGUGUCUGAGUCAGGAGAGGAAAGAGCAGGUGUCCUGCAGUCUGAAAUAAUAAACCAGGAACCUUUAAUGAACAGCUCAGACUUUUAUUUGUUUCACUCUGCAAACGCCCCCUGCCUUUAUUUGGGGCAGGCUUCAAUAAAGAAUAUCAUCUCAUGCAGUCUUCCACGACCAAAACCAAAAAUAUAAACUUAUUGUUUAUCAUACUGAGUGGUAAGAAUCUGGCAUCUUAUUGGACACUGACUCCAAACAGGAAAGUGGUUUCAGAGGAGAACUCGAUCAAGCUAGACGGUGUUUCGGUUAAACAGGUAACCGUGCAAACUGGCGACUUCCUGUCAGAUGCAUUUGCAUUUAUCAUAUGCCGCAUUCCAGUUAAAUCAGAAGUUGGAUUGUGGAGCUGGGAAUAAUGUUACAGCCGAGUUGAUGGCGUUCCAGUUAACAAGUGGGAAAACCAAGAUGGACACCUACUGUUAGCCGUUGUUAGCUAUUGUUAACAAUUGUCAGCGGUCAUUAGCUGUUGUCAGUCGUUGUCGGUGGUUGUCAGUCGUUGUUAGCGGUUUUCUUGAAGACUUAAAAACAGGCAACUGGACUGUGUAGAGAUGAGAAGACGUUUCGCCUCUUAUCCAAGAAGCUUCUUCAGUUCUUCUUCAGUUGUUAGCAGUUGUCAGCUGUUGUUAGCGGUUGUUAGUUGUUGUUAGCUAUACCAGUUGUAAACAACACACAAUAUAGUAUGUGUUCACAGUUAGACGUUGGGCAGUACAACAUAUUUAAUUUCACAAAAACAAAAACAGAAGAGCUAAUAAAUGAAACAUUUGGCUACAAGAGCUUUCACUGUUACUCUUUACUGUUGAUGCACUGCGCUGCCACCUUGAAUUAUGAUGUUGUCAUCAAGUCAGGGUUGGCGAGGCUCGUCCAACUCUCCGAGUCGGAAAUCCAUAUUCAGGGGGGCGUUCCAGAUGAAUUUCCAAGUCGGAGUUUGGAAAUCCUGAAUUCUGAGUACAACUUGAAUGCAGCAAUAAUCACAACUUGCUAUUUAACCCUAACGACCGCUGAGGCAUUCAGCUGAAAGUCGUCAGUUAACACGCUAACUCUCUAAAUCAAAACACCGGCGCCUGUGGUAGAAUCAUCCCCUCGUUGUAAAUGGAGACCGGCAUCUUUCACUGCCAUGUUCAUACAGUAACACAAUCUAGUACAUAGUAUUACUUACAUACUAGAACCUGACAAAUGCUUCACAGCAGCUUCUUGUCCUUAAAGGCUGCCGUAGCUGCAUCAUCAAGAGGCUGAGCAGAGAUCUAAUAUAUUCAAAUAUUCCCAUUUUUACACACAAUACCGCUCACUUACUUGUAAAUAUUGAACAAACCAGAGGACUACGAUCUUUUUAGAUUUAAAACCAGAAAGAAUAGAUAAGAAACGUUUAAUAAAGGAGCAUUACGUCACAUUUGUGUUUUCCAGUCUUUAAAGUCUCGUGCCCUGACUGUCCAAACUGCAUUUUACUGCUUUAAAAACAGGAGUAACUGGACGUAUCACACAACCAUAAUGGUGGUUAGUUUUUAAUCUGUGAAUGGUUCCCAAUCUAAAACCUGUUUCCGCCCUCUUUAAAGGAAUUACCAUGCGUACAGUGUCAUGUAAUAUUUCAACCCUUCUCCUCUUUUUUUCAUUUGUUCUCACUCUCCACAGCUCCCCUCUGUAUUAUAUGGCUUAAUUUUCCUGAAGAGCAGCAAAUGUUACACUUCAGUGAAAUUUUGAGGCCUCUUAAAUCCCAGAGACUAUGCCUCAUAGAUUUCAGUAAACUAUGAAAUUAAAUAUGGGACCUCCUGUGUGAAUUGGAUUUAAAUAUCCCUAUUACUCCUGCAAAUGAAAGAAAAAAAGUAAGAUUAACUUUUAAAUGAUGGUGAGAAUCCUCUAGUGCUACGGCUUAAUAAUUAGGUCAUUAGCACAAGUGUGAUGCUUCCUAAUCCCUCCCAGUAGCUAGCAUGAUACCACAGAUCCGUAUCACCCUCUUAUCAAAUCUCAAGAGGUGCAUCUGUUGCUUUUCUUCUUGGAUCUCUCCUGGACACAAAAAACAAACAAUAAUAAGACACAAAUCCACCUCGGAUACGUGCCGAGUGCCGCGAUGUGAUGGAUUUAGACGAGGCGAGUCAGGUGAAUGUCGAGCAGUCUUAAUGGAGAGAGCGGCUCCAGUGAUCCCCGCAGAGCCCGGUGGCUUUAGUUUUCACCCAAUUACCAUUUUCAGCUUCUCCCUCCACUGUUUUUGUCACACUGUGUGGUGUUUUAAAACCGCUGUGGUGUCUUUUUCCAUUAGAGCUUCUCAGGCUAAAGUCGAUGCAAAUACCGUAAUGACCCAAAUAUGAGGACAACUCCCACGCCUUUUUUAAGACCAAGACUUUUUGAGAGUUAGUUCUGUUUUUACAAAGUCAGUCAAGCACUGUAGUCCACUGGACGGAUGGGUCUGCCAAUAUGCAUACUGUCAAUCCAUUGUUUUAGUUACAUACAUCAUGAAGUAGGUUGGAUUUCAUUUUACCGUCUUUACACAAGUGGAUUAAAAUGAUGGAGGAAAAGCAACGUAACUAUCAUCUUUGUAUAAAUUUUAUAAACAGUUAAAAACUCUCAGAACUUCUUUGAGUUUGAGCGACCACCUACGAGCUAAACGUACAAGUGCAGCUGAUCAGACUGAUGUCUUACCACCAAUUUCCACUGUAUCUGGAACGGCUACGAAAAGGAUGUAUGCGCCAAUCGCAGCUGAUCGUAACCAUUCAAGGUAACGUGUCAAUUUCUACUGGCUUCUUUCCGUUCCGCUGCGGAUCGGCAGACUCCACAGCAGAUCGCAAGAGUUGUUUUUUCUGGACGCCACAUAGCCCAUGCUGAAAAGGAAGUCGGGCACAGACACAAAGUAAAACAUCUGGCUUCUUUUCAAAAUAAAACACUCCGUGUUUCAGGAGGAUCAUAUUUCACACCAUGCAAACAGGGGGAGAAGAGCAAGUGAAAGGUUCUUAGAAGUCAUUUCACCAAGAUGACACUAUGGAUGAGGAGAUGCUGAUUCUAGAAGUCUAGAAGUAGAUUUCCUCCAUUGGAAGGAGACAAUCUACUGCUUAUAUGGUUAUGUGGCUGUCUUUAUAGAGACAACUCGUUAUCGCGUGAUUGCACGUGAAUCCGCGGGUUCUUGUGAGUUCUCAAGAUUCCCGCUGUCAGGUAAUCCGCCACAAAAUUCGCCUCACAAACGGAUCUAGGAAUUGGCGGACGGCAAAAAUCGCUGCCGGAAAUUGGGGGUAAGCUCUUAAAUAGCACUAAGAGUAUCUGUUUCAUUGUAUUCACCCAAAACAAGCAUUUCUUUACAGCAUCACUGUGGACAUGAGAGUCUAUUCCAUUAAAGAUAUUUCCCCGUGUGAAGCUCUACUCCUCUCGACAGAUCCAUCACAUGUCCUUAGUUUCGCUUCCAGCUAACAAGCCCUGAUUGUUUUCAUCAUUUCCUUUUUUUCUUCCUAUCAGGCCGGAGUGUCUUUCUUCUAGAGUCCUGAUGGGCCCGGCUUUCACUUUGAUGGAUUUGAUUUAGUGAUGAGGUUUGCCUUGACAUGGAGGUGGAAGACUUUUAACUAGAGAAACAACAACUAAAAACACACUGAUUUACACACAGUGGUGAAGCAAAGCAAUUAGGAACAAACUAGGACAGAAGGACUUUCAUUUUUCGGGCCUGUAUCUCUUUUGUGGGUUUUGCACAGCAGAUGGAAACCUGGAGAUCCAUGGGGAGUGGAUACCAAUUUGUGCAAUUUAGCAACAAAAAAAAAACACCUUGUACAGUGCAAAUGAAGUUUGCCCAAUUCAAUAAAACAUAUCUGAGGGGUACCAUAAUCAAAAGCUGGAGGGACUUUUGCAGUACAUCAAAUGUUAUUGUGAAUCUGAGUCUGAGAGGCACUAGAGCUCAUAUGAAAGUUUCAGUGACACUAAAUGUGUUUGAUCCAAUUUUACACAGGUUUCAGCCUCGGUCUGGGAUCUCUACAGGGGUUUCUCUGUGCUUUAAAUUCAACUGAGAGUCUUAGAUACUUGGGCCCAAGUGUAUUUGAUAAGAAUUAUCAUGUUUGGUUUGCAUUGUUGCGCAUCACUCCUAACAUCAAGACUCAUUUCUGACCAUUUAUCUCUUCAGGUGGAAAAUUUAAAGUAGCUUCAAACCCAAACCAGCAUUUGUCUUUGCAUAUAUAUGUGCAGAUGCUAACUAUCAGAUCUGUCUCCUCACUCUCUUUGAGCUCAGUAUCUCAGGAUCGGGCCUCUCUUAUGGGGCGUUCACACCAAGCCCAAGUAAAAUCAUCUACUCGUUUAACUCGAGCGAAUCUAGAGGCGUGAAUUAAAAGUAUUAACUCGCUUGGGAUCAAGUGAUAGACAAAGGGGUUUUUAAAUUUACCAGGUAAUCCUACCUCCUCACUCACUUGCCUUCAGACAAGCUUCUUUUUUUAUUCCGGUUUCGGUAACUAAAAGAAAAGGUAUCAUAUAAUUCAGGGCACCCACACUCCGACACGAUCAGUUUGCCCUUCUUUUUAGAUACCAGUGAACAUUUUUUAGCUCCCGCUCAAUUGAUGUCACCAGAGUCGUAGGAGCGUCUUAUCGCGUUUUUGCGUUGACUUUACAUGUAAUUCAUUCACGGGAAUGAUUUUACUCACGCUCUAUAUGUGUAGACAGUUAGAGUUCCAUAAGGGUACGUAGGUGUGUCCAAACCACAAGGGUUGCCUCAGUGACCAGUGCUUGGUUCCCGCUCUUCCUCGAAACAAUUAUCAUGGCUUCUCACCUCAUCACUAUGCAGAUGAUACCCUCCUCUUUCUGUCAUUCUGACCAGAUGACGCAACCGAUCCUGCUUGGAUCUCUGAUAUUUCUAAGUGGAUAAAGGAUCGUUACUUUCUGUUGAACUUGUCCAAAACUGGGCUUUUUGCUAUCUCAGCCAAUACCCCCAUACAAAGCCUGAUCCAUAUCCAGUCUGUCCAGAACUCGAGUGUCAUGAUUAAUAACCUUUAGGGUUGAUCUCGCCUUGAUUGUUUAGCCAUGCUAAUUCGCACUAAAUAAAGUCCCCCGAAAGACUUUUAAAAAUCAGUCCAAUUAAAUAACUGCGAGGCAUUACUCCUCCACUAGAUUUGCAUAUUUUCAUUAUUUUCAGUAGAUUGUUUUUUCUUCUUUAUUCUGGUUCAGAGUAUCCCCCCUAAAUAAAAUACAGUCUCCUCUUUCCUCUUCAUCAUCUCCAUAGUUCAGGAUAUAUAAACCCGUCCUCUAAGGAACGCUGUUUAACUUAUGUCCAAAUAGCGCAGUAGAGCAGUAAAACCACAGCACACCAAGGCUCUCACAGGGCCUUUACUCAUAGUUACGUACUGAACUGAAGACACAGACAUAUCCAUCACAUUAAACAUAAUGAACAGGCUGUGUUUGACCCUGGUAAUGCUGCACAAAUCUCCUAAACAGCUGUGCAACAAUAGCUUGUAAAAUAAUUGUGGUUUCCCUGCCACCCAUCUUCCAGGAUGGUAAUAUACUAUCACAGAACCAUUUGCAAUGUCAGCCGGUCUCUGUACCACACAAACACUUCCUCCCUGCACAUUUUCCUGAUGCCCAUUACACACAAACACACGCCCGAGGCGCUAAACACAACCCUCUUUUUUGCUCUCCAUGUGAAAGUGAUGACAUGAAAGUUACCAUCCUCAACCUGCGUGAGUUCUGAGUGUUCGCUAUCGUGAAGGACAGCUUUUAAUACAGCCCUCCUUAGAUCCUCUGCUGCCAGCAUUCAGAAGCAGCGGACCUGCAGAACAAAUUGUGAAUGCUCUUAGCCAAAGUCAAAGCCAGCAGCGGGCUGUUUUGAUUGACAACGACCUUUGAAUUGGCCUCAAGUAUCAAAAUAGAGAUGUUCUCCUGGCUGCUUCCAGGGGAAACUUCAAGAGUUAAUGGCCUCCAAACUCCUCGUGAUCAGAAUUUAUUAUUUAUUUUUUUCCCAUUUACAAAAUCUUAAUAGCGGUGCCUACAGGCGUUUUUGCCCUUUGGAAAGCCUGCAGAAGAGCUGAAUACCAUCCAAGAUGCACCACUGUGAGAGGCUGUCAAUCUGGCUGUUUGAUCAGUGGACCAAUACUUUCAAUUAAGGGUCUUUGGGUGGCUCCCUGGGGUUUCUCUGUGGACUUUAUCGUUAAUUUUUCUGUAUUAAUGUGAAGUAAAAGAAAGGUGAUGCAGAAGUUUACUUGUAUCCAUACUUACUAAAACUCAAAACAUGACUUUUUAUGCCAGUGCCUAAAAAGUUUAGUGCAAAAUGUUUACAUCUUUAUGGCCUUUAUAUUGAAAAACUCGCCUUUUCAUUCCUUUUUGUUUGUUGGUCAUCCUUUAGCGAACAUAAAAACACACUUACCUGGAAAACAGGGAUCAUAGAAGUUGGUCAGAACUGUCUCCUGUAGUGAUGUCAACCCAGGACUGAUUUACCCUCCCACUCUCCUCAGUGAUUCUGCUUCUUCUUUAACUAUUGUGGCUACCUGCUGAAAAAGCCGACCAUAUAAAGUUGGCGAUAUGUCAGGCAAGAAAGCAGGAAUAGUACGAGAGCUCUUCUGGAGCACUCAGAUUCAGAUUCAGACAACUUUAUCAAUCCCCGAAGGGCAAUUCACUCCACAGUAACAGAACAGACAAAUACCAGACAUUCACAGCAGCAUAUGACCCAAACAUUCCCCAAUCAGCACCACGAAUCUACAAUAAAUAAGUAACCAGAUAUUAAAUACAUGUGGAAUACCUUCAACAGUGGAAUGACUAUAAGAAAUAAGAACUAAAACAAUCCUCAGACCCCAAUUUCAACACCCCAAAAUCCAACACAGACCACCAAUCCACUACUUUUUACAGUUAGCAACCUGAUCACUAAGGGGAUAAAUGAGUUGGAGUAUCUAUUCGUUUUUCUUGGGGGAGCAUAGUAGCGCCUCCCAGAGGGCAUAAGAGAAAAGUCUGAGAAAAAGGAUGUGUCCAGAAUCGCCAUGUCUCUUGGAGUUUUUCCGCCUCUACAUUUUUCCACACCAGCCAAUCAGUGCAGUGCUUUAUUAUCAUAGCAUCCGCACUGCAUUAGGAACUGAGAGGCUGCAGAUGGUGAUACUUUGUUUACCUUGACAGCUAAAACUACGAUCUACUCGGCUCUUAAAGCGAAGUAACGUACAUGACCUGGCUUUGUUUACUACCACUGCAUGUUAGUAAUGGAUAUUACAUUUUAUGUCUGAGUUUCUUACCUAAUUAACCUACAAAGAGUACUUUAAAGUACGACUUUGAGCUAAAAGUCUUAUUGGUUUAAUGUAAAACUGCUGAGAGUAGGGCUUUCGACUUCUCCCAAAUAAGAGCACACAUUUUGAUUUAUUUUCUUAUGUUCACACAUUGUCAAUUAUGACAUGAUGCAUUCAGUUCUUAUUGUGUUUUUUCAAGACGUUUUUAUGCUUUUAUAUCUGAUCUGGGUGCUGAAUCUGUUUACAUUGUCUAAUUUCAAAUUAGUGGACUGAAUAACGUUUUUUUUUUUUCAAGAAAAAGGACAAAAAAGACGAAGCUUCAUAUUUCCAUAUAUCCAGUAAUUGAAUUCCCCUCGGGGAUCAAUAAAGAGCUACAGUUAAAUGGCAUCAGAAGGCUACAUUUCAUUUACUAUUUGAAUUUGAUGAGCCAUAACAGAGACAGAAAAAGUCGGUGUUGGCAAACAAUUCAUAUCUUAAUAAGAAAAUAACUUUUUCUCUCACAGCAGCAGCAGCAAAAGAGUAAACAGGAAGCAUUAUUCACUAAAUAGGAGCGGCAUUUAACCCACUUUAUUGUGCUUUUCUUGCACGUCGCAGCUAAUGACAGAAACCCACACAGUGUCAGCCUGCUAGAAAACACAAAACUCUGUUAUAUCUGCAGAAAUAUGGUUUUACUGCAGAGCUCUCCGUCUGGCUUCGGUAUCAGCGCUCAUGCAAAGGUCACAAGUUCAAAGUGAGAGAUGCUGAAUGAAGCAACUCUUGGAGUAAAUCUGCUCUAGAGCCAGUUGAAGACUGGUUUUACUGGUCGCUGUAGGAAGGAGAUAAGAACACGUCUCCAGUCUGAGAGUAUAGAUAGCGAACGGGAAAGAAUAAUAAUCUGACUUUUACAGACUUAUUCUUGGAGAGCUUCUCCAAUUAUAUACAGCACUUGAGACUGAACUAUUGAUAUCUUUAUGCAAACAUCCUUUAGAAGUGGUGGGAUUCAUAUUUACUUAGAAAGAUGAAGAUGAGAGAGUUUCUGUAAUGACCUCUUCCAGCUCGUGGGGUUGAACCAACAGAAUAUUAAACACUACUUUAGGUUUUGUUGAUGUAGCUGUUCAAAGACACGUCUCGGCUCCGAGGGAGAUAUUUUAAAGAAAAUGAAAGCGGUGCACUGUACAAAACUAAAUACGAUAAACUGUUGUGCAUGUCGACUCAUUGUUAGCACUCAGAAAAACAUAAAUGGAGAUAUUUCCACUCCAGAUUUGAUUCGACAAGUUUAAGAUGCUGGAGGAGAAUGAAUAGAAGCAUGAACUAUACUGUACUCCCAAGGAAAACCACUACUUCAAACCGCAUUUGAAAUAUGGGUUUAGAAAGAGUGAAAAAAGAUCAUUAUAAAUACGGGGAAACGCUAUAAACCGUCCUCAAAAGGAAUUUUUAUGAGUCUGGGAGUUCUAAUGAAAAUCAGUUUGAGAUUCAAAAAUAAGGGUGCUCUUUGUGAGCCUGUGGGAGCUAUUCAGCGCUCCACUUUGAAUCCCUGCGACGGAGCAUUGUCUUUGAAAACGCGCUUCAUGUUUCAAACGGGCGGCCCAUGAAAUAAAAGAGUAAGCGCGGGAUAAAGGAGCCCUCAGUGUUGGUAAUGGUUAGAAAGACGAGGCGGCGAAACGCGGGGAGCUACGUCUCAUUUGGACCUCAUUCAAACCAAAUAGACAAUGGCCCAUUAAAUUGUGACAUGUUUACUGCCUCACGCCAUACAUGACUGAUGUGCAUUAUGAGCUACACCAUUUCAAGGGAAAUGACAUGUAAGAGCUACAGCACUGUAAUUUAGCCCCAACCCGCAGAUUCAGCAGGAAACAAAAACCAUGACAAGUGGAUAAGGGCUUUGGCAAAUGGCUCCAUACGUCUCUCUUGUCACUUACAUAUGUGCUCUCCCAUGUGAUCCAUCACGGUGAUGAUUGGAACCAGUAUGGAGCUCGGGUCAAACCAACAGCUGGCCUCUUUAAGAGAGUGCAAAGAGAGAGGGGGACUGAGCAUGGUCGGCCUGUUUAAAGGUGAUGUAAACAGGCCCUGAUGGAUGAAGGACUCCCAUCCAUCCAUCAUCCUUCCAUCCUGAAGGGCCUUAAUCUUCUGCAAACACAAUCCUGCCACCGCAGCCCCCUCAUCCCUCCGCCUUGUCUCUCAAGUCCUUAAUAUCCCUUUGUGGAGAGACCUUGUUCCUGCAGUAAGACAACGCGCUCUCACCGGACGGGAAGAAAUGACACCGGCUAAAGGUUAAAAGCGCCGAGAGAAGCAUGAGGGAAGGAACCUUUGAGCGGAGAGUUCUUAUCCCUGCCCAGAUCAUAACUCACGGCGUUUCCUCUGGAGAGCAAAAACACAAACUGAAUUUAUUUCAAUAAAAGGUCAAAUAAACUGAGAUUGACUGAUCACACGGCUUUAUAGUUAGCAUCAGGCGUUUUCAAGUUAGCAUCACUGAUUGACCAAAUUACAGAAGGAUAACACUUAAAUUGGACCACUGUAGAUGUUCUUUGUUACAUGAAUGAAGAUGUUACAGACCAGGGCUCGAUAGUGCGACCGUUUCACUCCCAUUGGCAACUAAAAAUAGAUGAGUGCGAAUUGUAAAAUGCUUUUAGGGGAACAUGUGCGCAUAAAAAAACAGCUAAGGCAACAAGGUUGGAUAUUUGACGGACAUUCACUGCGGAUCUACUGGUGUCUUCUCACGCUCCAUAACUGGGAAUAACAACAGCAGUGCGGUUAAAUCUACUCGGCCCCCUCACUGUCAAUGUUGAGUGUUGAAUAAGGGACUGUCAAUAAAUUACCGGUUGAUGUUCUCAGAAAAGGCUGUUUUCCUUCAAUAGCUUCCAUGUCACGUGAUCAAAAGACCUAAAAUUGAUUUCAAAUAAUAGUACUAAGGUCGAACAAUGAGAGAGAAAGUUGUUAUAAUUUAAAAGGAUUUGAAAUAUUGAAAAAGCCAAGAUUCAAAACUUAACUGAAAGAGCGCCGUGUUAUAGUGAGAGGAAUAAACAAUCUGAACAAAGAAAGUAAAGAAGCUAGAUCAACUUUUAUCUUCAAAAAAAGUGUCAAAUACAGGAAAAUAUGUUCAUCUAAGUCUUGGUAUGUUGGUUUUGUGGAAGAAUGUGAAUUAACGUGGUCUUUUCUGUUUGUUUUUGAAAAAUAAGAAAUAAUGAACUGUAAAAAAGCAUGUUGGCCUGCAGCUCUUUUUUUUUUAUUGUGUUGAGUGGAUUAAUAGCUUAUGAAAGAUGAGCAGACUCUAUAAGAGUUUUCUUCUUUUUGCUCGUUUCAUUCAUUCAUUUUAUUCAUUCACAUGUUUGAGAUUUUUCCUUGUUUGUAUUGAAUAUUUUAAAUAUUAACUGAGUGAAAUAAAGUAUGAAAUUGAAAUAAAAAUGAAAUUUCCCUAAUUUGUCCCAAUAAAUGUUUUUGUGUUAAAUCUAAAGGCAAAUUUCAAACAUUUCCUUCAAUAGCUUCCAUGUCAUGUGACAAAAGACCUAAAAUUGAUGUCAAAUAAUAGUACGAUUAUGUCGAUCAAUAAGACACACAUUAUUUGAUCAAUUUUCAUUGUACCCCUAAAGUUCUUUCUGUGCUCCUUGUGAAAAAGUUAAUGUCAAGCCCUGAAGAGUCAAUAACACGACUUUGUAGUAGAAAUCUCCGCAUAGGCUCAAAAAAACUUAUUUCUUUGUUGAAAUCAUGGAUUCUACGCUUGUUAUCAGCACAUGAUGGUACGUGAUGCAGGUUCAGGGAGGACUCAGCUUUCUAAAAAGUCCCAGUACUCCAUGUGGGAACUGUUUUUCAGGUUUCUUGUGGUAGAAGUUUGCCGGCCUGACCUUGACCCCGGCCGAAACCUCUGGGAUGAACAGGAGCCAGAUCUUAUCACCCAAUACCAGCACACGACACCGCUAAAGGCUCUGAAUGAAUAUUGAAUGGGAGGAAAUCCCUGCAGCCAGGUACUGAAAUCUGGAGGAAAGGCUUCACAGGAGAAGAUGCUCUAACACUGCUAUUAAUACUUAUAGUUUUUAAGAGUUUUUCAGAAUCUUUGUGCAGAAAAGUUGACUGAACACAGAUUGAAAAUCCCCUUUCCUAUUGACCGCGUCUCUGCUUUUAUAUCUCUGAUGUUCGCUGUCCUGUUAUUGUUGUCGUUUCUGCUUCCUCAGAUUGUACUGCGGCUGUCAGCCGAUGAUUGGGUCUAUAUCUGACUUUUUAUUCUUGACACUUUGGUGAAUAUUCCAGUUUUUUAAAAGGCUUGAAUGAGAUUUUUUCCUAUUGCAGCUUCCCUGACUGCAAUAUCCACAAAUCAAUAUAACGCUAGAUAUAAGAAGUUUUUAUUUACAACUUAAAAAAAAACUCUGAAAUAGCCAACGGGGAAUAUGGAUGAAAACACACAUUAUUCUGCAUGUACUCCAAACAGUAAGUCAAACAAACUUCCACCCACACAAACACUCAGUACGGUUAAAAUGCUGCUUGUAGUGGGUUGCCAGUCAGCGAUGCACGUGAAACCCCCGGACCAGUCUCUUGAGUGUAUCAUCAUUUCUUUUCCAAAUAGAACUCGCACUCACUCAUCACUCAGCGCUCACAGUGUCUGCGUCUCCGCCAUGCUCCACGGGCUGAAACCAUCAAUUGUGUGGGAAGCCCACAGCAGAAACAACCUAUUAUUGCGAGAACCACAAUAAAGAAAAAGGCUACGGAGGCUUCAAAUACUCGUGAGCACCUCUGUACGUUUGCUUUGUCAGGAGCAGUAAUCACAUCCUUCAGAGUCUUCAUGUCAAAGGCGGUAGAGAUGUGACGUUUGCAGACGAGUCGGUCUUUUGAACGGCUCUUUGAAAGGAGCGGCUCCUCAACGUCCAACUCCCUUCAAAGAGAAAUAAAUCCACCAUCUUUAACAGACGGGCGCCGCACAAGUAAUGCUCGGAGAUGGAACUAAAACAGGCUGAGUUAAACACAUUCAAACAGGGAUUACAACCAUACAGCUUUUUACAGAACUGGUUAGAAAACAAUGAUUUGCAAAUCCCUCUUCACCUAAAUUAACCGAAUGCACGACAAAGACAAUAAAUGUAAAGUUCAAACCGAUAAACCAAUUUUUUCUUUUUUUGCAAAUAUCUUGAUAAUUGUUGAAGCUUUGGAGGUCUGGAGGUGAAGUUUUUCACAUUCUUGCUUGAUGGACCUCUCAAGUUGACCUUCACUCAUCAUAUUUGUACCUCCAUUUUCAAUGGCAGACUGGUCUGGUCUGCAAGAGGGUCAGUCUCGUAUCCACACUCUUUGACUCUGAAGCCUUUCUUGUGUAGCAUGUUCAGAAUGUGUCUUUGCGUUGUCUUGUUGGAAUAAGAUGAGGCUCCGAUAGCACCAGAUGUUGCUCCUAAACCUUUAUGUACCACCUAGACCUUAACGGAUACCGGCUUUUGUACUUCGACCUGAUCACAGUCUGGUUGGUCCUUUUCUUUUUCGGGACACCACGUCCAUGAUUUCCAAAAAGUUUUGGAAGGUGUGGAUUUAUCAGACCACGACAGGCUUUCCCACUUUGGGUCAGUCCAGAGAGGCGUUGUCGUUUCUGGCUGUUGUUGAUAUCUGUCUUUGUCUUUGCGUGGUAGAGUUUCAACUUGAUGUCGAGACAAACUGUCUUAACUGACAAUGGUUUUCUGAAGUCCUCCUGAGCCCACGUUGUAAAAUCCUUUACAGAAUGAAGAGGGUUUUUAUUGCGGUACUACUUGAGGGGUCAAAGGUCACUGACAUUUGAUGAUGGUUUUGGGCCUUGCUUCGUAUGUGCAGAGAUUUCUCUAGAUCUUCUGAAUGAUAUUAUGGACUGUAGAUGAUGAGCUCCUCAUUGAGAAACAUUUUAAUAACUGUUGUAAACAAAGUGGAGAUAUAAAUCUAACUCCCUGACAUAUGUCAUGUUUUUAAAAAUCCGCUCAUAUCAGACCAGGUUAACACCUUACCUCUGCUCUGAUUCCCAGUCUGUUCUGUUUGUCUUCGGCAUCAUCUAUUCGACUCAAAAAAAUCGAACCCACCUAAAUUUAAGCUGUGAAAGUACCUUUGGAGACAUUUACGGCCCAAAUGCCACUGACGCUGUGUUUGCCUAUAAACUAUUCACUGCUGGCAUAUUCGGGGCAAAGAUGCUGACUGUGAGGAGAAACGACCCGAAGAGUUACAGUGUGAGAGUUUUAUUAGCCGAAAGAAUGAAAGAUAUAUUCAGGGACAGAGAAAAAGUGAGGACUUCACAGAAAAAAAUAAAAGACCGGCUUUGAGGAGAUGUCUAUAUUUCAUUUCAGGUAUUCUCUGAACAUACUUGGAAACUGUUUCACAAUGACAGAUAUUAUCGACCGACUCUUUUUUAUUUAUUCGUUGCUUUGCUUAACUUCAGAGCACGAGAAAUAAAAGGAAACCUCAUUCAGUCGAUCAUACUGUAGCAGGAUUAUGAACUCAGUGGAAACACAACACACACAUGAAUUAUGAUAAGUAAGAAGAGAAAACAAUCAAUAAGGAGGCCAGUGUUUUCAUGUCCUGUCUGGAAUUUCAUGUUAAGGCGUGAAGGCUAUUGAUUUUCUACGCUCUCUUUAGUCUCACCCACAUGGAUCACCAAAUUCAGGCUUAUUUUUUCUGGUUUUAUUGGGUGUAAUAACAGGUUUAAGACAAAAGUUUACACAAACAAACUUUGCCUGUGCGAGGAAGCAGUGAGGGGCAAGUGAGGUGAAAUAAAAUGGGAAAAAUCAGCUUUGUUUAGUACGAGAGAAAACUGCACAAAACUUGAGAUGGAUGGGGUGGCAAUCUGAAAAGGCUGCUGACUGUAGGGUGACCAUACGUCCUCUUUUACCCGAACAUGUCCUCUUUAUUGGGGGGCUGUCCAGGUUUGUAUGGCUUUGUCUGAGUAAGUUUAUAAAAUCCUUCAAAUGUCCGCGGUUUUGUACGUAAGUUUACAUUUUGUGUCACAUGGACUUAUUGAGUUAGAAGCGCAUAAAGGACACUCAAUCCAACCCAAAAAACUCCUUAAAUUGACUUUGUGCAACUCCGUGACUCCACCCCCGCAGGAGGUCAGAAAAUGGUCACCCUAGAUGACUAUAUAUAUAUAUAAUUUUUAGCCAUGAGAGUCAUCAACAACUGUCCAAAUUUACCUGCAAACCUCUAGUAAUGAAAUCUAAAACCAGUGUAAAAGCUGAAGAGGUUGCAGUACCUUAAGCGUCCACUUGAGGCUGGCCCCAAACACAUUGAAGCUGCAUACACACCCAUUCAAACAAGCUCAUCUUUACGGCAAAAUAGCUCAGUACAAGAAAAUUAUUUUGUUUUAUUUUGAAGGUAUUACAAAUUUCUUGGUUACAACACUGCAAGAUAGAAGCUCGACCACAUUGUUUGUAUUGUAAAUAUUACAACAGCGUGGCUCUGUAGUAGAAGGGUCCUGGUUAGAAAGCAUCAUGUUCAGAGGGACAAUGGAAACGUGAACUAAACUAGCCCACCUGCAGUCCCAACUUGCUAAAAGACUUUUUGUUUUCUGCACUUUUUUCAAUGGAAUAAUAACAAUUAACACACUGUACUAACCUUAUUAGCAUACCUGCUAACACUCCCAUUUUCCCGGGACUCUCCCAUAUUUCAGACCUGUCUCCUGCCCACCUCCUGUAUUGUCAUUCCUCCCGAGAAUCUCCCGUAGUUUGCAUGUUCCACGUUUGUUCAUGAAUCGGAUCACUAUAUUUGUCCAAAAUUGACGGGUUUCUAGACAACCGAAGUUUCGAUGAGCAAUCUAAUUACAAACACUCUCAUAAUUAGUGUUAGAUCAUUAACACCAGGUAAUCUGAAGCCAUAUAACGGGCUUGAAAACACCUGCAACCUCAUUAAAUAUGAAGAUAAGAUAGCAGUCAAGUUAGGUGUGGAAGAAGACAGAGAGAGAGCUCAGAAAGAGUCUUUUCUUCAUCACAGGAGGAUCGGUCUCUUAGACAGCUAAUCAGAAUAAAUGUGACAGAGUCGCAGCUUUGAGGCCAGAGAAGAAGGACUACUAAGGGCCUCAGUGCCACCUGGACUUCUCCUUCAUCCUUUAACCCAUGUUACAUGCCCCACCGCACUCUGAUCCCUCAGCGUGGACAGCCAUUAAUCAUCCAUUAAUCUUUAUUUCUAUUCGCUCCCACAUGAUUCACUGUUGUCCAGCCUAAAACACACACACAGCGCUCUUUCAUGUUUUUUCCUCUUCUUCUCCUGUGGUCUCCGGCCAGUGCAAUUUAUACCGUAAUUAUCAAGGAGUUCCCUCAUGGGUGUGUUGUCCUUUGAGGGGAGAAAUGAUAGGUCUGAAACUGACUCUGAGGCCUCAGAUAGAUGUGUUGUUUUAUCUUUGCUCUUAGCUGUACAGCCGAGUAAGGUGUAAAAUCACAGACAAGCCCCCAUCCUCCAACCGUAAACCUCCACCCGCCGGGUUCUCGGGCAGCAACAGUUCUGGGGAAUUCAUGCAAAACACAGACUAAUAAUAAACAUCGCACUCAGGCUGUGGGAUUCACAGCUUGUGAAUCAGUCGUCACAAAAAGUCUCUUUUAAUUUCUUAUUUGCAGCCUUUAUGAUAUUUAAUGACACGCUAAUGUGUCGGAGUAAAGCGUCUUUAGAGGGUGACAUAAAUAAACCCCCACGCACAGAUGGCGAAGAUCUCUUUACAAAAGAGACCUUCAAAACGCCUCAGAUCAUAAACUGUUUGACUUUCACUGUGAGUUUAAAGUCAGUUUUUCAUCGUUAAAACCUCUAAAAGUUUAUCUGUAUAAACAUUUAUCUGAAACUGCAAAGUCCCGCAAUUAUUCAAACUCUAAACUAUUGGAAAUGAUGUUCAAGUAAAAGAGCUGAGGAGUAAAGAUGUCUACAAAAUGACUGUGAAACAUGUCUUGACGGUGGUGAUGGUGAUGAUAUGAUGAAUGUGGAUGAACCAGCAGCAAAGAUGGCUGCUGGUUUUAGAGAGAGUGGCUGAAAGACUCUGAUUGGCUCUGCUUUAUGAAUGGGACGACUUUUGGUGCUCAUAGUACAGGAAGGAGGUCGAAGAUGACGAUACCUUCACCUCAGCAUCCAUGAAUUUUAGGCAUCAGAGUUUAAAGGGAUAUUCCGGCGUAAAAUUAACUUAGGGUCUAACACACGGUAACAAUGAGUCCUUCUCUAGUUAUACCAACUUGAGUAACGACCGCACGAUAGCAAUACAGAGAGCCACCCGCUCAACCAAAAUGCCACUCUAUAACCACAAAUAAUGCUCAGAACAGCACCUAACUUCAUCAACAGGACAUAUAGGGUCACAGACAUAGUACUAGACACCAAACAUCUUUUUAACUUUGACUAAUUUCUCUAGCAAAGAGACUAAACACAACUCACCUACUCUCUUCCAGCAGCCGCUUGUUUGUACGGAGACGUCCAGGCAAGUCCAUCGACGGCAUUGGGGUGAUGCAGCUCAAGGAAGAACAUUUAUGAUCAUUACUUUAUCUUUAUCAUCAGACACGGUAGUUCUUCUGCCUUAGCAUCUCGGUCUGAUUGCAUUUCCAUUAAGUAAUCAUCAUAAAUGUUCUUCCUUGAGCUGCGAAACUCCAAUGCAGUCGAUGGAAUCAGCAGCAACAAUCGGCUGCUGGAAGAGAGUAGGUGAGUUGUGUUUAGUCUCUUUGCUAAAGAAAUUAGUCAAAGUUAAAAAGAUGUUUGGUGUCUAGUACUAUGGCUGUGACCCUAUAUGUCCUGUUGAUGAAGUUAGGUGCUGUUCUGAGCAUUAUUUGUGGCUAUAGAGUGGCGUUUUUGUUGAGCGCGUGGCUCUCUGUAUUGCUAUCGUGCGGUCAUUCUAAAGUUGCUAUAACUAGAGAAGCAAGCAGUCGGCAACAUAUAUGCCGGUAUAUCCCUUUAAGAUACACCAUACGUCCGUCAUUGUCAGUGGGUCCAACUUACCAAAUAGAUCUUGUUUGAAGUCCUGGAUAGCCAUCUGGUCUUUUCUCGCCUCUUACAUUUCAUUUUAUUCUCUUGACACUCAGUCCGACUUGAUUGGAUUUAGGAAAAGCUUUGAGAAACUGAAAUUGUAUGAUUGAAACAUAUUUAUGCUUUAUAUUGUGUAGAUAAGAUAAAUACUCGGAUGGAUGUAGUGGAUGUGGAUUCCCCCAGCAGCUUAGAAAGAAAAAAAUCCCCCUCUGUCAUUGAUCACGGCGGCUUUUUCUCCUCGAUACAGCCGCCUGACUUUUCGAGCUCUGUAAAAUAAGAAGAGAGACGGAUUUAACUCUCACCGCUGGUGUGGCUGACAUCUCCACACCGGAGGUCAUCGUAAUUCACUCACAAAGUCAAUACUGCUGUGUUGUCAAAACAAGAACCAUCUUGACUAGCAUUCAGCCGUCCUGUAGAGACUCUCAUAUCAGUACUUUGGUUUGGCAGUGGCAAUUUUUCUAUCACAGCGCUGGUCCUCUCCAGAUGGCAGCAGUAUUACCUGGGAAGGUCAGACGCCCAUCAGUCUGGAUGCUAACGGUAUUUACAAGCAUACCUCUGUAAUCCAGGGACAUGUGGGGGAAAAAUGUGACACAUAUACCUCGAAAGAGACUCUGUGUUUGUUCAACAAAUAUACCUUUUAUGUGCGGGGUCUGUGUUAUGACACAGUGGUUAACAGAGCGUGAGACGUGACCGUUUUUUAAAAGGAUAAGAUUCACUUUGUUUGAUCGGAGGUAAUUCAGCACUUUGAAGUGAUUUGAUUUUGUAUUAGAUAUUGGCAAUAACACCGAAAGACUUUAAUCUCUUUAGAUCAGGGCGAUGUUUUGGUCGAGUCACCUUUUCUCCAUUCUUAGUCUGAGUUCUCAUUUUCAACACUGUUAAACAAUCAGAUAAGACUUCUGUCCUCGUCCCCUCCUGGGACUUGUGUCAGGUUACGUAUUCAAGGUGUGUUCAACAAAUGCCUGGAUGUUUCGUGUCUUCUCGUUUGAUUCGUUCAUAGGACUCACUCCGUUUGUACACAAUGACACGUCUAUGAUAGUGCCCAGGGGGUUUCCUUCACGCCAUCUUAACCUGUCAGGUUGGAGUUUGUCCAACGUGUUGUCAUCGAGCAGACGCUUUUACCCGGAGCGAUGAACAUUCGAGAGCGAGGAGAAUACGAGCAACGAUGUAGACAAGAAGAAACAUGAUCAGUAACCUCCACAUUUUCCAACUAGUUCAUCGUUGAUAAACGUCACCAAGGAAGCUCCAUCCUGAUUGGCGACCAGGAUGUGAGUCAUUCACUUGAAUCCAAGUUCUUUUGCGAAUUUGUGAAUUAAGCAAGUAUCCAUCAGGGUUCCUAGACGGUAGGAAUCUCCAUACUUCUCCAUACCCUACUGUUUAGAAUUAUUUUUAGGAAAAACCGACUUUUCUGUUUUAGAGAAAAUAUAUAUUUUUUUACUGUCUUAAUAGUCUUGAAACCUAAAUAUGUUUCCAUACUUUAUUUUUCAUUUACCAAACUUUUUAUGACCUGGAAAUUGAUGAAAUUACUUCCAUACUUCUUCAUACUUUCCUUGCGUAGGAAACCUGCCCGAUUAAAGUCGUACAUUUGCAUCAAUCACAUAUGUAAUCUGCAGAUUUUGCCACAUUCAUGUUGCCUGACAAGAACUAUAGUGACCUCUCACGUAUUUGCAUUGACUUUAUAUAUAAUUAAAUCAAUAUUUUCACAUAAAUACAAAUAAAAGAUCGUAUUUCAGAAUUAUAAAUACCACUGUAAAAUGCAUCAGAAUGAAUAUUUUCAUACGUAUAACGACUCAAGCGCAGAAAACCUCAAAUUACCAUCAAGGUCUGUGAAGAAGUAUUUGUACUUUUAGAUACAGUAUGUCUUCAUUAUUUAUCGUAUUAUUCUUUUAUUCAAAUAUCUGACAAUAGAAUUGUACAAGAGCACUGAAACCCUCUCUGCACAUUUAGUAUAAACCUAUCAAAACCACUUUGUACUCUGCUCAUGUUUCCCAGAAUAUCUUAAAGACCCUUAAGUUUAGAAAUUUACUCAUUUUCAAAUAUAACAAGAGUUUUUUUUAAACAAAAGACAUAAUAUCAGUUUAACUUUAUCUGUUUCUUUCAAGUUAAACAGUUAAACGUAUAUACCGGCGGCGGCGGACUCCUUUCAUCUGCAGAGUUCAGAGGGUUAAUAUCCGUCCUCCAUCAGCGCGCUGCAGGUGUCAUUAUUUGAAUGUCAAAGACAGAGGAGCUUGUUUAAGUGGUCAGAAAAGCUUUCCGCUGUAAGUAAAUGACGAGCAAUAACAAGGCAUGAAAAGGACACAAGAACAAUCAGUUAUAGAGCUCUAAAAUUACCCGGAUUGUUUCCCUGACAUGUGUCCCAGACAAGCCAUCUUUGCAGUGGUGCAAAUAAUGACCGUAAUCUUUCAGUCACAGAGGCAGAAGUAGUGUGAUGGCUUUAUACUGCGGCGGGGAAGUCUCAAGGAGAGAGAGAGAGAGUCGUGUUGGGUUGUUGGCUGUGUGAAACAUGUGACAGAGAUACCUGAGGCUGUGCUUUAAGUCCCGUCUACCAUCAACAAUCCCCGUUCUCUCUUAUUGUGCGAUCUGGCCUUGAUUCCCGGUGAUUCAGCCGACGUUAACCACAUCGUUCACAGAUCAGGAGACAGUUGAGGCGGUGUUUAUCUUUUGAAAUGGGUAGUUUUGAAAGGGAACAAGUCAGGCCUUGGCUUUUUGAGGUUUUAUUGGGUUGGCUUGUGAGAUUUAAGGAUUAACUCACUGGAUGGACCCAAAACGAGCAGCUUUACCUGAAAAGAUUGUGAAAGUGACCACAUCCAGGAUGCAUAUUUGUAUUCGGUGAACAUCUGUGCUCUGUCAAGUCAUCAGGAAGAGACAUGCUACCAACAUUUACUGAAAACAUCCCUGAUGCAAUCCCAGGAUAUCAGGUGAAACUGGAAAAAAAAACCUUUGCAGCAUUGCAUCUUGCAGAUUUCUUGCGUUGGUUAUGAGGAUUAAUGCAACCAACAUUUCUUUGCAUUAGCUCUGAAUGCAAUUAAAACACACAGAGAAUCACGAUCAUGGCUGUAAAACAUGCUUUUGGUAUCUCCAGAUCAAAAGAGGCGUCCCCUAAAGAGUUGCGCCCAUGUUAGACUCGUGUUGCACCAUCAUUUCUCACACUGAAAGGACCAAACUCUGACUUAAGAGCGGGUCUGUGGUGACUUUAAGGGAAAUCCUGAAAAAUACGGUAACAACUUUCAGGUCGAAUCAGUUCUGACUGAGUUUCUAUCUUGAUGUGUGCAGCCUCUCCUUCCUCGCCGACAUACCUGCACCGACAGGACCUGUUUCUCAUUGUAGCAGCGGCACCGAGAUGCCUUUAAAUAACCUCAAAAAUCAAAUCAACUCUCUUUAAAACCUCAUCCAUCUUGGAGUCAACAUCAAAUUCAGAGGCAAAGGACUGUGUCAGAGUCGUCAGGGCCAUCUUUUUCACUCCCCUCACCUUCCUCUCUGAGUGGAAAUUUCAGAGUUAUUUCACACUCGCUUGAAGGGAUAACUGUGUUACUUUGCUCAAGCUGCUACUAGUACUGGCACCGCUGUAGCCCAGAGUUAAUAAAUGACAAGCAAGCAUUAUGAGAAAUGUAAUGGAAAAGGAAAUAGCAAUGAUAACAUGGCGCUGAACUCCAACAUUUUCAAAUACCCACUGCUUAUAAAAUGAUAUUGUGACUUCUACCCAGUCCUCCACCGGGGUCUCACAGUUUUUCUGUUUUGGGCUCAACUCAGCUGGCCUUAUGAAGGAAGGAGAGCUCCUCCAGUACCUUCAGAGGAGAGAUUUUAAUGCUUAUGUGGGUGGAGGCCGACGAAUAUUUGCAUGAAACUCAACAAGAAGGAAAAGAGUUUCCUGCAGGUUAAAAGACGUGGUAAAAAGUCACGGACAAGCAUCUAAAUAAGAAUUAGUUCAAACUCGGUUUAUAGCGAUGACAUGCAGACAGUAUAGACAGCAUUUGUUCACCUAGUAUAUGAAGGGAUUAAAGGGCAAAUCUUCAAUUCAGAAAGUUUAUGCAUAAAAAAACACAAAAACUGUCAGAUAUAUUUCCAAGAACUCGCAGCGGAAGAUUUAAAGUUCUGCAAACGCCCUUUAGGUCAAAUUACCGCCAUCCUGUAGUGGCUGUUUGCAACUACAAAGUACAGCUUAGGUGAUUGUCCAAGACACAUUUCACUAAGAGGACUAUAAAGUGUAUCGUAUUGUAACGUAUCGUAAAUAUUUACAAACCUUAACACCAGUUGCAGAUUUAAAGCCCUCCAAACACCCUUUUAAUUAAAUUACUGCCAUCCUGUGGUGGCUUUAUGCUACUACAAAAUAAAUUUUGUUUGAUAGUCCAAGACAAAUUUUCCUAAGGGGACAAAAAAGUGUUUCAUAUCAUAUCGUAUCACAUUGUAAUGUAUUGUAUAUAUUUAAAAACCUAAAAACUAGUUGAAGAUUUAAAGCCCUCCGAACACUCUUUGAGUUAAAUUACUGCCAUCCUGUGGCGGCUGUAUGCUACUACACGGUUACAGUUUGGAUGACGUAUUUUCAAACCUAAACAGCUGUGCUCGCUCAAAAUCUAUUCGUAGCACUUAUUGACACAUGAAGCUUUGGUGAAUAUGGGUAUUUUACAGAAACGUAGAAGCUCAUUUUUAUCUCACUGUUGCAGAGAUUUUUGUUGCUGUUUCUCGGGGUUCGGGUUCGAGCAGCCUUGAAUUUCUGAACGCACACAGACAAAACCUCCGGUCGUAGUUACCUGUCCUUCUGUUUCCCAUACUCACACAUUUCUCACUGUAGUUAAAGAAGCUGCAUUAUGCAGAAUUAAAAACACAUUCCACCUUUUCUGUUUCCUUUUUCUCGCGCUUUACUUCAACAGAGCGUCUACAACAGCUCGACUUGUUACGGUGUAAUUGAAGCAGGCAGAUUAUUCCUGCCUUUGGAGCUGUCCGUAAAAGUAGAAAUCCAAUCUGCUUGCUUUAAGCCUCCCUGAAAUCACUCCCACCUUCGCCCUACCGGUGCCGCCUGUAGGUUCACUUUCUCGCUAGAGGACACCUUAACAUUAAAAUCCUCCAACAUCCAGCCGUGCAAUCUGUGACCUUUUGAAUUUACAGCCUCCCCUCUCUGCACAAAUUCAUCAAACAUUAUCUCCAAUCGACUCCCGUAUUUUCCUGAUACGAUGAACUAAGUUCUUGGCAGAGUAAAGUCGAGAAUAAAGGAGUAUUCUUGGGAGUAGUGAGUGCGAAGGAGUGUAAAGAAUGAAUCACGAGUUGCUUGUUUCACUCGGUUGGCAGCAACAAUCUGCCAGACGGCUUACUGGGAUUCACUCAGUGUCUUAUUUGAAUAUACACCAGGCCGAGGAGGAACACCUUAUCAAGGAGAUGUGAGCAACUGUGAUAAAUUUGCUGUAUCCAGCUGCAUUGAGCUGAUAAGCACCCAAAUUAUAUUCACUCUACAUGCCUGCUCUAAUUAAAAAGAGUCUCUCAGGUUUCGGCAAGUCACCAUUUGAUGUGUUUAAUCUUUGUUAAAAAUGAUGCAAGUCGUGCACAAAAUUACCGGAUAGCUUUCCCAGUUUUCAGAGUAAUAAAUAAAGAAAUAAAACGAUAGAAUAUCACAUGGAUGCAUGCCCGCUUUUUUCCUGACCACCUGCUGCUUUCUGCACAGUCUCUGCACACGGCGGCUGACAUCAUCAGUAUUCAGACCGCCGUCCCCCCCUCCUGUCGCUCCUCACAAAGGAGCCCUCGGGGCAUUAGUGGUGAACCUCUACCCACAUGGGACCUGUUGGUCCCCCUGACACCUGUCUCCCUCAGGUUGACCCCAGUCACGCUAUGGAUCACGGUACCAUGCCUCGGAGCCUGAAUCUGCCCGCCUGGUCGGACUUUGACGGACAGCUACCACUAGCCGACAUAACAUGCAGUGUGCUUUUUGGAAAACAAAGGAAAUCUUCCAGAGAAUGAAUUAAGGAGUAUCACCAGAAAGGAUCAUAUUUAUUCCAACACGUCUGGUCACUUUCACGCUCCGGUUGACUAUUGAUUGUCGAGGCCUUUCGCUGCGAGAUAAACUUAAUGGAAUUAAAAAAGUUUUCCAGAAUUGACUUGGAAAAGGCCACGCUUGUUGUAAGCAAGGGAAAGAGUACAGAGCUGAAAAAACGUCGAGGCAGAAAUCUCUGCCCGGCGAAUCAAUAACCAUCACCAUGUGCGACAUAUGAUGUUGAAAUCUUUAUUUUCUUCUGUAAGUGCAAGCAUGUAAAGGACAAUGGAGUUUUGUGUGAAGCUCACAAUGAACGGUCAGAGAAAUGGAAGAAUACUUUCUCGUCAUAAUGUCCUCAAAUCAUGGCUCACAGACGUCUGUUCUGCUACAUCAAAUCUUCUCCGUCCAGACGAACGCCGGUCCAGGAAUGACAGAGGGUUUUGUUGAACGUUGAGGUUCGUGUUUCUGGUCUCAUAGAGGGAUCACAAUAGCCGUGUUCUGUGGAUCCAGUUCACUCAAUACUGCUGCUGUUCCAACGUGUUCCUCAUUACUCAUUCAUGUCGGCUCCUGUCAGCUUCAGAUGUUUACAGUCAAAUCCUCCUGAAUGGAGUUGAAACGGCUUUACAGAGUCACAUGUUUCAUAUUGAUUUGAAUGUGUGUAAACGUUUUUACAAAACAUGUUUUGUAGCUGUUUUGGAAAGCGCCUCAGGCUUUUUUGUUUUUUUGUUGUCUGUGUUCAAUCCACAUUUAUUAUUGAAGAGUUUCAGCUCCAAAUAAGGAAUCAGCGUUUUUGAAAUCUGCAAACAGAUCUUAAUUAAAAAUAGAGGGUCUGGUUCUACAAAAAUACCAAUGUAAACCAAUAAAGCAUCACUAAAUUAAAACAUAAGCCUGAUUCCAAAACAUGCUGAAACAUCAUGUUGUGUGUUUCAACUGAAAAAUGUUAGAAUUGCAUGAUAAAUAUACAGCAUGCUUACUCAAUUAACAACUGGGAACCAGAGGGACCAGUUUCAGGAGUUUGGAAAAUGAAGUAUUUUCCCAUCCUAGUCUGGUGUUGGAUUACAGCUGACUUUAUUCUUGUAAAUUUACGACUUUUUUAAACUUAAUUUAAUCUUCUUUUUUUUGUUUUGUUAAUGUGGCCCUCAUACUCCAUCGUAGGCUUGUAAUUGAAAAUGGGCAGAUGUUUUUUUUGUUUUUUAUUUAAAUGAGAAUUUUUUUAUUUUUAAGGCCUGCUAUCUUUGAAUUCAAUAAUUAAUUCAGUUCAAAUGAUUUACAAACCAUCAAAAUCUGUUUUAUUAACAUUUCGAACAUGCGUCCCAUUCUUCUUUUUUGGAUCGGGGUUAUAAGUGACUUUUUUUCCUGUCAUAUUCAGUCGACAGGUUUGGAGUUCCUCCACAUACAUUUACAUUCAGGUCUUGUCCCACUCGCUAUCCUUCACCUGAUGUAACCUGCCACAUACUUUACUGUACACAGUCACACUUUCAGUCCCUGCAGGGUUACAUCAGCCAACUUUUCUGCUGAUAAAGCAAACCGUUCACUUGUUCCACAUAGUGAGCCAUGAAAGUGACUCUGUGUUUUACAUCCAAACUGCACACAGUCAUUUACCCCGCAGCAGCAGCUGAAAGGACCGCACAACUACUUCUACAAGUUACCGUGAGCUCACUGCCUUUUCAUUUUGAACCACUGAGGCGCAAAUAUCACAAUACAGGUUCCUUUUUAUUUUACCUGUAAAAAGCAGAGAAGGGGAAAGUUCAAACAUGGUAUUCCUCAGGUGUUAAUCACCAUCAUUUACAUGUCCUCUUCAGCACAAUGUUUCCUUAUUAGCUUCAGAUUUAUGUGAGUGUGAAUGGAUGUUGACGCCUCAGAUUACAGGAAGUCAGGGUUAAUUUACCCCUAAUUUGCUGCACUCGACAAACGGCUCAGUAAUCUGAUCCGGGGACUUUGUUGUUCCAGAUGUGUGGAUUAGAAUAGCCUCUCUAUGUUCAUCCAUAGAGAUUAUCUUCAUCUCAUUGCCAACACCAUAGUCAAUGUGUUUUUACAGCCGCAGCUUAAAUCUGCUAUACAAACAAAGCCAUGAAGGCUUCCCUGAAUUACCUGUGGUUACAGUCUACUUAAUACAUCAGAGACAUGAAUAUGUAUUUACACUCCUCAACACCUUCUCUUGUCUUUAUGUGCUGUAAAAGCAGGUUGACUUUAUUUGUGCUCCUUUUUAGCAGGUUUUUCUUUAGGUUUUCAUUUUUAUGCAAAAUUAAAGUCAGUUUAUGUAAUUAAUGUAAGGUAACCAGAUUUCUGUAAUGAAAUCCAGGGACAUCCGGAGCAGGAGGGGUUAUAGGCUGCGUGAUCACAGACAACGUCUCGGUACUACUUGAAAGCGGUGCAUAUAUAUAUAUAUAUAUAUAUAUAUACUGUCAAAAUUGGGGAUGCUUGUUCCGCGAUCGUCCUCUCCACUUUUUAGAGUCUGGUCUGCAUAGCGGGGCUCUGGGGGCGGAGCUUGGAAUUGUGAUGUAAGAAAUCUCACUGUGUCUGAACCUGCCGUUUGGGUCUGUGGAAGAUUCAUAAGGAUUUGAAAGCAGCAAGUACUUAGAAAGACAAUUUGAACUUAUUUUACUCAUGACACAUCAUGUAGCAUCAGAAAAAUGAACAUAUGAACAUAUAGACAACAAGAAAAACAUGAUUUUCAUCAGAGUGGGUCUUUAAUGAUUAUUAUGCAUCACAGAUAUGAAAGUUCAUCACUGAGCAGCUGUGAUCUUCACAUUGCCUUAAAACAGACAUUACUCUGUAGUGGAGGCCACUGCAUAGGCUCAAAAUCACCUCCAGAAACGAAUGUCUUUAAGUACAGUUUGUAAAACUGUUGUAGGAUCUAGGUCGAUACUUAAAGCUACUGAGAUGCUUGACAUGGACUAACCUGGUUGACGCGCCGCACGACUAAGUUUUACCGUGAGUUGUGAUGAUCAUUGAAAGUCCGGACGCUGUUCCUCAGAUUCAGCAAACUAAACAUUUAUUGCGAUGAACAUAAACAAAUCCAUUUUUUGCAAUCAAUAUCCAACACUGGACAAACAAGGAAAAUGCCAGCAGUUAGCGCAAUGACAGUUAGCGCCAUGAUGGUCAAAAACCCUUUGCCCUUCUGGGUCAAACACCAGCCCACAACAGUAACAUGGCUACCUUUGUUUCUGAGCUCCCAGAUAACAAAACAGCGACACCCAGGGCACAGAAAGUGAACUUCAACUCAUAAUAUGUAUCACAGCAACAUAUUUGGCUCCUACAACUGUAAUGAAACCAUAAUCAUGAUCCUUCAACCAUCAAUCCCUACAGAUACUUACUUUUCCUGAGGGGGGACCUCACAUAUUGAAGCCAAACAACCCUAAACUGCUCUCUGCAGGUAGAGGAGUCCUGUGGUCCAGACCUG